UUUUUUUGUUGUUCGACUAAAAUUUUGAAGAAAAUAUUUAAAAUACAACGGUCCAAUUACAGGUAUUGAUCAGUUAACUCUAUUCUAUUUGUGGUUUUCAUAAAAUUAAAGUGCGAAAUUACUGAAAAACUUGCAACAAACUGUCGCAGAAUUCAAAAAUUUAAGAUCUUAUACGAAUUUUAUCAGUUCUCAUAAAAAAUGGGUUUAAGCAAUUUUUUUAAUUUUAAAUUUAUUCUGUUAUUUGAAAGUUGAGAUGCAAUUUUUAUAAGUGAAAUUUGAAUUUUAGUUUAGGAUAACUGGUGUUAGACUAAAAAAUUUUUCAUUUGAAUUCGUUUUGCAGUUUUGUAUAUAUGAAUUAGUUGUUGUAUAUAGUACAUAUUUGAGAUUUAAACAAACUUGAUUCUAUUUAUAUUUUUCAUAAAAUAAAAUUACAAAAAUUACUGAAAAAUUUAUCACAAAAUUGCAUAACAGUCGCGGAAUUCAAAAAUCUGAAAUCGUAACUGAAUUUUAUCAUUUCUCAAAAAAAAAUAAGAUUUGAUCGAAAUUAUUUUUUUUAAAAUUCAAAGUUAUCUAUAUUGUUAUGUAAUGUGAAAAUUGAGAUACAAUUAUUAUACGUUAAAUUUUAAUUUUAAUCGAUGAUAACUAGUAUUCGAAUAAAAGAUUUCUUUUCAUUGAAAUUCAUUUAGCAGUUUUGUAUAUACGAAUUAGUUGUUGUAUAUAGUAUGUAUUUGAUAUUUAAUUUUAUUUUUACUAUUUUUUUUGUGUUCUGGAGAUUGACUAUCGGAAGCAUACCUGUUCUUAUUAAACACUCUUGUACAUGGAUAUAUAUAAAGAACAUUAUGAAGAUUACAUAUGUUUCUAGCUAUAUGUAUUUAUAAUAUACAUAUGCAAUAUGUUUAUGUGUUCACUGGCAGUUUCAUAUAUUUUCAGUUGUAUGUAUUUAUAAUAUACAUAUGCAGUACAUUUAUGGGUUCACUGGCAAUUUCAUAUGUUUCCAGCUAUAUGUAUUUAUAAUAUACAUAUGCAGUAUGUUUAUGUGUUUACUGACAGUUUCAUAUGUUUCCAGCUAUAUGUAUUUAUAAUAUACAUAUGCAGUAUUUUAUGUGUAAAAAUCAUGUAUUCUUAUAUGCAUUUUUUUAAUAUGCAGGACAUAUAUUUCAUUUGGCAUAUGGUGAACUAGAAUCUGAAAAUAAUGCAUCUUUGACUUGGUUCUUUGAGAAUCUGAAGGAAGCAUAUGGUGAAAGAAAACAUAUGUACCUAGUUUCCGAUCGUAAUGCAAGCAUCAUAGAAGUUGUUGCUGAUGUGUACGAUAAUGUACCACAUUAUAAAUGUAUGUGGCAUCUAUGGGAUAAUGUGAAAAAAAAUUAGAAAGUCACAUGAUGCAUUGUUCAUGGUAAAUCGGGAAGAGAUAUGUUUGAAAAGAAAAAUAAAAAUUGUUGUAGUUCAUAUGACUUUAAAGUUCACAAUAGGCGUUCAUGUAGGAAAAUAACAAAUGAUAAGUUGGAUGAUGUUUUUAGUCAAAAUACAAUUACUGAAUUUUAUCAUUGAGAAUUAUGUCAUUCUAAAUUUUGAACUUGUUAAUUUGUUAUAGUUCAAACGUUGCAAUUUUUUUACAGAGUUUGAAUAAUUUAAUUUAUAUAUAUAUAUAUAUAUAUAUAUACAUGCACUAAAUAGUUGAAGCAAAUUAGGGAAAUAUAGAGAGAGAGAGAGAGAGAGAGAGAGAGAGAGAUAGACAGAGAGGGAGAGAGAGAGAGAGACGUAUUUAGGAAAAAAAUAUAUUUGCAUUAGACGUAAAUACAAAUACAAACUGAAAUGAACAUAUGCAUUAAUCAUAAAUAUGUAUUUUUCAAAAUUAAGAAUGCACAUUAAGAAAAAUAUAAUUUCAAACUUGUAAAAAAUAAGUAUGUGUUAUUAAAAAUACAUAUGUACAUUGGAAUGAACAUGUGUGUUAUUCAUAAAUACAUAUGACUCAUAAAUUUAUACGGACUUCAGCAUAAGAAUACAAUAACUAUGUAUAGUUCAAAAAUAUAUGUGCAAAUCUAUAAAAAUACAUAUAUGUGUAUAAUCAUAACUGGAAAAUACAUAUGCAUUAGAAAUAAAUACAUAUGCAAAACUGGAUAGAAGAAAAGUUCAUAAAGACAAUUACUAACAUUUACAUAGACUAACCAUGAAAAUAUUGGAGUUUAAAUACAUAUGCAAAAUUGGACAAAUACAUAUGUAUUAUUCAUAGAUCUAUAAGCAUAACUGGAAAAUACAUAUGCAUUACUAAUAAAUACAUAUGCAAAAUUGAAAAAUAAAUAUUCAUAAUGACAUAUGACUAACAGUUGCAUAAACUAAUUUAAAUAUAAGAUAAAAAGAAACAUUAACAUAUCAAUUUUUAACAUUAAAUUAACAUAUCAAACUUAAGAAAUGUUCAACUAAAUUUUUGUCCACCUAAAGUUAACUAUUGUCAAAUACAAUAAAUUUAAAAUAAACAUCAAAUUUCAUACACUUCAGUGUCUUCUGUUAUCCCGAUUUUCUUAGGAGGCCUCAUUUGUGCUUCAUCAUCAUUUUGUGCCUUCUCUUGUUCUUGUCUCGAACCAUAGUCCCACAAAAUUGAAGCAUAUUUUGUGCCAAGAAGAUCUGGGUCAAAAUCAACAUAUGAAACACCUUCACCAAAAGUAAGACACUCAACAUAUGUCACCAUAUAUUAACCAAUUCCCUGCAAAUAUAUUUAUCAAUAGGUAUCGGUUGUAACAUGAAUAUAUAAAUAUAUACAAGUACUUAAAUAUCAGUACUUACAAGCUGCCACUCGAUUGUUGAGGCAAAUCAUCCACAAAAGAAACAUCAAAUAGAUCCAUCUUAUCAUUGAGUUUGUAAUUCGGAUGAUUAUCAAUAUCAAUAUUCUUAUUUUCGUAGAAUUUACAUGCCAUGAGACAUAAAGGUAUAACCUUAGCUAACUUUUCAACUUCAGCUAGGACCACACCACUAUCCUAUAUGAUCUUCAAUGUCGUUGAGAUUAUGACAUUUUAUAUGUGGUGCAAAUUUGGGCAAUACUGUUGCCAUGCAUAUUUGAUCACGCAAUACCUACAUAUCACAAAAAAUACAAUUAUAGGUCGAAAUAGUGUCACAUAUAUAUUACAAAAUACAUCUUAAAAUUACAUUACAACAUAUAUACAUAAAUUUAGCAUAUGUAUUUUAUGAAUACAUCACUGUUCCAAAAUUAAGUUAUCAUAUAUUAAAAUACAUAUCACGUUCAUCAUCUCAUGAAUAACAAAUACAAAUGAACAUAAAAUACAAAUCUUAGCGCUAACAAUACAAAAUACAUAUCUAAUCCGUAACAACUACAUUACAUAUAUUUUUAAAAUACAAAAUACAUAUCUUAAAAGUAACAAAUACAUAUCUUCACAUUAUCAACUAUAAUUUCAUAUCUUAAUAGUAACUCUCACAUAAGCAGAUAGUUUAUCAAAUGUAUAUAUAAAAUACAUAUAUGAACAUACAGUUCAAAAACAACAAAAAUACAAAUACAUAAAAAUUACCUCCUUUAAUUUCUCUUCUUCAUAUUCAUAAUCAGAUGAAACGGGACUAGAUAUUUUACUAGCUUCUUCUUUUUCGACUGACUUUCUCUUUUUCAUCGAUUUUUGAACUUUUAUGGGUUUUAGAGAUGAUGAUUUUGUCAAUGCUUUCAGUUUCAUGAUUUUCGCAAUCUUCUCCGAAUCAUUACGUUGCUUUGAUCUCACCUCUUCUAUGCUAAUACCUUUCUUCGACUGAAUAUUAGUAGAUAUUAAGUUAACAUCUUUAUCUUGUGUUAAAUCAAGACUGAAAGAGGGUAGUUCAUCGAAAACAAAAUUCACCGUUGGAAUACCUCUAAUUGAACUACUACCUUGUCAUGUUCUGCUAUUAUAUCAGAACUCCAAAAAUUUCAACAUAAAAAAAAAACCCAAGCCAAAAACGCAGAAGAAAUUUGAAGAAAAAAAACUAAUAAAACUUGAAUGUAUGAAUUAUAUGAAAAAUAUAACUUUCAAUAACUGUAAAAUUAACUUAUUUUAUUUGAUGGAAAACUUUGUUUAUCACGAUUUUGAGAGAAAAAACCCCAAUAAAAUCAAAACGCGGAAUAAGUUGAAAAAAUAUUGCGACAAUAAAUUAUAUAAAAGAGAUUAUGAAAAAUAUAACAUGCAUUAACUAUAAAAUCUACUUACCUUAACGGAUGGAGACAAUGUUUAUCAAGAAUUUGAGAGAAAAAUACUGUAUUUGAAAAAAAAAAAAGUGAAGGAAACUGAAAUUGGUAAAGUAGCGUGAUAUUGGUAAAGUAGCGUGAAAAAAGGGUAAGAUAAAAUUAUGGGUACAAGUCACGCUCUUUUCAACAAAAGGGCAAAAUAUUGUUACUUUUGUUAUGACUUAUAAUUUUGAUAAAUUAUUGCUAUUAAUUGUAAUUAAUAUCUUAAAAUUGCUAGUUUAUGUAAUUUUUUCUUUAGUAAACAUAUACUAAAUCAUAACUUACCCCGGCCCACUCUAUCUUUCCAUGGAAGAAAACAACAGAAGGAUUGGGAAUUGGGAUAAGGGUGUAGUAUAGUCAAUAUGCAGUAAUAACAUUAGCAAAUAAUUUAGCAGAGAAGAACAAUUAUGUAAAUCUCCCAACCCAAAGCAUUACAUGCCAAGACAUUAUAAUUUGCCCGGAUCCUGUACUCCUGUAUCUCUAUUUUUACACCAUGACCAGCCGAAAACAGGUCCUCUAGAUGCUCCUCGUGAAAAGGCCAAUGAGAAUGAUACAAAUGGUGAUGAUUAUCAAAUUAAGACGUUCAUCACUUCUUUCAUGAUUUAUUUUAAACAUUUUAUAUGUCUUUUAAAUUAUUAAUUAUCCUGACUUAAAUCCCUUUUUAAAUAGUUUUCAAGUAUGUAAAAUAUAAACAAGGCGAAAUCGAAUUAUAAAAUUUAUUAAUUCGUAUAACAAUCUACCUGUCGUGGUUACCCUUCAGGUGGCUAAACCUAGGGGCGGGCAUAUUUUGGUUUAAACUGAAAAAAUCAAAAAAUCAAAUCAAAAUUUAAUUUUGGUUUCGAUUUUUUGGUUUUUUCGGAUUGGAUUCAAUUUGUAAUUUUAACAGCAAAUUCGCAUACGCUGCAGACUGUUUAUGGAUUGUUUCAGUGACUCAAAUAUUUUAUGGACUAUUUUGGUGACUUUGGACUGUUUUAUGGAUUAUUUAUGUAGAAAGUAUGUUGUUUCAUGGACUAUUUUUACGAGUUUUGUGUUGUUUUGUAGACUAUUUAUGCUAGGUUAUAUUAUAUGUAAUGAUUAAUGACGUUAUGUAUUAUGUUAAGCUUAUGAUUAUUUCAUUUUGUUUCAUCCAUGUUGAGUUAUUUAUAAUUAUUUAUAUUUGGGAAUUAAAAACAGGUUUGAAAAAAAUAUUUUUUUCUAAAAAAAUUCAUCAAUUUUAAAUGCUUAGUUAUGAAAAAGAGAAGCAAACUACUUUAAUAUUUCAAAUCGAAAUAAAAAUUCGAAAUAAUCGAACCGAAUUUGUAAAAACCGAACCAAAUCGAAUUUAUUUCGGUUUGGUUAUGGAUGUCAUUUUUGUCAAUCCGAAAAUCGAUAAACCGAACCGAUAUUAAACAAUUAGACCGAAUCGACCGAACGCCCACCCCUAGCUAAAUCUACUUUUCGCAUUCGCUCAUAAACUGUAUAGGAAAUGUAAAUCUCACUAGACAUACCCAAUGUGACAAGCCUGACUGAAAUGCAUUAGCGGGGUGGGGAAAUCGAUCCCUAGCCUCUCCAAUGGAUAGCUAGCUAUAGUCACAAGAUCCAUUAAUAAAAAGUACAUUUUUCUAUUAGUUAUUUUUAUUGCAAUUAAUUUUCAUAAACGUAGAAAAUUUAUAGCGAACAAUGAUUAUAUUUAGUUUUCCACUACGUGAAACACAAUUAUGGCUUGCAUACUUACUUGGAGAAUAAAGAAAUACAGGGAACCUCUUCAAGUUUUAGAGCAAACUUUUCAAUAUAUAUUUAAUGGUACUUGGUAUUUACAAGUUUUUCUGUUAGUACCCCAUUAGACAACUUUUGUGCUGCUUUCUUGGCUUAUCAAAAUAUGUUCACAAAUGCCAGACACUAACUCACAAAUGCCAUUAUACAAGAUCUCUCCAAGGCUUAUUAUGUUUGCCGAAAGUUAUGUAAUGUUAAGUAACUAAAUUAAUGUGAUCAGUUAAUCACUGAUGUGAGGAGAAGACAAUCUAAGCAUGAGAAUAAAGAAAGUAGCUAUGAGAGUUUGAGAGAGAAUUGAAAAAGAUAUUGUUCAUUGAGCAAUAACUGUCUACAGGAUUCCUCUUUAUAUACAUACACAAAUAUUUCAUACUAGCUAAGCCCACUAAUAACUGCUUCUACUAACUAACUAAUCUCAAUUCACCACUAAUGACAACUAUUGCAUAAUUAACAUACACAUUAGUUGACUAUCACUGCUUAGUAAUUACGACACAUCAACACAUUUAUUAAGCUCCUUCACACUCCCCCUCAAACUAAGAGCUAUGAAGAUAUUUUUCGUUCCUAGUUUGGUCAUCAAAUGUGCAUGUAAGGAUCUCCCAAGUUCUUUAGUAAACAAAUCUGCAGGUUGUUCUGUUGAGGGAAGAUGUGCAGUAUUCGAAAUAAUCGAACCGAAUUUGUAAAAACCGAACCAAAUCGAAUUUAUUUCGGUUUGGUUAUGGAUGUCAUUUUUGUCAAUCCGAAAAUCGAUAAACCGAACCGAUAUUAAACAAUUAGACCGAAUCGACCGAACGCCCACCCCUAGCUAAAUCUACUUUUCGCAUUCGCUCAUAAACUGUAUAGGAAAUGUAAAUCUCACUAGACAUACCCAAUGUGACAAGCCUGACUGAAAUGCAUUAGCGGGGUGGGGAAAUCGAUCCCUAGCCUCUCCAAUGGAUAGCUAGCUAUAGUCACAAGAUCCAUUAAUAAAAAGUACAUUUUUCUAUUAGUUAUUUUUAUUGCAAUUAAUUUUCAUAAACGUAGAAAAUUUAUAGCGAACAAUGAUUAUAUUUAGUUUUCCACUACGUGAAACACAAUUAUGGCUUGCAUACUUACUUGGAGAAUAAAGAAAUACAGGGAACCUCUUCAAGUUUUAGAGCAAACUUUUCAAUAUAUAUUUAAUGGUACUUGGUAUUUACAAGUUUUUCUGUUAGUACCCCAUUAGACAACUUUUGUGCUGCUUUCUUGGCUUAUCAAAAUAUGUUCACAAAUGCCAGACACUAACUCACAAAUGCCAUUAUACAAGAUCUCUCCAAGGCUUAUUAUGUUUGCCGAAAGUUAUGUAAUGUUAAGUAACUAAAUUAAUGUGAUCAGUUAAUCACUGAUGUGAGGAGAAGACAAUCUAAGCAUGAGAAUAAAGAAAGUAGCUAUGAGAGUUUGAGAGAGAAUUGAAAAAGAUAUUGUUCAUUGAGCAAUAACUGUCUACAGGAUUCCUCUUUAUAUACAUACACAAAUAUUUCAUACUAGCUAAGCCCACUAAUAACUGCUUCUACUAACUAACUAAUCUCAAUUCACCACUAAUGACAACUAUUGCAUAAUUAACAUACACAUUAGUUGACUAUCACUGCUUAGUAAUUACGACACAUCAACACAUUUAUUAAGCUCCUUCACACUCCCCCUCAAACUAAGAGCUAUGAAGAUAUUUUUCGUUCCUAGUUUGGUCAUCAAAUGUGCAUGUAAGGAUCUCCCAAGUUCUUUAGUAAACAAAUCUGCAGGUUGUUCUGUUGAGGGAAGAUGUGCAGUAACAAUCAACCCUUCCUGAACUUUUUAUCUAGUAAAGUGGCAGUCUAUAUCUAUGUGUUUCGUUCUCUCAUGAAACAUCGGAUUAGCUGUUGUUUGCAAUGCUGAUCUGCUGUCAGAGAAGAGUGAAAUAAGAACUUUAACCUUGAUACCAAGUUCCUCAAAUAAUACUAUCAACCACACUAGUUAAGCUACUAAUGAUGUCAUUGAUUUGCACUCAGCUUCUGCUGAGCUUCUAGAUGCAGUACGUUGUUUUUUUUACUUCCAUGAAAUAGGUGAAACACCAUAUUGCACUAGAUAUCCAGUGACUGAUUUUCUACUAUUAAUGCAGGCUCCCUAAUCUGCAUCACAGUAAACCUUCAAUGCAUCAUCACCUGUUGCUGACAUUAGUAUUCCUAUUCCUGGUGCCUGUUUAACAUAUAUCAUUAGUCGUAUAGUUGCAUCCAUAUAUGACCUUUUUUGGAAAGUGCAUAAACUAGCUCAGACUUUGUACAACAAAUGCAAUAUCUUGUCUUGUAGUUGUAAGGUAAAACAAUUUCCCAAUUAGUUGUUGGUAACUUGUAGGAUCCUUUAAGAGCUGAUCUCUACUAUUUGAUGACACACUGUGGUCAAAUUCAGCAGUGGUGAGUUUAAGAUGUUGCUCUAUGGGUGUAACAACAGGUUUAGCACCUGCAAGCCCCAUGUCGAAAAUCAAUUCUAAUGCAUAUAUUCUCCGGUGCGUCAAGAUGCCAUCCUUGUUUCUAGCAAACUCAAUCCCAAGGAAAUAUCUGAGUUCUCCCAAAUCCUUUAUUUUGAAAGCUGUUUGUAGAAUUUUUUUGUAUGUUGGAUCAUGUCACUAUCACUCCCUGUCAACAGCAAAUCAUUAACAAAACUAACACAAUAGCAAUUUUAUCACCAUCCUUCUUUGUAAAUAAAGAGUAAUCUCUUGUGCUUUGUUGAAAGAAGAUGUCAAAGCUGAAGUCAGCUUAAUAUUUCACUGUCUGGAUGCUUGUUUCAGUCCGUAUAAGGACUUUAAUAGUCUGCACAGCUUUCCAUCUUUCCUAUCUUUCUGAAAUCCUUCUGGAAUAUGCAUGUGUACUUCUUCAAAAAGAUCUCCUUGCAAGAAAGCAUUAUAUACAUCCAUUUGGUAUAAUUUUCAAUUUUUAGCUACAACUACUGAGAUAACUGCUCUAACAGUGUUCAUCUUCACAAAUGGUGAAAAAGUCUCUUGAUAGUCCAAUCCUUCCUUUUGGCUAUAACCCUUUGCUAUAAGUCUUGCUUUGAAUUAUUCAACAUUUCUAUCAGCCUUAUACUUAAUUUGAUACAUCUAUCUAUAACCAAUAACUUUCUUAUCCUUGGGUAGUGUCACAACUUCCCAAGUCUUGUUAUCUUCUAAGGCUUGAAUUUUAAUUUUCAUAGCUUAUACCCAUCUUGCAUCAGUAGCAUCCUCUGCAUAAUUGGUGGGUUCAGUUUCAGCUGAGAACCUUGAGGAAAAUCCUUAAUAUGUGGUUGAUAUACUCGUAUAAUCUAUUUGAUCAGCAAUAGAGAAUAAAAAAUUGUUAGAUCCUUUUCUUACUACAUAAUCUUUGUGCCAACUAGGUGGCUUGGAACCUCUUGUUGAUCUUCUAAGCUCAGAAACACCUGUAGGUUCUGCUGCUAUGAAUGGAUUUAUAUCAAGUAUUGUUGUCUCUAUUAAGGGUGAUUCAUAAAGAUGUUGUGCAUCUAUAAGAUUUUCUGCAGUAGGUACCACAACCUGUGAAUGCUCCUGAGUAAGAUCUGAAGUUGUACUAAGUUCCUCAUAAGAAAAUACUUGUUGAGGAUGCACAGUAUGGGUGUCUUGGUCUUCUAUACUACCUUUGAAUGGAAACAUAGUUUUCAUGAACACCACAUCUCUACUAACAAAAAUUAUUUUAUUCUCCAGGUCAUACAGUUUGUACCUCUUUUGAUGAGCACUGUAACCAACUAAAACAACUCUUACUGCUCUUGGGCUAAAUUUUUCCUUCUUUGUAAGGCUUGUAGCAAAACACAGACAACCUACAACUCUUAAAUGUAUCAAAUAAGGAGUUUUGUCAUAUAAUAUCUCAAAACGGGACUUCCAUUUCAACACAGAAGAAGGAAUUUUAUUCAGAAUAUAUACAGCUUUUUUAAUGCAUAAUCCCCAAAAUCUGUUUGGUAAACUGCCUUAAAACUUAAUAGCUUUUGCUAUCUCAAGUAUAUGUCUAUGAUUCUCAAGUAUAUGUCUAUACCUUCUUUUCACCAUACCAUUUUUUGUGGUGUGUAUGGACAAAAGCUCUUAUGAAUAAUACCAUAUUGUUGGAACAAAUCUGUACAAGCAUGACUAAAAAAUUCAACACCAUUAUCAGACCUUACUCUCUUAAUAAUUUUACCAAAUUGUGUCUUGACUGCAAUGAUAAAAUUUCUCAAUAGAAAAAGAACAUCUAAUUUAAGUCUCAUCAAAUAAAUCUAGGCCCACCUUGAAUGAUCAUCAACAAUAGUGAGAAAAAAUGCCAGUCCAUCAAAAGUUUCCUAUUUAUAUAGCCCCCAAACAUCUAUAUGAAGUAAGUCAAAACAUGAAACAGUUGUGCUCACACUUCGUGGGAAAGGCAGCCUAGUUUGUCUAGCAAGUGGGCAAACUUCACAAUUAUUCAAAGUUAAUGGCUCAUGUUGUGUAACAUGUUGAAACAUAGAUAGUUUUCUAAGAACAUUUAUUGGAACAUGACACAUUCUUUGAUGCCAAAUGGAAAUAUCUGCAUGUGGAGUUGCAGCAAGGCAUUUGUGAGUUAUAUCUUUUGACCCUAUCUGUGAAUAUAGAGUAUAUAAUCCAUCCUCUUUCUUACCCUCCUAGAUGAGAGGUCCUGUAAUACACAGAAAUUGGGAAAGAAGGUAACACAACAUUUUAAGUCUUUUGUCAUUUUGAAAACCAACAUAAGACUAAACUUAAAAGCUAGCACACACAAAACGUUUGUAAGAACAUCACCUCCUCCAAGGUUAUAGUUCCCAACAUGAGAUACUUCGGCUAAUUCUCGUAUAGACAGUUGCACCUGUCUUAUAUUUUCUAUCAAAUUUUCAUCUGAUAAAUGAGUAUAGUAACCUAUCAUAUGGUUAGUAGCACCUGUGUCUAUUAUCCAUUUAAUGGAAGGGGCCUUAUUAGAGAACGAAGUACCUGCCAUAUUAGUACUUCUUGACCAACAUGAGCAUCUUUAUGUGGUUCCUUAACAACAUGCAUAACUGGAGAAUAAGGUACAAAAUAUAACAUACCCUACAUCAGUCCUGACUGAUUAGACUGAUUGAAGUAAGGUUGCAUCAUGCCCUGGUGUGGCACUAUCUGCUGAGAAUAUUGGUGUGGACUAUAGUAUUGAGGAAAGCCUCCUCGUUGUGAAUAAGACAUCAUUUGGAAAGCCUGUACACCUACAGCAGUGUUAGGAUCAAACACCUGAGUAUUACUUGUCAUCAAUCCUGUCAUAACAUUAGCUUUCUUUCUUCCUUUGAAAUCUGUGGGAUGUCCAAUAAGCUUAUAACAGUCAGCCUUUACGUGGCCAGUAAGAUGACAGAAGUUGCAUUUCAGAAUCUUGUUACAUUCAGCUUUAGUAUGUCCCCUCAUACAGCAAUGGUCACAGAAUGAGUUACCAUUGUAUUGUUUUCUCUACUUGGAAAUAUAUCCUCUAUCAUUAUAACCAUUACCACUACCUUUGGAAGUAUACAUAGCAGUGGGAGUUGAGUGUUCAAGUAUAACUCUACUAGUUCCAGCCAUAAUUCGUUGACUCUAAUCUUGGUUAACCAUGACAUAUACUUGAUUAACACUGGGCACCUGUGGCAUCAUUAAGAUUUGGCUUCUAGCCUAACUGUAACUAUCAUUAGCCCCAUAAAAAAUUGCAAUACUCAUUGAUAUUGCAAGUGUUCAAAAUACUCUCUCAAUUUAGGGCAAUCACAUAAUGGAGGUGGCAUAUUUGAAUCAUAUUCAUCCCAGAGAUUUUUCAAUUUAGAAUAGUAAUUCAAAAUUGAAGAAACACCCUGAACUAAAGUGAAGACUUCUUUGUGUAAUUGAAAAGCUCAAGAACUGUUAAUUUUGUCAAAUCUCACUCGCAGAUCCUCCCAAAUAAGAUGAGUAUUGGAACAGAAUAAGAUUCCUCCAAGUAAAUCAUUGCUCACAUUACACAUUAUCUAGGAGAUCACUAUGGAAUUACAACUAUCCCAUAACUUCUCCAAAUCUUCAGUGUAUUGACUAUGUUUUAUCGAUUCGUUAAUAAAUUCUAGUUUGUUCUUUCCUAAUAGAGCCAAUUACAUAGCUCUACUCCACAAAGUGUACUUAUCUAAAUCAGAUAAUACGAUUCCUACCGACAAUGAACCAAGUGCAUCGGAAGGAUGCAAAACAAAGGGUGAUGAUAAUCGACAACUGUAGUAACUGUAGGAAUAGCUGAAUUUUCCCCCAAACUACUCGGAUCCACAAUGCAAAAUCAAAAAAGGAGAUAAGAGAAAAAAUACCAAAUUCUGCAAAAUCUUCACAAAUUGUGACAACAAUUCCUUCGAGAUGAGCGAAAAGAAACAAAUUCUGUGAAUUCUUCAUAAAUGGUGACAACAAUUCCAUCGAGAUGAGCUCGCACUAGCUCUGAUACCAUGUUAAGUAACUGAAUUCAUGUAAUCAGUUAAUCACUAAUGUGAGGAGAAGACAAUCUAAGCAUGAUAAUGAAGAAAGUAGCUAUGAGAGUUUGAGAGAGAAUUGAAAAAGAUAUUCUUCAUUGAGCAAUAACUGUCUAUAGGAUCCCUCUUUAUCUACAUACACAAACAUCUCAUGCCAGCUAAGCCCACUAAUAACUGCUACUAUUAACUAACUAAUCUCAAUUCACCACUAAUUAUAAUUAUUGCAUAAUUAACAUGCACAUUAGCUGACUAUCACUGUUUAGUAAUUACGGCACAUCAAUACAUUUAUUAAGCUCCUUCACAUGUAAUUCCCGUAUUUAUAGUUAUGGCGAGUAGGUCAUCAAGUUUGAUCAUAAAUAAUAUGUGAUAAGGUUGUUUAUGAUUAAACAAAACGUGUCAUUUUUUUGAUAUAUGAAAACUUUUGAUUGAGAUUUACAACAUAAUUAAUCUAAAUCUUGUAUCAAAUAAAAUAAGGCUUAGUAUUUGUGAAAUCCCAAUAUAAUUAUUCAACUCAAAUUAAUGAACAUGAAUUAAUCUAAAUCUUGUAUCAAUUUAACCAAAUAAAUUUAUAUGUCUAAAGCCUACCCCUACGUUAAAAUUUGUCAAGAUGUAAACUAGCUGAAACUUGAUUUCUUGACUUGAAUUAUAGCCAAUUUUUUUUAUUUUUUGUAAUCUCAAGGCACUCGGUAAUAUUAUUUGCAGUAGUGUAAGACCCUUGAAACAACUUGUUGAAACAAUUUUUUUCAAUUUAUGGUAGAAAAUGCAUCCUCCAUCUUUGCCUUUGAUCUUUUCCAAAUUUGGAGAUGUAAUCAUCCAACUCUAAAAUGAAUAAAAUAUGUUCCUUGUGAUCUUCUUUAAGCUUACAUAACUUUCUAUAACCAUAUAAGAACAAUUGUUAAUUAAAUUUAUGUGCAUACCAUUUCUUUUCUUGUUCGACUUGUAAAGCCUCUUAAAAUCUUACUGACAUUAUGUUUAAUUUCCUAUUGAGUGUUGGCCAUCUUCCUUAGGUGUAUAUGAAUUAGUUUCAUUUUCUUCUUCCAAUUGCACCAUAACUUUCCUUGUAAAAGAAAUGAAAAUUAUCCAUACGAACCUUUAUAUAAGUAUUUUCAAUGUAAAAAAGAUUCAUUAAAGAAUUAUGAAGCUGCAAAGAAAAGUUUUCAGACUGUAUGUUUAACUACUAGACUAUGAUAUCACUUGAUUCUUUUGAAUUCAAAGACGUAGGCCUCCAUUGUAUUUAGAAAAUAGAGCAAAUACACUUAGUACUUUCUCAAUUAACUCUUUAAAGUUCAUUUAGCAGUAUGUUGUUUUCGAUCUGCUAAAUCAAAAUUGCAAGCCAUUUGAUCAUUAUUUCUUUUCACAACUAAUAAUGGAGAGCUGUAACAUAGCAAGGAUUUACAGUCAAAUUCCUCCGGCAUUGUUGCGGUUAUUAUUGUUACUAUUAUUUUUUUAAAAGAACUUAGUUUCAAUUCUAUUGUACUUAAUACCUCUUUUAUGAAUAUAAAUUUUUUUAAUUAAGAAAGAGAAUUCUUUUUUCUGAAUUACUCCCUCUGACCCUAUUUAUACGAUCUGUUCAGACUUUAUGCUUGAAAUUUAUCGACAUGCAUUUUCUCCUUUCAAUAAAUUGAACACCUUCUAGAAAAGAAGAAAAAGAAAAAGAUAAACUAAACGAAAUAAUGAAAACUUGUUUUCAUCUAGAAAAAAGAUUCUUGCCCAUAUUUUUUCGGCUGUUUUCAGCUAAAAGAUACAUUUGGUUAUGGAGAAGCUAUCUGGCAUAUGUACUAUUAUGUAACAAAAUAUUGUUGAAUUAAGUGAUCUUGAACACAUCAUGUGAAUUAUUUGAAUUUAAAAGCUACUAAAUAUUAAAAAGGACAUUAAAGGGGAAAGGUCCCUUUUUGUUAAUAUUCUUGUUAUUAACUAAAAAAAGGUAAUUAAUGAAUUGAAUUUGCAAAUCUUGUGUUAUCAUUUGUUACAUUAAAGGGGAAAUGUCCAUUAUUUUUGCUAAUAUUUCAUCCUCUGUGGAGGCUUAUAUUAGCCAUUCACGAGACCAACUUUUAAUUAAUUCAUAAAUAACUUGGCCAAGACAUUUUGUUAUAAAUUAAUAUUGAGACAAAUCAUUUUGUGACUGAAGGAACUCAAUUAUUAUAUAGGCUUCCUAGAAUCUAACUACGAGCAAAGUUUACUUGCUACAUAUUCAGAACUUAGAUUUAAACUUAAUAUAGCAUUUUAUCCAAGUUAAGACAAUUCUUUCAAUUAUCCAAGGUGCACACGUUGUGCAAAAAUUAGAAAGUGGGGUAUGUACGUACCUACACGUGAAGGUAAAAAUUUACACUCAUCUAUGUAUAUACUAAAUUAGUAUUUUUAAUUAUAAUUAAGUAAUUAAAUUAAGUAAAAUACAUAUUCUAUUAAUUAAUUAUGGUUAAGUAACAUCAAUUCUAAAUUCAAAUACAUCACAUGCAUGUAUUGGCUUGAUGUAUACAUCGAAUGCCUGAAAAUUUUGUGACAAAUGGCGUCCGAGAUACAUAUUAUACUCCAUUUCAAUUUCUUUUCUUGCUUUUAUUUUUAGCCCAUUUUUAAAAAAAAGCAUUUUUAAUAGUUUUUUAUUUUUAAUUUUAACUUUUCACGUGAUAUAUUUAGAACAAUAAAAUUAAAUGGUAUUUUGAUACAUUCGACAUAUCUUUAAUUUAGAAACAUCACAAAAUUAAUUAAAUUUUUUAAAAAAGAUUUCGUGUCAAGUGAAAACCAAACAAAUAAAUUGACCACGGGAUUUAGGCCCCGUUUGUCCAUGAGAAAUAUUUAUUUUUUUCAAAAAUUAUUUCAUUUUAUUUCAAAUUAAAAAUAAUGUUUGACCUUAAGAAUUCCAAAUACAACUUGAAGUUGUAUUUGAAAAAGUAAAAAUAACUCUCAACUAGUUUUUACUUUCUUUUCAUCUCACUGUUUCAUUUUUGGUCUUUCAAUAAAUCUAAAAAUAAAUUCCAAAAAAGGUAUGAUCAAACAAACACAACUCUAACUACAAGUGCAAUUUUUUUUUUUUCCAUAAUUUUCAUGGUCAAAUGAAAAUGCCUACUUAUUCUUUUUUCCUGCUUGGUUUUGUCCACCCCCACCCCACCCCUCUGCUACAACCCACCUCAAACUUCACAUGCAAUUUAAAGCCAUCAGAAUACUAACAUUAGGUUCAUUCAAACUUUUCUUCAAAUCUAUAUAGAGAGAAAGAAAAUUAAACAAAAUAUAGUUUGGCUAUGGGAAGUCUUGGAGAAAAGGAGCUGGAGAUCAUUAGUAAGAUUGCUCACACAUUAUUCUUCAGUUCAAAAAUUAAUCUUCCCUUCAGUUCAAAAUUUAAAGGUUUUCAUGUUAUAUAAUUACUUAUAACUAGUGUGCUUGUGAAGAAGCUAUUUUACACCUUUAGUUAGUGUAUAUAAUUAAAAUUGCUAAAGAAAAUAUAUAAGUCACAUACUGGGGGCAAUGCUUAUUGAAUAAAUGAAAUUUACUUGCAACUAUUUUGAAAAGGACACAAUUGUAUAUGUGACAUGUUUUUUACACCAUCAAAGCAUAUAUAGAACUUAAAGUACUCUAAAACGUACUAUAUAAAUUUGAAAAUACGCUAUAAGUGCUAUGUGCAUUUUUCUUUGCGUCCUUACUCAGAUCAUUUUGCUUAUUCACAGACCAAGAUCAAGAAACUGAUCCAGAAACGACGACGAUGGAUACACUAAUUGUUAUAACUGAACCAUUGACGACUCCAAAGGUUGUUUAUAAGUACCAGAAAUGGCUCGAAGUAGGCGUCCACGCCUUCGUUGUCCUGGCUAGCCAGACAGUUGCAACAAUACUUGCAAAGUUGUAUUACCAAAAAGGUGGUCACAGUAGCUGGUUGAUUUCACUUACUGAAACUGUUGGUUUUCCCAUUCUCCUAAUUCCUAUGAUCCUUUGGCCUGAUAAAAAAAAACCUACAUUAGAAGAGGGAAAUAGUAUUUGUGAUGACUCAAAGCCUCCUUCUAUAAUGGCCAAGUUAGUAAUCUAUAUAUUUCUUGGCUUUCUAGUUGGAGGAGGGUGCAGUUUGUUUUCAACUGGACUUUUGUAUCUCCCAGCCUCAACUGUUUCUCUUAUCUCCUCAAGUCAGUUAGUCUUCAACGUCUUGUUCUCUCUCUGCAUGAGACUAGUAAAACUUACGCCUCUCAUCGCGAAUUCUAUCGUCCUCAUCACCAUUUCCUCUGUUCUCCUAGCUUUACAAAACGAUGAAUCUUCAAGCAAAACAUCAUCGUCUAAGCACCAUUAUGCAGUUGGAUUUGUAUGCACGCUAACUGCUGCAGCUGGUUUCGGAUUACUAUUUUCCACUACAAAUCUCAUGUUAAAGAAAGUACUAAAAAAGAAGACGUUGAGAGAAAUCAUGGACGUUAUUAUUUGUCAGUCGUUUGUCGCGACGUGUCUAAUUUUGAUUGGUUUAUUCGUGAGUAAAGAGUGGAGGAAUUUGAAUUCAGAGAUGCAUAAUUUCGAGCUUGGGGAGUUGUCAUAUGUUAUGAUAUUAUUUUGGAUUAGUGUCUGUUGGCAGCUUUAUACUUAUAGUAUACUUGGGUUGAUUAUGAAGGUAUCUGCUGUAUUUGCAAAUGUGAUUGCUGCUUUGGGUGCACCGGUAAUCCCGAUUAUGUCAGUGAUUAUCUUUAAUGACGAGAUGAGAGGAGUGAAAGCAGUUUCAAUUGUUUUGUCUAUUUGGGGAUUCUCAUCAUAUGCUUAUCAGCAGUACCUUGAUGAGCAAAAGAACAAAGCUGGGGUUUUGAAAAAUUGUAAUGGAACAUCUGAAGAUCUUGGUAUUGAAAGUGGUUGACGUGCAAAGAAAAUUCUUCAUUGAUCUAGAGUCGGAUUUAGGAGCUUGAGUUUACGGGUUCUAAAUUUUAAUAAGUGUUGCAUGAGUAAUAUAUUCCUAUAGUGGAUUCUUAAGCUCAAAUACAUUGACUCUGUUGACUCCAUAGGUGAAGCUCUAGCUCCGCGCCCCUUUUACUUUUUAAGUAUAUGGAUCUUAAGUAUUUCUAUUAAAAGGAUAUUGCUUAUUGCUAUUAUUUUCUUUUUCUAAAUAUCAUAUGUUAACACGAGUUCCCAUUAUUGAAGAAUUAACUUUUGCCUUAAUUUCCUUGAAGAAUUAUCAGUCAAAUACUUUGAAUCAACAAUAUAUACCAGAUACAAACAAUAAAUAGAUUAAUGGAGAAAAGUGUGACCUUUUCCGUUUUUUCCCAAAAACAAGUGAGUUCAUGUUUUUCCCUUCAAAGUGGUGAUUAAAGUGAAGAAAUUCAUUGAAAAGUAUCUUCAUAUGGUGUCUUGCCAGACUAGUUGCAUGCAUAAAGUGGUGUAUUUCUCAUUAUGUAUGAAGAAUCAACUUUACAAAUCAAAAGUCAAGACCUUGUUGCAACUCCUUUAGUCAAAUUUUUUUAAUUAAUAUACUUUAAUUUCUAACUGAUUAAUAUAUAGUCAUAGGGGUAUACAUAGGUCGAGUUGCUUUGAUUUUGUAUUGAAUAAAAAUCAAAUCAACUAUGUCGGUUUAUUAAAAUUAUAAACCAAAUCAAACCAACAUAAAAUCGGUUUUUUCGGUUUAGGUUUUAGUCGGUUCUUUCGUUUUUUUCGGGUUUUCUUGUUUUUUUUUUACAAUCUUUAUUUUUUACAAUUAUAUUGUGAUUGAAGACUAGAUCAAGUAUGUUUUCACUCAUGUGCUAAUGAAAAAACUCAAUUAUGAAAAAUUGAGGAGCGAAAAACUCUUUUGAAACUAAAAAGUAAGACGAAGAGUGAAAAGUUUAGGUUUUAAGUUUAUAUUGGAUUUUGGAUCAUUUUAUUGACAAUUAAUGAACAAAUAUUACAACUUAAUAUAUAUAUAUAUACACACACACACCUACUUUCUAAAUAUUGAAAAUUAAUAAAACUAAUUGAAAAAGUAUUUAAGAAGUAGAUUAUAAUUAAUAUUUUAUGUAUAUAUUAUGUCGGUUUGAUCUUUUUGGAGUUAACAUCAAACCAAAUCAAGAAUGGUUGGUUUUUUUUUCAAACGUCAAACCAACCAAAUCAAACCAUAAGUCGAUUUUUUUUUUCGAUUUCAUUUGAUGGUUCGAUUUGAUUUGACUUGACGGUUUAAUCUGUAGACCUAUAUAGUCAUGCUAUGAUAUAACGUGAAGUUCCAAAACAGCAAAAAGGUAUCGAAUAUAUUAGGUAGAGUUUCCUUAGAAAUUUUUGUUUCCUUAUUAUUUAUUUACGUAAUUUAUUGAAACACAGAGUGUUUUUUUAUAUAAACGAACUUGAUUCUUCUCUUUUUACUGGAUUGCAUAUUUGCAUUAGAGGCCGCAAAGAAUUAUACAUGGGAUGCCCCCAUAUCGAGUAUAAUGCUUGUAUCAAUACCAUGAUAAAUAAUGGAGUGAAUAAUAAUAUGUCUUUAAAGCUUUUAAAUAAAUAAAAAAAUAUUUGUGCGUUAUAUUUUUUUAAAAAAAUAAUAAUAAUUAAUAUAAAUAUUUUAUCAUAGUAAUUAUAUUAAAUAUUAAUUUUAGAACUUAAGACAUAAUUUAAGGAAUAAAUAAUUAAUAUUAACAUAAAAUAUGGGAAAACCAUUUUUUCUUUAAAAUUAAUAAUCAAGACCAUGGUCCAUGUGUCAUCUCUUGGGGCCCGCUUGUUGUUGUUCGGCCCCACUUAUCCAAAUACACUUCCUAAUUGGAUAAUGCAAUGGAAAUAGCUUAUCCUCCGGACCUACACCAUAUUAUUUCCAUUUCUUUUAAGCAAAUACCCCGUGAGCCUCUAACUACAACUUCACGAUCCCCAUGUCAAUUCAAGUUUAUUUCACAUUAUUAUUGUAUCACAAUGAAAUAUGAAAUUAAGAAAAAAGUUGCAUCUUAAUUAUGCAAUUAUAUAUCUUAUAUAGAUAAUGGAGUACAAAUCCUGAUUUGGAUAAGAUAAAUAGAACCCGAAUUAUAUCUCUUUUAUUAUUCUGAUUAAACUAGCUUGAUGAAUUGUUUGAUUCAGAAUAAUCACAUAAUUACAAUAUGAAAUCUAUAGCUAACACCAUCAAUGAAAUACGGUACCUAAUCUUUCAAUCAAAGCACCUUUCAAUUUGGAGGGACAAAUUGUUAUCCUAGACCGUAACGCAGUGAAUCGUUUCUUUCCCAUAGUCCAGAUAUUUCCUCUCUUUUUCGCCACCGAGUCUGAAGAUAUGUGCACUUUUUUCAGAUUAAUAAAAAAAUAAAGAAAGAAGAUAUAUCAUAUAUGUGCCCCCAAAUAGUUCACACUUUUCAGUAGUCGUUAAUUCUAAGAAACGGUUAUUCCUUUCUCUCUUCUCUCUCUCUCUCUCCCUCUCUCUCCCUUCUUUCAUCUGAGAGUUUUUGUACUCCAUUGAUGGAGAUGAAGAUCUCCAACUGCUUACCGACGCAAAAAUGGUGUGGAAAUGGAGGAGUAGGAGGAGCGGUUUUUUGUAGACAAGUAAAUGUUCGAUUCUAUCCACGGCCAUCUCAACGCUUGCUUCCACCUUCAGGCAAAAUGCGCCAGCGCCGCAAUUUCAGGUACUUCAUUUCGGACUAGUGUAGAUUUUGAUAAGGAUCAGUUGAUUGCAUUUCGGAAAUACUUGAGCUGGUUUCGUUGAGUGAUUUGAGGUUUAUAUGUGAAAAAAAAUACUGAUUGUUGUUAUUUGUUGAAAAAAUUGAGUUGUUUAAUUAGGUAUUGGAGUUUUUGAUUAAUGGAGAGUCAGUUGCUUUCGUUGGAGUUGGUUUAUUGUUUUUCUGAGAUUUUGUGUUGUCGAAAAUGCUUCUAGUUUGUUUUUCCCUUCCUUUUUCGGUUUUUAAAUUAGGUUUAGGAGUUUAUUUGAAAUCCUUUCGGGAUGAGUAGUUGAGUAGGCAAAAUGCGCCAGCGCUGCAACUUCAGGUACUUCAGUUCAACGAGUGUAGAUUUUGAUACGGAUCAGUUGAUUGCAUUUCGGAAUACUUGAGCUGGUUCGUUGAGUGAUUUGAGGUUGAUAUGUGAAAAACUUGCUGAUUGUAGUUAAUUUUGAAAAAAAAUAAAAAUUGAGUUGUUUAAUUAGGUAUUGGAGUUUUUGAUUAAUGGAGAGUCAGUUGCUUUCGUUGGAGUUGGUUUAUUGUUUUCUGAUAUUUUGUGUUGUGAAAAUUGGAAAAUGCUUCUAGUUUUUUUUUCGGUUUUAGAUUAGGUUUAGGGUUUAUUUGAAAUCCUUUUGGGAUGAGCAGUGGAGUAGAUUUGAGUUACCGAGAAUCAUUUGCUUUAGUUUCUGUUAGCACGAGUUGGUUCUGUGAAUGGAGUAUUUGCACUUGUGGAGAAGUCAUUUGAGUUUUUGAAUUGUUAUAUAUUGUUUCAAAUGAGUAUCUGGAUAUUAUCAAUGAGAUGGAUUUGUCAUUGAGGCUCUGUAUGUUGAGCAGAGUUUCCGUUAAAAUGUGUUAUAAGUGAUUAACUUCUGGUUAAUGCGAUACAUGUCCAUUCUCAUAUUAUUAUUUGGAAAAUUACAUGGACUAUUACUUUGUUGUGCAUUAUGCUCUGUUUAAUUUCCCUUGAUUGGGUACGGAAUCAUUGUAGUGCUGAAUAGAGCAGGCCAAGGAUUUGAGUAUUCGAGAUUUUUUCUCUAGUUUAUCUCCUGAAAUAUUGAACAAAGACCUAUACGUCAUGGCUACAGCUUAGAACUAUGUUCCAUGGAGUAUAUAUUUAUGUUACAUCGUCUUUUAUGGAUAUUAAUUUGCUCAUAUCUGGGAAGUUCACUGGCGGAUGGAGAACAUUUGUGAUUGAAUAAGCUGCAAUUUAUUAUGUACUCUGGAACUCUACUUAAAUGGCUUGGUGAAAAAUGUAUUUCUAGAUGUCGAGUAGAUCAACAUAGUUAGAAACACAAAAUCAAUGUUCUUUUCUAUCUCCUGCUGCAGUAAUUGACUAUGCUUUGAAAUUUCCAGUUUGCAGAACAAGAGACAACAGACCAAGAAGAUAAAUACUGAACGGCCACCAAAUGUUGAUUUUCAGUCAAGUGAUGAUGUAGAAUCCAAUACUGAAAAUACGUCCAAACAAAGCCUAGAAAGUUCAGAUCAGGAAAGUUCAAUCAAAGAAAAUGUUGACACUUUGUCAGAAACCGAAAGUUCAGAUGAGAUUAGUUAUGUGGUAUGUUCUUUGAAAUAUUGGAAUAUGAGAUAUAUGUACUGGUAUGUAUGUUGAAUAAGGGUUUUCAGGUGUGUCAUCCAAAUUUCCCCUUUCAUUGAAUUCCCCAAGUGGAGAUUUUCACAAAUCCUGAACCCUAUAAAAGUUAUCUGAAAAUCUCAGGAAUGCAUCAAAGAGUGCCUUGAGGAGACAUACCCUUAUUUUGGCCAUUGACAAAUAACUAAGUGCCUGUCAUCAUUUGAACUAAAUUGUUGUACCUUGUGGUUUUUUGAUGGAUCAUACUCUAUAUUAUGAAGUAUGAAAUAUGUGCCAGUGAGUGCUUGCAUUAGAAAAACAUAGUUCCUAAUGUUUUCAUAUUUAAUAUCAACAUACAUGGCUUCAUAUGCACUAGAGUUAUAGUUUCUGUACACCUACUAAUACUGUAAGAAAAACGGAGUGCUAAUGGUUUAACUAAUAUUAAUAGAAUUGCCAAAAGUAAACCAAAUAAAGCUGAAUGCGCCUUCGAGGUGAGUAUGCAGGCGAGUAACUAUCUUUGACCUCCCUUUGCUUCUUCUCUUUUGUAAUCUACCAAUAGUCCCUUGCAGUUUCUAUGGACCCAUAAUAUCUAUGAUACCAUUUACAUAAGUAUGGAACUUGAUCUAUCAUCAGUGUUUAUGAACCUAACAACUUAGAGCAUCAAAUAACAUCCAGUUUAUUGCUGUGUUAGGAGCGAAAAGUAAGCAUCAACAGAGGUUUGAUGCAUGUCAUACAUCCUCAGAAAUAAGCUCCACCAAAUGGUCUUUGUUGUUUUGUUCCUUGCUAAUAAAGAAAUUAAAAAGAUUCUUGUUUCACAUCUACUCUUUAAUUAGUAAUGUCUUUAGCAAUUUUAUCUUUUGUUCAAUUUAUCCUAAUGGUGCAAAUUACUUGGGAUCAUAAAUUGAAUACCUCGUAAUUGAGACAGUCUGUCGACUCAAAUGAGGAGGGACAACCUUCAAGCGUUCAUCUUCAGGAUUUGAUUGACAUGAUAAGAAAUGCGGAAACGAGUAAGACAUUGUGGUUUUCACUCUUUAAGUUCACUUAAUUUUGCUAUUUUAUGGUUUUCUCCUUGGGAAAUUUGUGUGGAUUUCAUCAAAAUCGAAAGAUCAUUGUGUAACUUCGUUACCUUCUGAAUAAUAUCUGUAGAUAUUCAUCUACUCAAUGAAGCUCGUGUCCAUGCAUUAGAAGAUCUUCAAAAAGUUCUUGGAGAGAAAGAGGAUUUGCAUGGGGAGAUCAACAUUUUAGAAAUGAAGCUGGCAGAAACUGAUGCACGGCUCAGAGUUGCUGCCCAAGAAAAAAUACACGUGGAACUUCUAGAAGACCAAUUGGAAAAGCUGAAAAAUGAAUUGUCUAACAGCAGAGGUGAUGAGGAAAAUGUGCUUCAUGUGAAUAAUUCAAUUCCUCUUUCACAUAGUGAUUCUGUUAAUUCACUGAGUGAGGAACUUGAUUCGUUAAGGAAAGAAAAUAUAUUAUUAAAGCAAGAUCUUCAAGCGAUGAAGUCAGAGCUUAGUUUAGUCAAGGAAACAGAUGACUACAUCUUAAUGCUAGAGAAAGAACGAUCAGUUCUUGAAUCUUCUUUAAGUGAGUUGGAAUCUAAACUGGUUGCAUCUCAGGAAGAUGUUUCAGAGCUCUCUGCCUUGAAAUUGGAGUGCAAAAAUUUGUAUGAAAAAGUGGAACACUUACAAUUGUUGCUAGCUAAGGCAACCAAACAAGCAGAUCAAGCAAUAUCAGUGCUACAGCAAAACCAAGAGCUGCGGAAAAAGGUUGACAAGCUUGAAGAGUCUCUUGAAGAGGCUAGCAUCUAUAAGCUUUCGUCUGAAAAGUUACAGCAGUAUAAUGAACAAAUGCAGCAAAAGAUAAAACUUCUUGAUGAACGCCUUCAGAGGUCUGAUGAAGAGAUACAAUCUUAUGUCCAGCUGUAUCAGGAUUCUGUCAAGGAGUUUCAAGAUACACUUGAUAAUUUGAAAAAGGAAUCCAAAAAAAAAUUUCUAGAUGAAGUUGUAAACGAUAUGCCUUGGGAAUUUUGGAGUCGGUUGUUGUUGAUGAUCGAAGGUUGGUUUAUGGAAAAGAAAAUCUCAAAGGAUGAUGCAAAGUUGUUAAGAGAACUGGUCUGGAAGAGAGAUGGACGUAUCUGUGAUGCAUAUAUGUCAUGCAAGGAAAAGAAUGAUCGUGAAAUUAUGGCGGCAUUUCUUAGAUUUACUUCAUCACCAACACGGUAUGUCUGGUUUCAAAAAUUCGUAACCGGAUAUUCCUAGUUUAAGGAUAUAACUUGCAGUUUCUUUUCUGGUGAACCAAUAGUCCAGGACUGCAUAUCAUCCAUAUUGCAGCCGAGAUGGCGCCAGUUGCAAAGGUAUAAUGCUCACCUCUGUGAAUUGCAGUCCCCUCUAUUAGAUGAAGAUGAUGAAACUUUCUCUACGGAGGAAAAUGUUAUCCAUGCAGAAUAUUUUCUAAGAAAACAAGUGGUUUUUUUAUUUAAUUUCCUGUGUUCGGUAUGCAAGUAAAAAAUGUUAUCCUAAAAACAUUUGUAUAAAUCUAAUACAAAAUUAUAAGGAUGGGUAGGGGUAGGGUGAUGGAUGUUGUGGUGGGGGUGAGGGAGGGGAGUGGGAUGGAGAGGGUAGGGGGUUGUUAGGGGUUUGGAGGGUGGGAUAGGAGGAGACAAUGCCACUUGUUUUCUCUACUUUCAUUAAGGAAGUCAUUUUCCUUAUUUCCAACAAGCUUGUUUUCCUAAAGAAAAUAUUUUCUAGAAUUUUUAACCAAGCGAACAUGAUGAAAUAGGAAAACAUUUUUUUCUGGAAAAUGUUUUCCUCCAUACCAAACACACCCUUAACCUGUAUUUAUUUGUGUAAUAUGCUCUUCAGAAUGCAUUAUUGAAUUGUAUGUUCUGUAUUUAGGAGUUGUUCUCUCCUUACAUCGAUGUACAAAGGGAGAAAGGAGAAGUUAAUAAAAGUAAUUCAAUAAUAGUACCUAGAUUUAAAUAUGAAGGCAAUUAACAUGAGUUGGUUAUAAAUCAUCUUUAGCGUAAGUCCAUAUAACUCUAGGUUAGACCAGAAUCACAUAUGCAGGGGCAGAUAUAGGGGAAGGAUUACCCUUUAUAUAUAAGAUAGAUUUUCUGUGUUUAUGUACAUAUAUAAAUUUUGAAUCCCCUAAACGACAUGCAAAAGGUUAGCUCAGCGGUCCAAGGCAUUCAAAAUGCACCCAAUGUCCAAGGUUUGAUUUCCCUCCUUGAUCCGCCACUGCACAUAUGCACCUAGUCUAUUAAAAAGUUAUCUUCCCUUCAUCUGUGCAUUUUGAAGUUUCCUGGUGGUUGGUGCUAAUGUUUGUUUGGUAAAGUGUAUACUUACCUUUUCUCAAAAAAAAAAAAAACUUUGUUUGGUACAAAUAUAGCAAAGUAGGCUGCAAAUGAUCGCUGGUCACGGAGCCAGUAUUUCUACUGUUGGGAUGUUGUGUCUUUCCUUUAUUUGUUCUUUGUUCUUUGUUAGUCCGUUAUGCCCUCUGCAAGUUGCAUGUUCUGUUGAAAGAUACUAAUAUAUUUAGUAAGCAAUCCCUACAAACUAUUCUAGCUAAAAAUGAUUAUUGCUCUCAAGAACAAUGUUUUGGUAAAUUAAGCAACAACUAUGUAAUUAUAUACUUAAAAAUUAGGCAACAACUGUAUUGGAGGCGUUUCAAAUGUUUCAAUAUAUCUAAAAGGUAUUUCUUAAUUGUCUCAUAGGUAGGUGGUUUAGGGGAUGUGGUGACAGGUCUUGGCAAGGCUCUGCAGAAGAAAGGUCACCUUGUGGAAAUUGUUCUUCCUAAAUAUGAUUGUAUGCAGUACGAGUCAAUUAAGGACAUGAAGGUAUGCUUAAAAGUUGACAUUUCCAUCAUCACCUUAAUAGCCAGUUUGUGUUAUAAUUUCAGAUCACGUAAAUGGUUAUGCUUUUCCAGGUCUUAGAUGUGGUGGUUGAGUCAUACUUUGAUGGUCGGUUAUACAAAAAUAAGAUCUGGACGGGCACUGUUGAAGGUCGAGUAUUUACGGUCCACAAGGAUCCAUUUCUUUGUUACUCCUUUUGCCUUUAGGUUUGGCUAUAUCAUAUGUCUUUGAUUUCAGGCCUUCCGGUUUAUUUUAUUGAGCCUCAGCAUCCUGGUAAAUUUUUCGGGAGAGAAAAACUUUAUGGGGAGCACGAUGAUUUCAAACGAUUUUCAUUCUUUAGCAGGGUGGCACUUGAACUACUACUUCAGGCUGAAAAGAGACCAGAUAUAAUUCACUGCCAUGAUUGGCAAACAGCUUUUGUUGUAAGAUUGAUUGCGACUUCUCUUUACCUUUUAGAUCCUUUUUUUCCGUACAUUCAGGAUUCUAUUAUUUCAUGAAGGCACCACUUUAUUGGGAAAUAUAUGUGCCAAAAGGAUUGAACUCAGCCAGGAUGUGUUUUACAUGCCAUAAUUUUGAGUAUCAAGGGACUGCGCCAGCAUCAGAAUUAACAUCUUGUGGUCUUGAUGCUUAUCACUUGAACAGACCAGAUAGGAUGCAGGACAAUUCAGCAAAUGAUAGAAUAAAUCCCGUUAAGGUAUCAAGAUAUCUGUUGAUAAGUUAUCAUAUUAGUUGCUCCUCUAUUUUUGUGUCGACUUUUUUAAUACGUUGUCGAUGUGGUUCUUUCUUGUUCCAGGGUGCAAUUGUGUUUUCUAACAUUGUUACCACAGUUUCACCAACUUAUUCUCAAGAGGUUCGCUCUGCUCAGGUAUUAAUUUCACUUCCCUAAGCACCUUCUCUCACAUCUGUUUUCAUGCAGUAUCCAGUCAUUUUUCUUAAUCUUAUACUUAAGUAAUUGGUUUCUCUAGUGGGCCACGAUAGGUUUUGUUUGAAAUGCAACUUAAAUGAGACCUUUGAACUAUAGUUUCUGCAGGCCUGAGAUGACCUGUUGCCAUCUUCAUAAAUAAAUAAAAACUUCUAUUGUUGCCAAAGAGUCGAGAAAUAUAUCUCUUUCCUUCUUCAAUAUUCUUUUCCUUGUCUUUCUUUCUGGUCUUAAAGAUGCUGAAUAUCCCCCUGUUGACUUCAAGGAUUGGUAUGAAAUCUAACGUCUUCUAUAAACAAGUGGUGAGAGACAUCCUUGAUUUUGUAGAAGGUCCAAUGAUCAUGUCUUUGGGUCUUCAUCAACGAUUUAUGGUUAGCCAUAUGGUCAAUAUAUUUUCAAGAUGGUAUGCAUACUACUUUUGGCAGAAACUUUAGAAGACCUUGAACUUAUUGGUGGUACACCUGAUAAAGCUUAUUCGAGAUUUGAGAAGUCCAAAGGUGGUUUGGCAAAAGGAUUAAGUUCUCUUCAAAAAUUGAGUGCGCUUUCAUUUGAGUUCUUACUUAGUUUCAUCUGGUACAUGAUGAUCGUUAAGUCUGUAGAUGAUAUUAAUUACUUAUGCAUGUUUCAAGUAAAUAAUCCCCUCCUACUAGGUGAGGAAAAAGGUUUCUUUGACAACCUGAUAUCAUGUUUAGACAACCCUUUACACCUUGCGUGAUGAAUUUCUGCCUCAGAGUCAAUUUUCAUUGGUGACGUACAGGGAGGAAAAGGACUUCAUGCAACAAUUAACUCCCAUUCUAAGAAGUUUGCUGGAAUUCUGAAUGGAAUUGAUACUGAUGCUUGGAAUCCUGCUUCUGAUAAUUUUCUUAAGGUCCAAUACAGUGCCAGUGACAUAGAUGGAAAAAUAGAAAAUAAAGAAGCUUUAAGAAGACUUCUAGGGCUCUCUUCUUCUGACUUUAGACAACCAUUGGUAAGAAUUUCCUUUGUUUAUACUAUUAAGCUAUGAUUAUGAUGUCAGUAUUACACUUCCAUAACAGCACAAUGCUUUAGUUAGCUUAUGACUAACCUUUUAUGAGAUUCAAUACAAAAAUUAUUACUUCCUCUUUCUCAUUUUAUGUGAAGGUAUUUGACUAAACUGAGUUUUAACAAACAAAGAAGACUUUUGACCUGUAGUUCAAAUAUAUGCGGAAGUGUCAAUAUUACCCUUUUAAAUCUGUAAUGGAGAGAGUUCCACAUGUCCUUUUAUUUUACGUCAAGUGGGUCCCAACAAGUCAUGUCAUUUCGGGUAAAAUGUGAUUCUAAGAUUAAAUAGUUUCCAAAAAGAGUUUGUCAUCCUUUUCCGGAAAAACUAAAAAGGAAGGUGUGUCACAUAAAAUGGGAACAGAGGGAGCAAUUACUAGCUAUAGCAUAACUCUUUGCAUUCCAAUGGAAUUCAGGGACUCCAAGUUUGGAUUUGGUGGCAAAAAAUGUUUUACAGAGGCGAGUACUGCUGAAACUACCAUUGGUUUCAGAAGAUCCCACUAGUGUGAAUUUUCUGUAGAAAAAAGAAAAAGAAAAAGAAAUGCACCAAGUGAUGACUCUGUAUAUUACUAACUGAGUCCAUGAACAAGAUUGUAAAGAGAGUCAAGAUUAAGUUCUAUGACUAAAUUUAGCUGGAAAUCCUGAGCCUAACCUUAAAAUCUGACUAUGAAUUCUCUAGAGUUGCAAAGCAUGCUGGUGGGUCUUCCUAAUCAUUUGUAUCCAUGUGUGUCUCAUUUAGUUUCAUUGUAUCUUGCAUAGUUUAUUAUCCUUCUCUCAAGGUAAUCUUGUCCACUCCGUUAGUUAACAUGGGAUAUAUCUUAUCAAAGUUAACUCGAGAAACAUUUCAUUUCAGAUAAUAUUCUUUUGAAUCUAGUCUAAAUCGAAAAUGUUGGAACGUCAUGAGUUAUGACAGUUCUGAUGUUUUAGGUUGGAUCAAUCAGCCCACUGCUAUUAUUCUAUCUUUAAUAAUAUAUGGAUGACAUUAUGACAAUGUUAUGUUGUCACUACUCAUUUUAUUGUACCAAUUGACCUUUCUUGGCAUCCACAUUCUUAUAUUACAAAUUCUGAUGUAAAUGUACUCACUGCUUAUAACCGAAGUUGAAAAGUAGAGACACCAAAAAAGACAUGGCGUACAGUAUGUUAAAAUUUUCAAACAUUCACAAUGCUACCAAAAAAAAUUUCAAACACGAUAUCGGAGGAUUAAUAGCCAAUGAUUUAAGAAAAGCAUCAGUUGGGUGGAUAUACUAAUUGACAUUCCAUUAUAAGUUGCUGUGCUUAUUUUUUCCUUUUGGAUAAAGACUUCCAUAUCACUUGCAUAUUUUAACCUAAGAUUGCUUGGUAACAGGUUGGUUGCAUAACAAGACUGGUUCCUCAAAAGGGUGUACAUCUUAUUAGACAUGCCAUAUAUAGGACUUUGGAGUUGGGAGGUCAAUUUGUUCUUCUUGGUUCUAGCCCAGUGCCACAUAUUCAGGUAAUGAUUUCCUUCCCGUAUGCUAUAUGAAAAUACUAUCAUAUAUUGUCUUAAUGAUGAUAUCAAAGUGAUAUAUUUAGCUGAUUUUUGCACACAGAUAAGCCUCUUUAGCUCAAGCUUCUAAAUUUGUUUAUCAAUAAAAUGAGAAAUACGGAAGAAGAAAAGGAAGGUUCUACAUUCCAGUUUUGUCAUUACGAAUUCUUCACACCUUUGUUGGGUUUUCAAUUUUAUAUGUUGGAUCUUCUAGUUGGGGGUACAUGAGAAUGAACAAUUCAGUAACCGAAUCUUUCAGUCUAGUAGUUCAGGCUUUUUGUUUCUGUGCUACUCAACUCAGAAAUCCAUCCUUUACAGAGACAUCCGAAACUUGGAAACCCCAUAGCACCUUUUUCUGAUGAUUCAAGAAUGAAUUGGUAUCAGUCGGAGUUAUAUUCCUUGUAAAAGGUUGGCUUGUCCUUUCUUUGAGAUAUGGUGUCUUAUGCUAAGGUUUAGGGGUGGUGGUUUCUUUAAGUUUCUUUAAGGUUAGAGGCAUUCUUUAUAUUGGUACUUAAACUUAUACUAAUUGAAGCUUGAUUUUAAUUCUUAUGGCCCCUAAGAUGAAGAUGCUUGUGUUUUCUUAGAUUUUCCUAUAGUGGCUUCUCCUUCCAUUGUUAAUCAUGGGAAAAUAAUAAAACCAUAUAUGAUGGAAAUCUAAUGCUUCGCUGUCAGAUAUUUUUGGCUGAACUUUAACAUGUUAUAUCUUCUCUUUUUUUUCCAUGUCUAUUUCUUAUCAAACCAUUCAUGUGAACUUGUCUGCACUUUGCUGUGGACUCCACUUCUCCACUGUUUGCUCUACCCCUAGCGCUUCCUAGUAUAAUGUUUGGAGCUUUGUCAACUCAUGCAUCAAUGUUGGUGCAGAGGGAGUUUGAAGACAUUGGAAACCAUUUCCAAAAUCAUGAACAUGCUCGGUUGGUAUUGAAGUAUGAUGAGGCUCUUUCCCAUUUGAUUUAUGCAGCAUCUGACAUGCUUAUCAUCCCUUCCAUCUUUGAGCCUUGCGGCCUUACUCAGGUCAUUCCACAAUUGCUGGAACGAUUUCUAUUAAAUCAAGAACCUGUAGAAUAACUCGAUAUUUUUAGGUUCUAGUGUUCAUCUGCAUUUCAUUUGUGCAGAUGAUAGCGAUGCGAUAUGGGUCAAUACCAAUAGCUAGGAAAACAGGGGGCUUGAAUGAUAGGUUCGUCAAUGCGGAACAGCAGGACUUCUUUAUUAGUCAGCAGUCAUGGUUAUCCUGUUUCAUAUUUAUUUAUUGAUCAUUCAAAUGUGUUUGCAGCGUUUUUGAUGUUGAUGAUGACACAAUCCCAGUUCAGUUUAGAAAUGGAUUUACAUUUGUGACUGCUGAUGAACAGGUAUCCGAAAUUUAAUAGCUAAGAGCCUAUACAUUAGUAAAAAGUUAUCCAAGUCACAAUUCUGGUUCAGUUUUGCAGUCUUUUAGCAAAUUAUUACUGUUCGGAAUCUGCAUCAAGCAUUGUUCUUUAUAUCCAGCACCUGGCAUUAUUUUUAAAUGAUGCAUACAAAGUUUGAUGUUGCACUAUUCCAUGACCAGGGAUUCAACGCCGCCUUGGAACGUGCAUUUAACUAUUACAAGAACAAUGCCGACACUUGGAAAGAGCUUGUUCAGAAGGACAUGAGCAUAGAUUUUAGUUGGGAUUCAUCAGCAUCGCAAUAUGAGGAACUUUACGAGAAGGCUGUGUUGAGAGCAAGAACUGCAAGUCGUAGUUGACCUCAUUUUGAUCACAAUUUGUUAAUUCAUUGAUCUAGUAUUCUAGUUAGCUGCUUGCCUAUAUGCCGUCAUUGUGAGGGAAUGACAUCCAUUCGAGGAUAACAAAGCGAGCACCCACUUGACUGAACAUUGUGAUUUCAUAGUCAGUAUAAUGCAUGUUCAACAUCGGAUCAAAGGUGAAACGCAGAAUUGGCAUACCAUCUGCGAAGCUUUUCCGUACGAAAAUGAGCAACUCAGUUUUGUAAAUUUGUGUAAAAACUUUAUGUUAUUACUUGUUAGUACAAUGUAUUCUUUUGGCCCAAAUAUGUUGUAAAUACUUUUCGUACUGCUUAAAGCUAGAAUAUAGACAGUGUAGUGAACUUUUUUACGUACGUGGGGAUCCUUUAUGGAUUAUAAAGACAUUCAAUAAGCUGCUCUAGCUGUAAAUUCAACCUUAAGCUUUCAAAAUAGAUUUACAGUUCGUCUAGUUACUCACAUGUGCAGGGGUACCUUUUUUUCUUUUUCUUUUUUCGUAUAAUUUUGUUAGUGCUUACAUCAUGGGUGUGGACUAUGGAAAAUGGAACUCAUUACAGAACAGUCAUUCAAACACAACCAAAAUUUCAUUAUAUUGUCUGGUAGCACACAACAGCUUUACAAAAGAAUGUUUUAAGGUUUUCAUUUUCCAGGGACAAAGUUUGUGGCGUAGGCCCAGGCGUUGUUGUUAACUGGGUCUGCAAGGUGGUCAGCAAGGUUCUCCAAUGGACCCUUUCCAGUAACAAUGGCUUGGACAAAGAAUCCAAACAUAGAGAACAUAGCAAGUCUACCGUUCUUAAUCUCCUUUACCUUGAGCUCAGCAAAUGCCUCUGGAUCAUCAGCAAGACCUAAUGGGUCAAAGCUGCCACCGGGAUAGAGUGGGUCGACAACCUCGCCAAGAGGCCCACCAGCAAUACGGUAUCCCUCAACGGCUCCCAUCAAGACAACUUGGCAAGCCCAGAUGGCCAAGAUGCUCUGUGCAUGGACCAAACUUGGGUUGCCCAAGUAGUCAAGUCCACCCUCGCUGAAGAUCUGAGAUCCAGCCUUGAACCACACAGCCUCACCAAACUUGACACCAUUACGGGCCAAGAGCUCGGGGAAAACACAUCCAAGAGCACCAAGCAUAGCCCAUCUGCAGUGGAUCACCUCGAGUUCACGGUUCUUGGCAAAGGUUUCUGGGUCUGCUGAAAGUCCAGCAGUGUCCCACCCGUAGUCACCAGGGAAUUCACCGGUCAAGUAGCUUGGGGCCUCACCGGAGAAUGGGCCCAAAUACUUAACACGGUCUGGGCCAUACCAUGGGCUGCCAGAUGAGGCAGGCUUGGAGGCAGCCUUUCUCAUGGAGAUCCUUCCAUUUCCAGAGAUUUCUGAGGCAGAGGGUGAGAGUUUCACUGCCUGUCCAGCAAAAGAAGGGGAAGAAAGAGCCAUUGUAGAAGCUGCCAUGGCUUAUCAAGAGAAAAGUGAGUGUUUGAUGGUAUGAAAUAUUGUUGAAUUUGGCUGUGAUGAAACUGAAGUCAGCUGGGUUUCAGAAUAUAUAGCAAGUAAGAGGAAAAGGGUCCUUAUCUAGUGAUAUCUAUAUCUAUGAUCUCAUUGGGUAUCAAGAUUACUCUUCACUCACACUUGGCAGUCUUAAAUCCAUCAACUUUUCCAAGAUUUUUACAAGGGGGACCCAACCAAUGUUGUCCGCCCAUGUGUGGUUACAAGGAUUGCACUCUAUCUUGUGAACUUACAAUAUGAAUACGAUGCCUUCCCAUUGGACACCUAAGCUCGCCAGAUUUCUGUCCACCAGCAGGAUAAAAGACUCCUACUGUCUCUACAGCUAGCUCGUUCAAUGUAGGACCACACGAUAUUUUUCAUACAUCUAUUGUCCCUGGUUUUAGAGUUUAGUAUUUAGCUAAAUAAGAGAAGGGACAAAAUGAGAUUUAUUAUUAUUUGAAUUAUAAAUUAUGGGAAAUUAAAUUGCAUGCUUAAUUAUAGUUGCAAAAAAGCAAUGAGAUAAUUAACUGGUAACAUUUUGCUUCUUUACUAGUGAGUGAAAAAGGGAAAGAAAAUACAAUUAAAGAAAAUGGGAAGAACUCGGUGAUUAUAGUUGGCAUAAUUCUGGCUAUAGAUAAGAUUUUUUAAAACAUAGAUCCAUGUAUAUAUAUUUGUUAGUUUAUCUCAUGGUCAUGGAGAGGCAUUGUGUUCAACAGUUCAACUAUUUUCUGGCCAUGCUCAUGUAGUUAUUGCACUAAUCCACUACCAUAGGCUAGAAUUUUCAAGGCUUUGGCAUAAAAAUCUGCAGAGUUUUUCGAACGAGAAAUUAAGGUAAUUUAUGAGGCUGCAAACAAUAUCUGUUUGUUGUUAUUGUCCGUAUGUGCGCGUUUAUAUAGCUCAGAUAUUGUUCAUGUGUUUAAAGAAUGAAUAUAAGCUGAUCUGGUCUUCAAAUUCAAGUUUUAAGUUUUUAAUUAGUAAAAGCAAGCGGAUUCACGUGUAAAAUUUGGGGUUGUCCGUACACCUGUUUACUUCGUGAAAGUAUACUUAGUUCAAGUCCAACAAACCACAAAAUGAAUUAUGUUAUGAUUCUAGUUUAGUUUAUAUUUAUUAAGAUAUGGCGAAGCACGGAAGCAGUAUGUGGGCAACACUGCUUCGACAAACACGCAUUCGGCAUCCGCCUCUAGUGGUGCUAUCAUCUUCGAAUCCUGAAUUCACUUCAGACAAAGAUUCAUCCAUUAGCAUCUUUUUAGCUUUAUGACACCUGUCCUUUUAAUAGAGUUAGUAUAGAUUUAAUUAAAAUACCCUCUAAAGCAUGAUUAAGACACAAAAUUAUCACAACAACUAAAAUGUUGCUAGAUUUUUAAUCAGAUUGACAAAUAAAGGGAAGAGGAUUAAAAAUGCCUCUCUACUUUGAUAAGCUGAUUAAAUUUAUCUCUCUUUGUAUUAUUGGAUCAAAUAUAUUCCCGUUGUUAUAUUAUAGGAUAAAAUAUACCCUGUCAUUAGCAAAGUUAUCAAGAAUAUUUUUUUUUUAACAGUUCUCCACCAUGGCAAAGUGAGAGCCCCGUGUCAUCAAAUGGAUGCCACGAGAUAUGCCACCUUAACAUUUUUUUUUCCUUUUUCCUUUUAAAUUUUUUGCUUCAAAUUUUAUUAAUUAUUUUUAAAAAAAUGAUAAUUUAAAUACUCACAUAUUUUAUUUAUUUAAAAUAAAAUAACUGUAAUUAUUAAUAAAUGUUGCUAUCUCUCUUCACCAACAGAAGAGAACCACCACCAAAGGCGGCCGAAGGAAAGGAUGUUCCACAUAUCGAAAUGUAAAGAGCAAAAGCGGCAAAUUUAAAAAUUGAGGUGUUGGAAAAGGUGGUGGAUUUUGAAAAGUCCGACGAAGAGGUGUCGAAAUGGGGGUUAAGGUUUGCAAAAUGCUAAGAACAGUUAACACUGCCAUGAAUAUUUUACUACUAGUGAUAGUUAUUAGUCUUUAUUCGUGUGUGUUAAAUACUUACAUAUUUUAUUUGUUUUAAAAAUUUGAUAAAUUAAAUAACUAAGUAAAUAAAAUUUAAAGCAAAAAUUAAAAUGAAGAAAGAAAAACAUUUGAUGUUGUGGUGGCAUGCCACGUGAUAUACACCUCAUCUAAAUGUCAGGUCACAUGGCUCAUACUUUGUCAUGGUGGAGAAGUGUUAAAAAAAAAAUUAAUAACUUGAGAAAAUUAGGUGGGAAGUGACAAAAAAGUCGUUAAAUUAAAAAUGAUGAUAACUUUGACCAACUAAGGUUGAAGCUUCAUUUAAAUUCUGAUUAAGUUAAUUGGAGCGUAAUUUUUAAAAACUUUUUAAUUUUUUUAAAAGGGUAACUUACAUAAAUCCCUGAAUCUUUAAGUGAUAUUACAUAAAAUCUCGAUUAUUUUGCUAAUUACAUCUUAUCUCGAAUUUUUGAAAUGGUGAUACAUAUAUUAAGUGGUGAUACAUAUAAAAAAAGUGAUACAUAUGAAAUAGAUCAGUUCUUUAUUUAAGGAAGUAACGGAUUUUCUCUGAUUUCAACAAUGCAAAUCACGACAAAACUGUUACAAGCGCUAAAAACGCAAUUACAUUCAACAAGAGCUCAAAAUUGAAGCAAACCAAUAUUUUUUAAAGCAUACCGGAUUAUAAGGUCAAUUUUUUUGAAUUUUGGGGAAAAAAUCGAUCGUCUUUCUAAAAUUUCUGAUUAUUUUCAAUGGAACUCGUGACAGUGUUGUUGCGUCAUUCCGAAAAAUGAGUUUCAAAAAUAAGGUACGAUAACUAUCGAGUCAAUGGUAUUGUAAUUCAUGAAAAAAUAUCGUACCACGAUUUAAUGGACGUCAUAUCAAUUCAAUUGAAAAUUAACGUAUCUCUGAAAAGAAUUCAUGUCAAAUACGUUGUUCAGGACAAUUUAUCAGCAUUGGAGAUUCAUAAUGAUAUGGUUGUGAAACUUUUUUUCAGAUUUUAAAAGCUGAAACUAUAUUCGGGAAGUAUCCAUUGUGUAUUACAACGAGUGAUAUCGUAACUGACCAUGAUGAUUUUGACGCGGAUGAUAUGACAAUUGAGUGUUAUGAUUUUGUUGAGCCGUCUGAACUUGCAGUAGUUGUAAUUGGUAACGUUGAAUCCCUGCCAGUUGUGAAUAUGGGUGGUGAAGAACUAAUAAGUGAUUGCUACAACAGUGUUGUAAAGGUGAACUAAAAGUAUAAAAACAAAGCUACACUUGUCUUGGUAAUGCGUAACUAUGCAAUCAAGCACAGGUUCAAGUUCAAAGCUGAGAGAUCUAACAAGCAAAGGAUUGAUUUUAAUUUUUUAACGAUAAUUUCUGAUUUAUUUCGCAAUUUGAUACAUUCGGAAUUUGUAGUGAUACAUUUGCAUAAUAGUUAAUUGAUGAUUCAUAUAAUUGGUGAUUAACUAAUGAUUCAUUCCAUCUAAGGAUUCAUAUGUCAACGAAACUGGUGAUUAAUUGGUGAUUCAUAUAUCCGGUGAUUCAUAUAACUGGUUAUUCAUAUUAGUAAUGCAUAUAACCGGUGUUUCAUAUAAUUGGUGAUUCAAAUAACUGGUUCAUGUAAUUGGUGAUUCACAUUCGUGAUGCAUAUAAAUGGUGUUUCAUAUAAUUGGUGAUUCAUAUAACUGAUUUAUAUAACUGGUGAUUCAUAUAUGUGAUGAAUAUAACUUGUGAUUUAUAUUGGUGAUGCAUAUAAAUGGUGUUUCAUAUAACUGAUUCUUAUAACUGGUUAUUCAUAUUGGUGAUGCAUAUAACUGGUUAUUCACAUGUUAAAUGGCUUAAAUUUUGAUAUAACUGGUGAUUCAUAUGGUAUUUGCUGAUUCAUAUAAAAAUCGAUUAACGUAACUUUAUAUUGGUGAUAUAUUUUUUGGCAUUUAUUUCAGUUAUGUCUUGCUGUGCAAAUCUCCGGAAUGUUGUUGGUUAUUCAAGGCAUCCUAUAAGCUUAGUACUGAUACAUUCAUAGUACGUACGUUCAACGAUGAACACACUUGUCCCAUAAUGGGUAGAGUUUUUGAGCAACAACAUGUAACAAUUGCUUUUUUAGAGGGAAUAACAGCUCCAAAGUUGGUGAAUCACAAAAGAAUAAUCACCCCAAGUGACAUUAUUGAAGAUAUUAAAAGGGAACUUGCUUUGAACAUAGAUUACAUGAAGGCGUGGUGUGCUAAAGAACGUGCUUUAAGGAUAUUGAGAGGGCGACCAGCUGACGGAUAUAAGAAAAUGCCUACCUACGUAUACAUGUUAAAUUCUGUUUAUCCAAAUUCAAAUAUAAGGAUGCAUAAGUCUUCGGAUAAUUGAUUCAUGUAUUUAUUCGUAGCACUGCAUUCUUUUAUUAGGGGAUAUGGUUAUUGUAGGCUUGUUGUGGUAGUAGACGGUAGUCACAUGAAUGGACCAUAUAAGAAAACAUUCAUUUCAGCUAGCACACUUUAUGGAGCGGGUAUUGUACGUAGUGAUUCUUUUAUAUUUUUCUUACAGAUAUCGGUAAUUGUUAUAUAAAUUUUACAUAGUAAAUGGUUGAUGUUAUAUAUCAGGACAUAUAUUGCCCCUUGUGUGAGGGGUUGUAGAUUCUGAGAAUGAUUCAUCCUGGACGUGGUUUUUCCAGCAUUUUAAGUGUGCUUUCGAUGAGCGCGAUAAUAUGUGUGUUGUCUCUGAUAGACAUGAAAGCAUAAUCAAGGCGGUUAGUGUGGUCUAUUGCACGAAUUAUAGAAAGAGUAAGGACAAGCUGACCAGGGAGUUUUUCGCCAUGGCUAAAACGUACAAAUUGGAUGAUUUUGAUGACUUUAUGUGGAAAUUGGGAAAGAUUGACAAUAGAGUAAAGGUAUAUCUGAAAAAUGCUGGAUUUGAAAAGUGGUCACGAGUUCAUGCUCCAAUAAAUAGGGGGAGGAUGAUGACUUCCAACAUUGCAGAAUGUAUCAACUCUCGUCUUGUUGAGGUACAUGAAUUACCAAUUUUAGAUUUUCUUAAACAGGUCAGAAUCUUAUUUGAUAUGUGGAGCCGCAAAAAUAGAGACUGGUCUAGUUUUCUUGCUAAAAACUCAUUGGGAGGUAGGUUUCAACAAAUUCUUCAACUGAACAAGGCAAAGUCAUCGGGUAUGAUGGUAAGUUAUUUAAUAUUUAUUAUACUUAUGUAAGUUGAUUUGUAGACCUUUUCAACUAUCUGAUAACAGAUGUAUCAUAGUGAUACAUCUCGAACUCAUAUGUAUCACUUUGAUACAUCUGCACAAAUAUGCCUCCACUUGAAAUCUAGUUCAUUAUAUUUAAUUAUCUGUAAUAUUUAUGAUUCAUAUAAUAUAUUGAUUAACAUAACUCUUUAUGAAAUAAUAUUUUCAAAUUAGGGAAUCAACUAACUACAUAUACAGAGUGUAUGAAGAAGGAAGAAAAUACAUUGUUCGGUUGGAUAAUGGAACAUGCAAUUGCGGUAGAUUUCAGCUUGAUGAGAUACCAUGCAUGCACGCUAUUGCUUUUUUGAAAAGCAAACAUGUAAAGAAAAUGAAGUCAUACUGUUAUGAUUGCUACAAGAAGGAGACACUUGUGAAGACUUAUGAAAUGCCACUGUGUUCAAUGCCCGAUAAACGAGAUUGACAUGUACUACCGAAGGUGUUAGAAGAUGUGAUUUUGCCUCCAAAAUAUAAGCGCCAACCAGGAAGACCGAAGAAAGGAAGAAAAAAGAAAAACAGUGAAAAUUUUUCAUCAACCUUAAAUCGUUAUGGCAAGUGUGGGUAUGAGGGUCAUAAUAGACGCACUUGCAAUUUUUUUCAAUAGAGAUGUGGCAUUUUUCUUUGAAGUUUACUCAGACUUGUUUACUUUGUUCAAUGAUUUGAAUUCAAUAAUUUGAGUUAAAUACUCAAAAAUUUAUUGCUUGAGAUACUCUGUUUACAAUGGAUAGAGAAAUAUUUAUUUUAAGAUCACUAUUAAUAAUUAAUUAAAACUAUUAUAUUCAGCAGAUAUGUUAGAGUUCAUGAGGAAUGUUAGUGAUACAUUUCCUACAUGAAAUUAUAAAGUGAUACUUAUUAAAAAAUUUAAUAUUGUUAUAUGAUUCAUAUUAACUGUUCGAGAAAAUUAUAUGAUUUAUAUUAGUAAUUAAACUGAAUAGGUUAAUUGGUGAUAUAUUUUCAAAAUAUUGUUUUAAGUUGAUUCAGUAUUAAAAAUUUAAUACUUUUAUAGGACUUUUUAUUAACCGUUCGUUAAAGAUAUGUGGUUCAUAUUAUUAAUUAAGCUCAACAGGUUAAUUGGUGAUAUAUUUUCAACAUAUUUUUUUAAGUUGAUAUAUAUUAAAAAUUUUAAUACUGUUAUAUGAUUCAUAUUAACCGUUCGAGAAAAUUAUGUGAUUCAUAUUAGUAAUUAAAUUGAACAGAUUAAUUGGUGAUACAUUUUCGACAUGUUGUUUUCAGUUGAUUCAGUAUUAAAAGUUUUAAUACUGUUAUAUGAUUUAUAUUUACCGUUCGUCAAAGUAAUGUGCUUCAUAUUAGUGAUGCGUGAUUUAUUGUUAAGACUAUUAAACAAAAUUAAUGAUACAUUUUUGUAAAUUAAACUUCCAGCAACAGUUCUAAUACCACACCAGCUGUUAAAUAAAAUGUCAUGACACUAAAAACAAAAAUACUGAAAACUUAAUACAUAAAAUACGUCAUGAAAUAUCAAGAAAUCCCCAACCAUUUGUCAACUAAGAAAAAAAUCAAUAUCCUUUUGUCACACAACAAAUACUAGACAACUACGACUCAACAUCAAUCAUCUUUGUAUCCUCAUAUGGAAUAAAUAUACGUUUAGAUCCAGGCGAAUCCUGAUUGUCACUAACAUAUUUAUUGCAUGCCUGGUUCACACCAUAAUCCCAUAAAAAGGAUGUAUAUCUUGUAUGAUGCUUUUCUGGAUCAAAAUCUGAAGAAGGUAUUUGAUGUCGAUCACUUAGAUAUUCAGCAUAUGUUGCAACAAACAAGCCACAAUCACUGAAAAAUAAAAAUAAUAUGUAUUUUAUGAAUUUCUGUGAGCUGUUAUGUAAAAGAAUAAAUGAUACUUACAAUGUGCCGCUCGAUUGUUGCACAAUUUCAUCAACAAAUUGAACAUCAAAUGCAUCCUGGUCUGUCUUUUCCUUGUAUGCUUCUAGUAGGGACCAAUCUGUACGCUUUUUUUUCCCACAAAAAUCGGAUAUUGUCAAAUAAGUUGACAACAUUUCAACAAGCUCAUUUAUCUCAUCACCAUGACCUCUAUGGCCUUUCAAGGAGUCAUACACACGAAUGCAUCUUUCCUUGAGUCCUAUGACUGCCAACACCCAGUGAAACGAUCCCUUAGAAUUUAUUAGAACAUACACCUCGUCAAUCAAAUGCCAUGAAAUACUGAUUGGAAUGCAUAGUCCUUGAAUAAUCUCACAAAUUGAUCUCUCCAUCGAAGUCACUUUAUUUGAUCGAACAUUUUCGUCAUGUGAGCUAAGAUCAAUAUCCGAAUGACUUCGGUGAUAAUGAGUGUAUGUUUCAUGGAUGUAGUUUAUGAACAUGCAAUUCACAGUGGUAUAUCUAUAUUCACUGAUUUUGUCCAGUUUUGCUUUCUUUAUAAGAUAGUAAAAUACCAUAUCGAUGUGUUGUAAUAUAAAAUUAAAAUGUGUAAGAACAUGUGAUUCAUAAAAUCCAUACACAAUACUAAGUGUAAAACAAUUGAUACUUAUGAAUUUAAAAAACAUCGACUGAAAAAUACUUAAAAAUAUAAAUUUAUGUUGGUUAACAUCUGUAUCAUAAUGAUGCAUAUUAUUGUCAGAUAUAUCACUGUGAUGCAUGUGUUACCAGAAAAACUAUAUGCAGAUAGCAAAUAUCAAUUAGGUUGGGUAAUGUAAUAAUAUUCAGCUUGUGCUUAUAUAAAUAAAAUCAAUAAAACUAUUAAUUGCUAUAAAUAUUUCUUGACGGUAUACCUCAUCAUUCUAACAAUUACUUGAUUGGGUCAUGUCAUAAAACGAACUUUUUUUCACCGAGUGUACAACUAUAAAAUCAAGCUUUGAUUUUAGAUCAGCGUAUUAGGCCAUGUAGUACUCAUCUUGUCCUUUCAUGCAUUCAAAUUAUGAUUUCAAUAAGUGUUGAUACUAGUUUUUGUGUUGUACAGGCCAACUGACAUCCAAAGAGAGAACUUAGAGAAGACAUCUUCGGCAUAUGAUCCAUUAAUGUUGUGACCUUCAAACGGGUAGUUCAACUUUUUGCACGACUGGAUAACUUCUUUAUCUUUUGACACAGAAUCAAAAACACUUACAAAUGGUGAUUGAUAUAGUUUUGAAGGCUGUCUAUUUCUCUUAGAAGGUUUCUUUCUAACAUAUGUCAGAUUAGUCUUGCAGACAGGGACCUAAGAAAUAGCUGCAAUAGCUUUGUUGCUAAUAUAACACUGACUAUCAGUGUUGUCUUGCCGAUCGCAUGUGUCAAUAGCUGCAACAGUAAUAUCAGUGAUCCCUGUUAGAUAGGCAACAAUCGAUGGUGGUACGUACAAAGUAAUAGCUUUAGAUAAAUCUUCAUCUGUAUUGUGAAGGGCUUCUUCAGAAUCAUGUGUGCCAUAUGUAAAAAAUGAACUUAGUGUACAAUGAAGUUUAGAAUUAAAGUGCCUAAACUAUCUAUAUGUAUCAUAAUGAUACAUAUGGACAAAUAUGUAUCAUUCUGAUACAUCUGAAAAACUUAAAUAACAGAUAACCAAUUUUUGAUACUUGAAACUUCAAUCAUCUUUAAAUAAGAUUAAAAUAUUUUUACUGAAAAAUUAUUAUACCCUAGAAAAACUAAAAAUAAGGUUGUGACCAUUAUAAUGAACAACUUCAAUGUACCAAAUAAUUAAAAAUAAAUAUUUGUGAGAAAUUACAAAACAAAAUUCGUUAUAAAUAAAUCGAUAUUACCUUAACGCGUUUGUCCCUUAUGCCUUCAUCUACUUCCACAGUUGUAUUAUGCCUAUCUUCUUUUUGGACCUUUUCUGUUUAUUUUGUGGAAAUUUUGUCUUUUAAGAGUCACCACUUAAUUUAUUUGAAAAGAAAUUAAGAAAACCUUUGAAAGUUACUUAAACGAUCCAAAACAAAAAAAAAAAUCAUUUAAGUUUGAAGAUUCUGAGUAAGCGGUUCCUAUCUCUUGGAAGGUUGUUAAGGCAUCAAGAGUAUCCUCUAACUUGCGGUUAUCCAGACUAUUUGAAAAUAUCUUUUGACUAACUUCAAAAAGAAAGAUUGAUUGUUGAAAAGUAAUUGACUUUAGGAAAAGACUAGAGUAAAAUAGAUUUGGACGACUUAGCAGGGAUUUUAACUAAGUCUAAAUAAAUUAAUAACAAAACAUGUAAAAGGAAAAGGGGAGAAAAUAAAAGACUUAGGCCAUUGGGCCCAAAUCAAUAGAUCAUGUACUAAUCUAAUUGAGUUUUUGGCCCAUUUGCACCUGUCCUAAUCUAAAUAUUGGUCUUUUGGCCCACAACCUGUCCUAAGCUAGUUUUCAGACCUUUGAGGUCCAAAAUCCGCUUCACCUCUAUUUAUUUACAACUUUGGAUUCGAGACCCCGAAUAAAUGAAUAAGUAAAUGAUUAAAUGAAUAAAUAAAAAGAAGACAAUAAAAAUCGAGACUUUACAAGUCUCUUAGUGACCUCAUCAAUAGAUUUUGACUCAUUUCCCUUCUUCGUCUAUCUUCUAGCACCCGCACGCCAUAUAGUCGACCUAGGAUUUAAACUUCGAACUUGACUCGAAGAGGUGGGCCUCAUUGGUCCAUUACGAAAUGCAAGAGGAGAGAAGUCCAUUUAAACUCGAGAUAUUUUUUGCAUACAAAGAAAAGAUAAAGAAAUUAAUACACGUCCAAGGCAUAAAAGUGACAUAUUUCAAAGUAAAAGAUACUAUCAAGAACCAAUUUUUGAAUGACAAUGAUAAGCACACUUGCACAAGAAUGAGAGUCAACAAAUAAAAUGCGAAGAAAAGACACCCACUUACAUGCCUCAUGACUUAUGUUCAUAUAAAAAUGAAUAAAGGUAAAAAGAAGAAGAUCAUAUUCAAUGAAUUAAUGCGAGAACAAAUAACGCAAGUUUGCAAGAGUAAAGGGAUGGGGAGAUAAGAAAAAUACCCAUGACUUCUAAAAUUGAACAAACAUAGAAACUAAUUCAUAUAACAAAAGAAAAUAAAAGCUACUUUUCAAGAAAGUGAAUCUUUAAAUUUCAAUUAAGGAGAAAUUAACGAAAAUUAAUACAUCUAAGUCAUGGCCAACUUUAGGAAAAACAUGUAACGACAUAUGAUUUAUCGUUCUAAGACAUCGUUGAUUCUCUUUUGACAUUAUGACUCAAAGAGAGACAUGAAUCAAGUCUUUACACACACAAAGAACACGUAUAACAAUCCAAAGGGAGUAAGAAAAUUUGAAUAAAUGUUUAGCAUCUCUAAAAGUGAAAUAUCUUUCAACAAUCAUACUGUGCACGAGUCAAAAAUAUCCAAAUAAUUCUAUUUAGCCACAAAAAUUCAAACUUUCUCAUUAUUUUGACAAGACAACAAGCGAACAAAAGAGGAAUAAACAUCUUGGAUGGAAAAUAAAGCUAACACUUCAUCUCUUAUAUGAGGAUUUUGAAAUCCAUUAAAAUAAUUAGCAAGCAAAUGACAAAUUCUUGACUUAACUAAUUACUAUUUUUACGAAGGCAAAACAAACAAUAAUAACUAUUUUUUCAACAUAAAAGAAACAACUUUACAUGCUAAAACAAACAUAUCCGCCAACAAUAAAUUUAAAAAAGGCAUGAGUUCGUCUUUUGAGCAAAGAUCAAAACUUUAUACAUAACAAUCAAAGAAUAAAGAUAAAAGGCAAAACAAUCAAUAUUAACUAUUAUUUUCAACAUAAAAAAAAUAACUUUACAUGCUAAAAACAAACACAUCUACCAACAAUGAGUUUAAACAAGACAUGGGUAUGUUUUUUAAGCAAAGAUCUAAACUUUAUCCAAAAUAAUUAAAGAAUAAGAUCAAAAGGCAAAAUAAUCAAUAUUAACUAUUUUUUUCAACAUAAAGAAAAUAACUUUACAUGCUAAAAACAAACAUAUCCACCAACAAUGAAUUUAAACAAGACAUGAGUAUGUUUUUUAAACAAGGACCUAAACUUUAUCCAAAAUAUUUAAAGAAUAAGGUGAAAAGGCGAAGCAAUCAAUAUUAACCAUUCUUUUCAACAUAAAGAAAAUAAUUUUACAUGCUAAAAACAAACAUAUCCACUAACAAUGAGUUUAAACAAAGUAUAAGUACAUUUUUUAAGCAAAAAUUGAAACUUUAUCUAUAAUAAUUAAAGAAUAAAGUCAAAAAAAGGCACAUACAACUAUUGUUAGCUCUUUUUUAUAUCAUGAACAUGAAGAUAAUUAAAAUAUUGAUACCACAACCUUCAAGGCCAUAAACAACAAACAAUCCCAGCAAACAAAAUUAUAACUACGAACUAUGAAAAAGAUGAAGAAGAAAAUGAUACUAAAACUAAAAAAAAAAAAAAGGUGUGUUUACCUUUUUUGGGGCAAGAAAACGAGACUACGAGUUUCGUCGGAAUCAACCACCACCGAAAAACGUCACUGGUAACUCAAAAAUUUUGAUUAACCGACCAACUUUAUGAAAUAAGAAUUUUUACUAAAUAAAAAUAACUAUUUUGCCCAAAAGGAAUUUUUCACCUUUCUAGCCUCUUUUAUUUAACUUCUCCACCCCUCUUUUCUACCAAAGUAGUGAUAAUAUUUAUAGGGGAGAAUGGAUUUUUUCUUCCUUUUCUCCACCAAUGUGGGAGAAAAAUAUUUAUAGGAAAGGAUGAAGAUUUAUUUCUUGUCAUCCAUCAAUGUGGGAGAAAAGAUAUUUUGGGGUGUUUUUUUGGAAUUUUAAAAUUAAAGAUAAGAUGAGGUGGGAGAUAAUGUGGGGGGAAUUGUACCAUAUAGUACAAUUUUUGAAUUUCAAAAUUGUGAAAGGACAAAGUUGGGGGGAAAUAGUACAAUGUAGUACAAUUUACAAUUAAUUUUUGGUGGAAAUUGGGUAGAAGUUAUGAAAGUUUUUGGAAAUUUUAGGGUUAUUUAAAAUAUAACCCCAAUAGGGAUUUAAAAUUUAGCCAAAUUUAUUUAAUUUUGAUCAAAUUAAAAAUCAAUUGGCGCAUUGCAUUGCAAUUAUGAUCAAUUUUAUUUCAAUUAUGGACAAAUCUAAUAGAUUGGCUAAAUUAAAUUAAAAUUUGAUACGAAUUAAUACUUCUUUUAAUUCCGAGCUUCUUGAUUUAAUAAAAUCAAACACAUAUUUAUCCAAAUAAAUUAUUUUUGAGAAUAAAUUAUAUUUAAAUCAAGAUUUUAAUCCUUUGAAUUUAUUUCAAGACAAACCUUGAUUAAAAUCCGAUAUUUAUAAAAAUGGAUAUUUAAGUAAUAAAAUUAUAUAAUUUCGUGUAAUUGAAUACGAUAAUAUAUAAUCGCUACUUAAAAUGAUAAACUUAUCCAGAUAAAUAUUUUGAAAAGCUUUUUAUUCGGAUAAAAUAAAUAUUAUAAUUUUAUUUAAAAAAUUGAAGAAACUUGUAAUUAAACUUAGUUAUGGAGGACAAAAAUUAGGUGUCAACACUAUUUACGAACUCUCAGCCUCCUAUUUGACACAUGUCAAAUUUAAUUUUGUGUGACAUUUAAUUUAUGAUAUAAAUCGAUUUAAUUAUUUGUAUGUAUCAAAUUGAUAAAGGUUGAAACAAAUGUAUGAAAAUGAUUCAUUUUGAAAACAUAAGGAACACAUAACAAAUGUGUGUUACUGAAAAUCUUGAUUAAAUUGUCUAUAUGUAUCAAGGUGAUACAUAUGAUGUCUGAUGUAUCACGUGAUACAUAUGAGUAACUUAAUCAAUACAUAUACACCGAUAUAUUAACAGUUUCAACAUUUCAAAAAAUAACAUUUAAACUAUUUGAGGCUAGUAUUUUGAGCAAGUUGUAACAAAUCGAUCAUAUACUUAAGUCAAUUUAACUACCUUUAAGCAUUCCUCAGCUCCUCCUUCAUUGCCACCUACUUUAGAUGAUUGACCGACAUCAUGUACGACAUUGUCACUUUUAGCAUCCAUUUUGUGCUCAUUAAGAGAUUGAGGAGGAUCCCCUUCUCUAUCCGGGAUACCUUUUUUCACUUUCAUAUAGUGGAUAUUGAGCAACCUGCAAUAUCACAAAUUUGAAUAAUAUGAAAACAUAUUGAUAUUAAUGACAAAUUAUGAAUACCUUGCCAUAUGAAGCAAAACCUUUUUUCACAACUCCAAAAAAUCCUGUAUAAUGGUCCACCAUUAACUUUUGAAGAUCAUUGAAUUUCAUGUCAAUCUACAUUGUGAAUAACAUUUUGAAUUUCAUGUCAACUAAUUCUUGUUUCUUCAUAGGAGGGUGUGAAGAUGGACCAGCAUCAAACCUCAUCUUUUUGAGAAAAUCUACAUUUGGAGUAGUACUGAAAUCAUCAAAUUCAUCUCCAAAUUCAGUAGGAGCAGUCCUUUCAGAUUAUUGUUGUACAGAUACUGCCUGUGCUAUAUUUGCAUCAUGAUUUGUUGGACCAAACAUCAAAGGAUUGGGCAACUCAAGAUGGUUCAAUUCCUGUGGUGAUGGGGUUAGAUUCCUGUAUACAAGCUGCAACAAAAAUAACACACAGGAUCAAAAAUUAAAAGUACCUUAAAAAUUAAAAAUAGACAUACAAAAGUAUCACGGUAAAAAAAACACUAUCUUACUAAACAUAUCAUCCAUCAGAUCCUUGUAUCUAGGCUUAGGUUUAACCACCUUCCAAUUCACCAUCCUUGGGAUUAAAUUGUGAACAUGAAAGACAAGUGAUUCAUCAACUGUGGCACAACAUUCGUACCACCAAAUCUGAAGCGCGUAUGGCAUGCCACUUAGACGGUAAACUUUUGGACAUCAUUCAUCGAUCGACUAAUAGAAACCAUCAGUUUCUCAAGAGCCAUUUUUCCCUAUGGAAAAUGACUAGAACUUUCAUCAUCCACCAUGUGAAAGUCUCAGGCAGGGAUAUUGGUUUUAUCUAAUUGGGAGAACACAAAUGUGCGUAUGAAGUACAAUAUCCCAAUUUUUAUUGCAUCUUUCACAUUUUCCCCACUUGUUAUUCAAAGAAAGCUUGACCAACUCACCCUUUUUCACAUUUGCUGUCGAAUUUGAAAAAUAUUUUUUCUGUAGUCGACAUGGUGGAAGGUCUGAAUAAUUAAAAUCAUCUACGUUGCCGAUGCAUUUCAAUCCUGUAACGAUAGCAAACUUGUACAGUAAAAAUCAAAGAAUUGUAUUGUUGACCAACGCCCUUAGUUGAUCCUGAUAUGAGUGUUGGACCUCUAAGAUCAUCAAGAACCUUGCUAUCAAUCCUUGAAAGUUACAAUUAGGUAGGUUCAGAAAUGACCCAAAACAAGUACUUCUGAAAAUUCUGAUUUCUUCAUCCUUCAAAAUCACGUUAAGCAUAUCUACUACAUUAAUGUUAUGUGCACUACCAAUCCUUACGUUGUGGGAAGGUCAUUCUUUCACAAUCAAACUAACAUUCUGCCAACAGAAAAAAAAGAAGUUGAUUCAUAUGUCAAAUGAAUCACAUGUUUAUAAAUUACAACAACAAUAAAAUGAGAAUAGAAAGUGUUAUCACAUAUGUAUCACAAAAAAAAUGAUACACAGAGAAUCGCUCUUAUUCUAUAUGAAAAAUGUGUAGCUGUAACGCCAAUAUGAAUCACCAGCACAAUAUAUGUAUCACCAAUUAAAAUAUCAUUUUAGUGUAACACCCAUAUGAAUCACCAGCACAAUAUAUGUAUCACCAAUUAAAAUAUUAUUUUAGUGUAACACCCAUAUGAAUCACCAGAACAGUAUAUGUAUCACCAAUUAAAAUAUCAUUUUAGUGUAACACCCAUAUGAAUCACCAAAAAAAUACGAAUCACCAAUAUGAAGUUAGACUGUUAAUCUGUUAUUAUAUGAAUCACCAAUAUGAAUCACAAGGUAUUUGAAUCACUAGUUAUGAAUCACUUGCGAUAACAAUACUUGCUCCGACGGAGAUUUGGGGAUAUGUUCAAUUUCAUCCUGAUGUUUCAUUUGUUUGUCGGAAUCUCGAUUUUUAGCAACAAAAGCUUCUAGGGUCAUUUCGCUGCUUUGAAUGAUUUUCACUAAAACCUAACUUGGUGUAAUUAAAUUUGCCCGAAGUAAAGCCCAGAACUUGAUUACUAUCAUGAACACCUUUUUGUGUUUCAAUUUGUGAAAUUCCCAAACUGAAUGAGGGUAAAUCUUCAUUAGCUAUUGAAGAUUCAACAAAUUAACACAAAGAAAUUUAAAGAAUAUAUAGAUAUUGACUUCUCUUGUUAAAAACUAACUUAAAACCCACAUAAACAAAAAAUUAACCUCUUUGAAGUAAUUGACAAAUUUUAAAAUUUAAUGCUGAAAGAUUACGUUUAAUUAGUUGAAGUAGUGGAGAAAGAAGUUGACUCAAAAUAUGCUAAAAUGAGAGAGAUUUAAUGGGAGUAAUUUGUGGAAAAAAAGAAGAAGAAGAUGCGUAUAAAGAUGAGAGAGAAAGACGUUAAUGGAGGAGAGAAAAUAGAGUGUGAAAGUUAAAGCAAAUGUAUCACCAUAAAUAUGCAAAAAAGGAUUUUAUGUAAUUUUUAAAAUAUUAAGGGAUAUUUGAUAAUAUGGUGCCUUAAGUUUGGAGUUUUUGUAAUUUAUCCUUUUUAAAAAGUCCUCAACUCCAAAUUUCAAAUUUUAGAAUUUCCCCCUUUUUCUUAUCUUUCAAUCUUUCUUAAUUUUUUUUCUUUCUAUCUCCAAAUUUCUUUAUCCCCAUCUUCUUCUUCUUAUUUUUUUUUCUCUCUAGAUUUUCCUCUUCUUUCAUCUUCUCUUCUUUUUUUUCUUUCUCUUUUCAUUUCAUUCUUCUUCCUUUUUAAAUUUUCAUGGAUAUUUUUUAAAAAAACAAUUGAGAAGUUUGAAAAGAAUUUUUUUGAUUUCUUUUAAAAAUAAAUAAAGAAAUAGUUUAGCAAAUUCAGCAACUACCAUAGUUGCUACAACAGUUACGGUAAUUGCUGCAACAACUACUAUUAGUUGUUGUGUUACAACAAUUAUCGAAAUUGCUGCAGCAACUUCAAUACUUAAUUUCUGAAAAAAGAUGUGGUUGGAGGAUGAGCUCACAAAAAAGUGAUAUUUUUGAUAAAAAGGAAGGUGAUGGUGCUGAUGGUGGUGAUGUCGAAUGAGAAGAUGACAUUUGUUAUGGUGUUGAUAGCGAUGGUGGUGAAGGAGAAAGAAGAAAAAUAGGCGAUAGUUAUGUAGAGGGAGAAGAUAAUGGUGAAUCUGAAAGAGGUGACAAUGGUAGUAAUAGUGAUAGUGGAGGAAGAGGAGGCAGCGGCGACAACAAAAAGGGUGUGGAAGAGGAUUGAUGGUGAUGGUGUAGGGAUCUUUGUGUAAAUAUAAUAUAGGGAUCUUUGUGGAAAUAAUAAAACUUGAGGAUUUUAAAAUUAAUGUUAUUAAUACUAAUCUUAAAAUUAUCACCUCUACUCACUCAAUAUUUAAGACUUGUGUCACUCUUUUUAGUUUUGAAAUUUAUUUGUCACCCUUAAUUAAUUUGCCUUAAUAACUUUACUAAUAUGGAUAUAUUUGGCCCAAUAAUUUAACUAGGUGUAAAUUUAGUUAAUUUAUCAAAAUAUUGGUUAUUUUUGACGAAGUUAUUCAUUCAAGAUAUACACGAAGGAAGAACAACAAAAACGGAAGAUCAAAUCAUUUACUAGUCGAUGAGCAAAUUUUCUCCAGGGAAUUAGUGGCACCAUUAAAACAGGUUCUUCUUCUUCCUUCUUACACCAUUUUUUUGUUGCUAUAAACUGUGAAUCUUGUAGUGGAAAAUUUGAUGGACAUGUUUCUAUUAACCUGUUGACAUAAACAUAUGUAACCAACAAUAUUCGUAGCCGACAAAAAUAUCUCCACAGGCGACAAUAUUAUGAAUAAACAGUAACUUUAUUUUGCUUGAUACACUUUGUAUAUAAUAGUAUUCAAUUUGGUAAUUGAAUUUUUGUCACACCAAGGCUGUAACCUAGCUGUAGAUGUUGGAAUUUGUUUGUCCAAUAGUUAUUUUAUUUUAUAUUUUGCGAAAAUCUAGUGACAGCUUGCUGUUAUGAAUUGUUAUGCUGAUCAUUUCUCAUUUGAUCUGAGAGUUUGGUGUAGUAUUGUUUCAUGACGCAUUCAUAGAGGAGAUCAUUUUUAUCAUAAUCUGUAAUGACAGUAAUGUAGUUCAAUGUUAGCCUAGUAGAAGCAUGUUCAAGCUUCCUCUUCUCAAUCCCAAAUUCCUUUAACGUUUCAUGGAAGGUUUGAGCAGUUUUACGCUAAAACUAAUUGAUGUUCGAGAUGCUUAUUUCUUUUCUUUUUGGAACGAAAGUUUGAGUGUUUGAUUAAUACGUGGGUUUAAAAAAUGAAAAUUCAGGACUAGACAAUCAUUGGAAUACAUGAAAAAUCCACUCUAUUAUCAGCUCAUUCACAACCACCUUACAACGACAUCAAACUAUGAAAUUUUGAGAACAUUAUGAUAUUCACUUUCCAGGAACAAAGUUUGUGGCGUAGGCCCAGGCAUUGUUGUUUACUGGAUCUGCAAGGUGAUCAGCAAGGUUCUCCAAUGGGCCCUUACCGGUAACAAUUGCCUGAACAAAGAAUCCAAACAUAGAGAACAUAGCAAGUCUACCAUUCUUAAUCUCCUUUACCUUGAGCUCAGCAAAUGCCUCUGGAUCAUCAGCAAGACCUAAUGGGUCAAAGCUGCCACCAGGGUAGAGUGGGUCAACGACUUCACCAAGAGGCCCACCAGCAAUACGGUAUCCCUCAACGGCUCCCAUCAAGACAACUUGGCAAGCCCAGAUGGCCAAGAUGCUUUGUGCAUGGACCAAGCUUGGGUUGCCCAAGUAGUCAAGUCCACCCUCGCUGAAUAUCUGGGAUCCAGCCUUGAACCACACAGCCUCACCAAACUUGACACCGUUACGGGCCAAGAGCUCAGGGAAGACACAUCCAAGAGCACCAAGCAUAGCCCAUCUGCAGUGGAUCACCUCGAGUUCUCGGUUCUUGGCAAAGGUUUCGGGGUCUGCUGAAAGUCCAGCAGUGUCCCACCCGUAGUCACCAGGGAAUUCACCGGUCAAGUAGCUUGGGGCCUCACCGGAGAAUGGGCCCAGGUACUUAACACGGUCUGGGCCAUACCAUGGGCUGCCAGAUGAGGCAGGCUUGGAGACAGCCUUUCUCAUAGAGAUCCUUCCAUUUCCAGUGAUUUCUGAGGGAGAGGGUGAGAGUUUCACUGCCUGUCCAGCAAAAGAAGGGGAAGAAAGAGCCAUUGUAGAAGCUGCCAUGGCUUAUCAAGAGAAAAGUAAGUGUUUGAUGGUAUGAAAUAUUGUUGAAGCUGGUUGUCAUGAAGCUGAAGUUAGUUGGGUUUCAGAAUAUAUAGUAGUAAGUAGAGAGAAAGAAUCCUCUUAUCUAGUGAUGUCUAUAGCUAAAAUCUCAUUGGGUAUCAAGAUCCCAUGUAUAGCAAGUAAUGCACUCUUGGCAAUUCCAAUCCAUCAAUUUUCCAAGAUGUUCACUAAGGGGGACCCAACCAAUUUUGUCCUCCUAUAUGUGGCUGCAAGGCUUGAAAUCUAUUCUAUGAAUUCUCGAGCUUCAAUAUGAUAUCUUUUAUCCAUUGGGAAUUUCUCAAGAUUUUAUCCACCAUGACUAUAGCUCAUUCAGUGUAGAACUAUGGUUUGGCAUUUCACUAAGUAAAUUGAGGAAAAACUGAAAUUCACUUGUAUUAGAUUAUCAAUUACUGAUGUUUGUCAAAAGAUUAACCUGUAAUGGCUUAAUGAGCAAAGGUGGAUCAAGAUUUGAAUUUUAUGAGUUUUUAAUCUAGGACUAGACCUUAAGUAGUAUAUCCGUUGUCCCAAUUUGUGUGGCACAAUUGCAAUUUCGAGAGCCAACCAAGUUUUUCUUUGAUGGAAAUUUGUUUACAUGUCUUUUAAAUAUUUCAAGUUAUUAAUUAUUGUGAUUUAUAGUAGUACUUUUUAUUUUUAGAUAACCGUGGUAUCCAGUGUUUGCCACCUCCCACCAACAUGGGAUUUGAACCUAAGAUCACUAAGGUUCUCAACCCACUUCAUUGACCAUUAGCCCAUAACCUUGAGUGCAUUGUGAUUUAUAGUAUUGUUUACAUAGUUUCCAAGUACAUAGAUUUUAUUUCAAAAAAAUUAAAACUUUUGUGUCCAAAUUGACUGUCAAAGUUUAAAAGUUUGAAUUUCAAAAUUCUAAAACAGAGGGAGUAGUAAAUAGAUUCUGAAUUUGAUUACAUACAUAUUUAAUGAUUAUUGUAACACAUACAUUAUUUGGGCAAAAGCUAAUUGGUUCUGUCAAACAGUAUGCGGAAGACUACCUCUGUCCCUGUUAAUAAGUGAUAUGAUUGUAUUAGUAUUUUUAUAAUGUCAAUGCAUAGAACUUAAUUGCCUUUCUAGUAAGUGUCAUGUAUAGCUUACUUUUAUCUUCUUCUUACUAUGUCCUUUUGGCUCUGGUCAUUACUAUGUGCCAUGUUUCGAAGGAUGCCUGCCUCUGUUAAAUAAGCCGUCACACAGGCAUGCAAGGAAGGAAGGAAGAGUAUACAAGAAAUUUAUGAAUUUGUUCAAAUUAAAGAUGCUAAUUAAAUUAACGUACACGUAAACCUAAGUAUUAUGACCUGGAAACUCAUAUAGCAGUACUUGCUACAUUCAGACUACAAAACAUAUUGGUUUUCCCUUUUUAACUGAAAUGUCAUUGGUCUAGUAGUAAAAUAAUAUGAUGACCCUAUUUACUUUUGAAAGAAAAAUGAGGAAUCAUGUAAUAACAUCAUAUCGUUCAGCAUUAUUAUUUGCACUGAUUUUGAGUAUUGCUUCUUGAGAAUUAAUUGAAUUCCAUAAGUUUCUCCGGUCUGUAAAUUUAAGUUUUAAGCUUUUAACAGCUUUCUAGUUUUUCUAGUUACCAUAUCCCAAAUGCAGCUUCGGUCUUUUUGCUAUGCUCUUCUUUUUUUCCCUUUGGUAUGAAAAUUGAAAAUGGCAAUAUAUGAUUCAUGUCUUUGAAAAGUGAAACUCAGAACUACAUCAUCAUUGAGAUAUAACAAACAUUUAUUCUAUUGUCAACUCACUCACAACAACUUUACAAGGCCAUCAAGCAAUCAAAUUUUAAGAAUUAUAUUAUGAUAUUCAUUUUCCGGGAACGAAGUUUGUGGCAUAGGCCCAGGCGUUGUUGUUAACUGGAUCUGCUAGGUGGUCAGCAAGGUUCUCCAAUGGACCCUUUCCUGUAACAAUGGCCUGAACAAAGAAUCCAAACAUAGAGAACAUAGCAAGUCUACCGUUCUUAAUCUCCUUUACCUUGAGCUCAGCAAAUGCCUCUGGAUCAUCAGCAAGACCUAAUGGGUCAAAGCUGCCACCAGGGUACAGUGGGUCGACAACCUCACCUAGAGGCCCACCAGCAAUACGGUAUCCCUCAACAGCUCCCAUCAAGACAACUUGACAAGCCCAGAUAGCCAAAAUGCUUUGUGCAUGGACCAAGCUUGGGUUGCCCAAGUAAUCAAGUCCACCCUCGCUGAAUAUCUGGGAUCCAGCCUUGAACUACACAGCCUCACCAAACUUGACACCAUUACGGGCCAAGAGCUAGGGGAAGACACAUCCAAGAGCACCAAGCAUAGCCCAUCUGCAGUGGAUCACCUCAAGUUCACGGUUCUUGGCAAAGGUUUCUGGGUCUGCUGAAAGUCCAGCAGUGUCCCACCCGUAGUCACCGGGAAAUUCACCGGUCAAGUAGCUUGGAGACUCACCUGAGAAUGGGCCCAAGUACUUGACACAGUCUGGCCCAUACCAUGGGCUGCCAGAUGAGGCAGGCUUGGAAACAGCCUUUCUCAUAGAGAUCCUUCCAUUUCCAGUGAUUUCUGAGGCAGAGGGUGAGAGUUUCACUGCCUGUCCAGCAAAAGAAGGGGAAGAAAGUGCCAUUGUAGAACUUGCCAUGGCUUAUCAAGAGAAAAGUAAGUGUUUGAUGGUAUGAAUAUUGUUGAAGUUGGUUGUGAUGAAGCUGAAGUCAGUUGGGUUUCAGAAUAUAUAGCAAGUAAGAGGGAAAGAAUACUUAUCUAGUGAUAUCUAUAUCUAUGAUCUCAUUGGGUAUCAAGAUCCCAUGUACAACAAUUAAUGCACUCUUGGGAAUCUCCAAUCCUUCAAUUUUCCAGGAUGUUCACUAAGGGGACCCAACCAAUUUUGUCCUCCUAUAUGUGGCUGCAAGGCUUGAAAUCUAUUCUAUGAUUUCUUGAGCUUCAAUAUGAUAUCUCUUAUCCAUUGGGAAUUUCUCAAGAUUUUAUCCACCAGGACUAUAGUUCAUUCAGAGUAGAACUAUGGCGUAGCAUUUCACUAAAUAAAUUGAGGAAAAGCUGAAAUUCAUUUGUAUCAGAUUAUCAAUUACUGAUGUUUGUCAAAAGAUUAACCUGUAAUUGCUUAAUAAGCAAAGUGGAUCAAGCUUUGAACUUUAUGAGUUUUGAAAUGUAGGACUAGACCUUAAGCAGUAUAUCCUCCGUCCUAAUUUAUGUGGCACAAUUGAAUUUCGAGAGUCAACCAAGUUUUUGUUUGAUGGAAUUUCUUUAUAUGUGUUUUAAAUAUUUCAAGUUGUUAAUUAUUGUGAUUUAUAGUAGUACUUUUUAUUUUUAGAUAACCAUGGUGUCCGAUAUUCGCCACCUCCCACCAACAUGGGAUUUGAACCUAAAACUUCUGAGGUUCUCAACCCACUUCAUUGACCAUUAGACCUUGGGUUCAUUGUGAUUUAUAGUAUUGUUUAAUAGUUUCCAAGUACAUUGAUUUUAUUUCAAAAAGCUUAAAACUUUGGUGUCCAAAUUGAUGUUGACACCUAAUUUUUACCCCCCCACCCCCCAUAACUAAGUUUAAUUUCGAGUUCUUCGAUUCUUAAUAAGAUUACAACAUUUAUUUUAUUGAAUAAAGGAAAUUUUCAAAAAUAUUUAUUGGGGUAAUUUCGUCACUUUAAGUAGCAAUAACAUGUUAUCGUGCCCGACUAUAUGAAAUUAUAUGCUUUGGUUACUUAAAUGGCUAUUUUCUAUAAAAUAAUCAAAGUUUGUCUUGAAAUAAUUUCGAAUGGUUAAUCUUGGUCUAAACAUAAUUUAAUCUCAAAAAUAAUUUGUAUUUAAUCUCAAAAAUAAUUUGUUCAUAUAAAUAUUUGUUUAAAUUUUAUUAAAUCAAGAAGCUCAGAAUUAAAGGAAAUAUUAAUUGAUUUCGAAUUUUGAUUCAAUUCGGCCAACCUAUCAGCUUCGACCACAAUUGAAAUUAGAUUGGCCAUUAUUGCGAGCAAUUGGCCAAUUGAUUUUAAAUUUGGCCAAAAUUUGAAUAAAUCAGCCAAAUCCCUAAUUACAUAAUCCACCCAAUUAAAUCAAUAUUGUCUCAUUUUAUAAACUACAAAUAGCAGCCCACUUUCUUAAUUUAGCUUACUAGCCUUGCCAACCUAAUAGUUAAGAUCAGCCCUUUCCCCUUUCAGUUGGGCCGUUAGUCCAAAACUUUCAGAUGACCCAACAAUUUUCAAAUGACAGCAAACCCAACCCAUUUUCUCAGCAAUCUUUUUCUUUAAUUAUAUUGACCGCCCCAGCCCAACAACAACAUCCGAUUCAUAACCAGGCGCAAUUUCAGCAUCCCCACCAGCCUAUUUUCCUUUUUCCUAUUUUCCUUUUUUUUCUCAAGCAGGCCUAAAUCAACCACCUGUGACCCGAUCCAACCCAAUUCCCUUUACCCCCUUUAUGUUCUUUCUCUUCAAACCAAGGGAAAACCAAAAACAGCUGUAAUACUACAACACCACCACCUUCAUCGACAACACAAGCAACCAACAACGGCGAAAAACCCGAAUCCAUCAACCCGAUAACCCGACUCCACCAGCCCCAACCCUUUUGUUUGCUCUCCACAAGCAUAUCACGCGUUAGAAAGAUGAGAAAGGAAUCCAAGAAAAAAUCAGUCCCAAACCUUCUAGAACGAGCCUACGUGUCAUCCCCAAAGGUUCAAUCCCGUGUUUCUCGGAUAAGAUUGUACGAUUUCGUACAGAGUUGGAUGAUUUUCAUUGGUUCUUGGAAAGAGUCCGUUUUUCCUAAAUGGUAUUAGUCUACCUGUCGCAAAUUUCUCCAAAAAAAUCCAAAGUUGGUAUGUUUUGGGCUAAAAAAUGAGGUUGUGGGAGGAUGGGAUUCUGAAUUUCGAAUUUCUCUUUUUUUUUAAUCCCUAGAUUACCCCCAAUUCAUCCCAUAUAUAAGGAUCCAUCGGGUCACUGUGAUGGGGGGAUUUUUUUUUAGAUGGGACUCUCCUCUUUUUUUCUAGGUUCACAACUUUAGAGGUAAAGGGAUUCCAACUGGGAGGUUUGGAAAAUUUCGCAAAAGUAUCGAGGGUUUUGGGGUCGAAAAAUUUUAGGAAAAAAUUUCUUAAAUUAGGAAAUUGAUAGAGAGGGCUAAGUUCAGAAACCAAGGAGGAAGUUUCUAGAGAAAGGAAACAAAAUUUUUAAUAUAGGUGUCUUUGGUCGACGAUUACUUCGAGCUUUCGUGGUCACCGUGUUAAAAUUUCUAGUGGUGUUGCAAUCCUGUCGUCAGCUCAACAACCCAUUUUGCUGCUCUGAAACAGGUAAACGCGUCUUUUCCUUUGAGUUUGUUUUGCUUCUUCAUCUCAUCCUUCAUAGUUUUGUAAUUAUAGUGAUAGUGGGAUGGUUUGUUGUAGAUGGUUGUUAUGGCCAUAGGAUUUUCUUGAAAAGAUUGCCGUUAUGUUGGUCGUUGCAUAAAUGUCUACACUCCAAUCCUUCGCUCCACUUUCGAUUUCGUAUGUUUCGGUUCGAUCGUUUUGACUCACCAUAUUAUUUUCAUGCUGUUAGUUAGUUUCAAUCCAUUCUUAAUAGUAAUCAAUGUUGUCAUGGUGGUGUUUUUUUUUAGUAUAAAUGUUGCUGAUUUUUUCAGUUUAAAUAGUAUUACUUUCAAUCUAGAAUAUUGUUAUUUUCUGAGUCUAAGUAUUGUUGGGUUUCAACCCCAAAUAUUAUUGUGUUUUUUAGUCCAAGUAGUGCUGUUUUUAGGCCUGAUUAUUGCUGUUUUUUAGCCUAAAUAUCGCAGGUUUUUAGCCUGAAUGAUGUUUCGGAACUUAAAUAUUUUUCCCAGACCUUGAACAUCGUCGUUGAACUCUUUGGUUUUGUUUUGUUGCGUCAAACAUGUAAAAUUUUCUUAAGUAGCAUACAGUUGAGUCGGAUCUUAUUUGGUUGUCUUUAGAAUCGAUCAAUAACAUGUUGGUUGUUUUGUUUCGAUUUAAAUCGGUCUUCCUUUCGAAUUAUAGAUGACCAAAAUAGAUAAUGUGCUUCUUUCUUCUUGAAAAUGACGUUCAAAACUGUUUGUGCUUGAGGCGUUGAUUUAUUUUUGCUUUCCCCCUUUGUUAAAAAUAUGUCCAAUUCAUCUUUUUGUGUCGAUUAGAACAGUGGCUUGUCAAUAUCCUAUUCUUACGUUGGUCUGAUUUUCGCUCAUAGGCUUAAAACUCUUAAGGUUUUGCAAAGCUAUUAUGUAGAAAACAACGAUUCUAUUGUCUUUUGGAUACGAAUCUGCAUCCUCAAUAUUUCUUCCGAUAAAUUGUUUCGGAGUCUAUCGUUUUCUCUUUUUGUCUUUGUUAAUAUGUGUCAUUUGCUACUACUUGUUGAUUCUUUGUUUGUAAUACUUGUUUUUCGGUUAUCUUCUACCCUGUUUAAUUAUCUGGUUCAAUAUAUUAAUUUUUUUUAGCUUCAAGAAUCUUGUGAUGAACUAUCACUUGUUGGUCAUUGAUAUCAAAAUAAAUCAAGAUGUGUUCAAACCAAGCUAUAUAAUUGGUCUUUUCUCUUAAGUUUGUGCUUUCUGGUUGAUAAAUUUUAAGGUGAUAUUUCUAUGGGUGAAAUGAAUCAGGAGCUUUACAUGAUAUUUCUUUUAAUUAGAUCACACUAGUACUGUUUUAUUCAUGCACCAAAUGUAUUCUUUUCCAUGUCAUCACUUAUUUGUUAAGUAACCAACUUUCAAACAUAUAUUAAUUUUCUUACUUUUUACUUUGCAUGUGGAUACGUUUGAGUCCUAAACGGACUCCUUUUCACCUUUGCAUCCUCGCUAUGGGCCCUUGAGGCUCACCUCGUUGAACUAAGCCCAAAAGAAGGUCCAAAAGGCCAUCGUUUGGCGUAUGGAUACGAGAAGACGGGAGGAAAGGAAAUGGAUUAAAGCCCUACAUUUGAAGCGGCUAAGAGACAAAAGUCUCAUUUAUUAUUUCAUUCUAUUUAAUUAUUGUUGCUUUUUUUAUUUAUUUUAUUUGUUUGUUCAUUUUAUUUAUUCAUUCGGAUCACGAAGCCAAAGUUGUAAAUUUAAUACAGGUGGAGCGAGACUCGAGCUAAAGACUCGAAAAACAUAGAAUUAGGAUAGGUGCAAAUGGGUCGAAAUCCUAACUAGAUUAGGAUAGGGUCGACGGUUUGGGCUUAAAAGCCUAAAUCAUUACUUUCCCACUUUUUUCCUUUUUUCUUUUCAUUUACUUGUUUGCUUGUCUCUUUGCGAAGUUAGUUAAAUCCCUAACUAAGUCACUAAAAAAUUGAUUUUGAAAUUUUUUUUAUUUAAUCAACUAUUUUUCUAGCAAAUUGAUUUUCCGAAGUUAAUCAAAAGAAUGUUUUUAAACAGUCCGGAUAACCGCAAGUUAACGGACGUUUUAGGUGCCUAACACCUUCCUAAAAUGUUAAUAGGAACUGCUUACUCAGAAUCUAUUAACUUAAACGAUUUUCCUGUUUUGAAUUGUUUGAUGUAAUUCUCUAAAGGUUUCUUAAUUUCUUUUCAAAAUUAAGUGGCGACUCUCUUUCAAAAGUUAAAAUUUCCGCAAAAUAGAAAUGGCGACUCUGCUGGGGAUUUUUUGAACUAGGUUCUAACCAAAUGUUUGAUUUUGUCUUUUGAUUAAAUGUUUAUGUGUUUAUAUAUUUCAAUUCUAUAAAUAUUAAUUAUCGCAUCUCAUGGCAUAUCCCUGCAUUAUUUAAACUGUUUUGGGAUUUUGUGGAUGUUCGGCCCUUGUUGUUUAAUUUCAAAAUGUGUUGGAAAUACGAACAUCUUAUUUGCACGUGAGUCAUCUGAUGCUGUUCGUAUUUUCAAACUCAAGUUGUCCUUUUGAGAAUCAGUGUUCAAACCACUCUAGACACAGAGGAUAGAACGAAACCAAAAUCCUAUUUUAGGCAUGAGUGUAGGACGAUCCAGUACCCGAGUGGGGUAUUGGGCCCAUUGGAAAACCUACCCUACGUCUAUUGACCCCGAGUUAAUUACAGACGAAUCAUAUUUAUGUGUUGAAAAAAAUACAUGCUUGUCUAAUUCAAUCCAUUAUCCUUUGGGGUCUGGGGAAGGCUUAUCUUUGUCUGCUUUCAUGUAGGAUAUGGCUCAACUACAUUCCCACGAAAAGUUCAAGAUGGUUACUAAACCUGACGAUUUCUUGAAACUAUGGUGGGACCACAUGAGCGCAGGAGAGAAAAAGAUUGUUAGAACACACAUUGGGCAUCUUCCUUCUUUGAUCGAGAUGGACGCUUGGCCCGAAAUUAUCCAUGUACUAAUAACUUUUUGGGAUGAUCAGAAUAUAGUAUUUCGCUUUAGGGAUGUUGAAUUGACUCCUACCAUUGAAGAGGUAUUAUUUGUUACGAGAGUACAGAAAUGUGUUUUAAGAGAAGGGAGACACCUGAUAAGAACAUUUUAGUCCCGAUUGUGUGGGAUCGUCAAAAGAUCAAGGAGGUAUUUUUAACUAACGACGACACCUGGCUAGGAGAACGUGUGGAGAAAAUAUCACUUUUCGUGAGUUGUAUCGUCGGUUCGGGAGAUUCAAUGCUUUUCACAAAUUUGGGCAUAAAUAUGAGUCAGAAGCAAAAUGGAAAGAGUCGAGAGCCUUUGCAUUUGCGGUAGGCCUACUUUGAACCAUGGUGUUCCCACAAGGGGAAAAUGGCACAAUUCAUCCGAGGGUUGUCUCAGUGACCUAUGCACUCUUCUUUGGAAUGGAGUACAAUUAUAAAAAGGUAUUUCACAACUUAGAUCCUAUGAUUGUUGCCGACUUAUAUCGAACUUUGGGAAGGUGUCAAGUCGAUAAUCGUUUCUUUCAAGGCUGCAACCUUAUGUUACAAUGGUGGAUGAUGAUUCAUUUGGUGAAAAAUCCUAGAAUGACACAACCUGACCACAAAACAAGGUGGAAUCUGCUAGAAUCGCACGACAUGUGGUUGUUUUUACACAGGUUCAAAAGGGAAGCAUCUCAUGAAUUUUGGCUUAAGACUCUUGGAGAAUUAAGAGAUGACGAUGUCCAAUGGUCCCUUAACUAUCUUCAUUCAGGGAAAUACAUUAUUCAAGGGGGUGAGUGGCCUUUUCUAGUGCUUCCGGGUAUCAGGGGAACCUGUCCCUACAAUUCUGGUAGAGUUCUUAGGCAAUUUGAGAUCAAGAAGGAGAUGCCUCAAAUCGAUUCUAUGCUCAGAUUCUUCACCGAAUAUGAUGAAACCGAGCCCUCGCUCAAAGACUACAUGAUAAACGAAUUUAGAAGGAGAAGGUGGACGGAAGUCUCUUUCCAUAUAGGGUAUGUACCUGAAGUCAACGAUACUUACAAGGAGUGGGUAAAAAAGAGCCUCAGUGGUGCAUUAAUUUCGGGGCCAAACGUGCCCACUUGGGUCGUGGAUGUAGAAUUCGAGCAUCAGAUCCAACUCCACAGGCUUCAGGAUAAAUUUUAGAAAAAUGAAAUCGCGCACCGACAUCGCAUGUAGAAGAUGCUUUAACAAUACGUAUGUUGAGGGAAGAGUUGAAAAGAGCUAGGCAAGAGGCUGAUGAUGCUAGGCAGUGUUUAAUCGAUUUGGAUGAUAGCAUGGCCUCUCAACUCGAUAGUAUAGGGAAAAUGACUUACCACAGCAAGGCACAAUUAUACGGGAGUCAUCUGAUCAUCAAUAGGUAUCAAAUAGCACAGGAGGUGAACAAGGAAAAGAAGGCAAAGACAGACAAAGGAGCCUCCGUUAGCUAGUUUUUCUAUUUCCCCUGCGCGGGAACUUAUUUUCUUUCAUGUUAUUUCCCUUUUUUCCUAAAGAUUGUAUCCCUCUUUUCUUAUUUUUUUGAAGGCAUCUAUGCCCUUUUUCGUGUCUAUAUAAAUUAGGGGAUAAUGGAUUGACUUUAAGGAAGCAUAUAUUUUCUUCAAAAUCGUUAGGCCUGAACCCUUGGCUCAAAAAGGGUCACCCCAGUUAGGAUACGCAUUAUUAUAAUGUUUUGUGUGAUAUAAUUGUCUUAUGUUCUUAUGUGUGUUUAUUUGGAUCAACGGCAAGUUUAUUCGCUAUACUCCUAUGGAUGAAUUUGGCUAUGACUCAAAAAACUCUAUGUGAUUAUUUCUUGUCAAAUAUUUUGCAUUACUUAUCACAUACGGAAACUAACACAUCUGCCUUUGAGUUGUUUUACUUAACAGAUAGUAGAAACUACUCUGUGUUGAUAUAAGUUGGCAGAACAUCCCUACUUCACCCGGUCAAAAGCGCACAAAAUCCCAUCCUCUGACCAUCAUUUAAUAAUACUAGAAAUAAUGAAGAAAACGCAUUGACCAUCAGGGACAAUCUAAUAGUGGAACAGAAUGAGAUGAUUACGGAACUCGCAAGAAAGCUUGAAAUGCUUCAGGAGGAAAUAAAUUGUACUCGAGAUUUGGCUCACCUGGCCAUCACUGUUAAUGCUCCCGCUCCAGGAGGACACGGGACUCCACUCCAAAUACCUUCCCUUAGUACGCCUAUUCUCGGGGAUCAGCCAAAUAACAUAUCAUCCGUCUCUGCCCCUUCACUUGUCCAAAAUACCAAUCGCGAAAAUAACCCAGAUGCCUACCAUCCACAAAAUCCAUCUCUAACCCCACAAAACCCAUCUACGAAUCUAUUCCCAAAUCCCCAGAACACAUUUUCAAAUCAAGAAAAUUCAUUCCCAAAUCCACAGGAUUCACUUCCAAACCCGUAAAAUCCAUUAAAUCUAUUCCCGAAUCCACCAAAUUCGUUUCCAAAUCCGCAGAAUUCUCCUCCAAUUCCACCAAACCACUCGUAAAUUCCACAAAACCUUCCUAAAUUUUAAAACAUCAUCCCCACCUACCAAUAAACUUCCUUUCAUCUGCAAAAUCAAGCCUCCUUUCCAAAUCUCCCUCAUGCCAUCAUAUCCCCUGACAUCUAUAAUCCCCUACCUAAUUUUGAGAUGGACCAUUACUAAGAGAAGGAGAAAGAGUGGAUGAUCGAGGAUGAAAUUAGGUUGCUAGCUAUGAAUGAAGAGAUCAUGAGGAUCAAAGAAUCUCAUGAAGCGAGGGACCACGACGGUUUAGGGUAUGAUGACUUAUGUGUUCACUCUGGAGUAGAUCUACCAGAAGGGUACAAGGUCCCCAAGUUUGAAGUGUUUGAUGGUGCUGGGAAUCCAAUGGCCCAUCUGAGGAGGUACUGUAAGCAACUGGUAGGGAUCGAGAAAAAUGAGGUGUUAUUGAUGCGCCUAUUCAGCCGAAGUUUAAGCGGUGAAGCCUUAGAGUGGUUCAUGUAUCAGUAGCCAAAAAAAAUGGACUGGUUGGAAAGCAUUGGCUAAGGGUUUCCUCGAAAGGUUCUCAUUCAACAUUGAAAUUAUCCCGGACCGGUAUUCACUAGAUCGGAUCAAACAAAAGAGUGAUGAGAGUUUUCGAGACUAUGUUUUUCGUUGGAGGAAGGAAGCUGCCAAAGUUCAACCCUCCAUGUCUGAGGAAGAAAUGGUAUCCGUAUUCUCUCACGCUCAAGAAGGACAAUAUUAUACCAGGAUGGUGUCCGCUUCAGGGCAACUUUUGCAGAUUUGGUAAAAAUUGGGUAAUCACUGGAAGAAGGUAUUCGUACAGGAAAAAAUUGCCAAGACCCCAACAUCGUUCGAAACUGCUAUGUUCUCGAAGAAGAAAAAAGAGGAUGUAGGCACGGUUUCUGCUGAUUCUAUUGCAAAAACGAAAAAAAGGUUCAACUCUAGGAAUGUUUUCUCUUCUCCACCAUCACCAAACUUUCAGCAUGUAUUCUACACCCAACCCCAAUACCAAGCUUCACUUCCAAAUAUCCAACCUCAGUACCAAACUCCACUCCCAAAUAGUCAACCCCAGUACCAAGCUCCACUCCUAAAUGUCCAAUCCCAAUUCCAAGCUUCGCAGCCAAAUAUUUUUCCCUAAUGUCAAGUUCCACCGCUGAAUUAUCAUCCUAAUAUCCAAUCCACUCUUCCAAACAUCCGAAAAAACAUCCAAGCACCUCUAAAUUAUCAUUAAGUGCUUCCUCCUGCAAAUCAAAAUCAUUAUAACACUCCGCAUCCAAACAUCAAAAAUAAACCUCCCCAAAACUCCACGUUGCUUGCUGAAAGUCGCACCCAACUAUUUGAAAGAUUGAAGAAUAUCGGUCACUUGUAAUCGAUCCAGUUAAAUCUUGUCAAUCCCAACUCUCGAUUUUAUUAUCCUGAUCAAAAUUGUUCUUAUCAUUAAGGAGCAGCAGGGCACAGUACCGAGGACUGUUUUAUCUUGAAACAGAGGAUCCAAGAUCUGAUUGAUCAAAAGGUCAUCACGCUUCAGUCACCGACACCAAAUGUCAAUAGUAACCCAUUGUCUAAUCAUGGGGGAUCUACUAUUAACAUGAUUGAAAUGAAACGAGAAUGGGUGUCUGGCAAGACUAUUACUAAGAUGAAUUCAGAAGAGUGCAAAAGGGCGGAAGAGGUAGAAAAGAUAGAGAGAGUUGUGGCUACCUUAAGUGUCAACGAGAAAGCCCCAUUUAUAGUGAUGACGGCCCCUAUCCAAGUGUACACUCACCCGCCAAGGAAGGAAUUUAUUGUACAGACCGUUGUUGCCUAAGGGAUGAUGCAAUCGGGAUGAUGCUACAUCUCUAAAGAAUUGACCAACAAAAAAAAUUCACAGAAAAGGCCAACCACUAAAGGGGAGGAUGAGGAAUUUUGGAGGCGUAUGCAACCCAAAGAUUAUUCAAUUUUCAAACAUUUAGAGAAGACGCCGGCCCAAAUCUCCAUUUUGGCACUAUCAAUAAGUUCGCAAUACCACCGAUAAGCUUUAUCAAAGGUCUUGGAUGAAGCGUAUGUUCCCGUAGGAACGAGUGUUGAGAACAUGGUUGCGAUGAUAGAAAACAUUGUGGGGAAUCAUCGUAUAUCAUUCAGUGAUGAAAAGUUGCCUUUUGAAGGAGUGAUGCACAAUAAAGCCUUGCAUGUCACUGUCAUUUGCCAAGAUUAUGCGAUUAAUCAGGUAUUAAUAGAUGAUAGAUCUGGUGUGAAUAUUUGUCCCCUCUCCACGUUGGUUCAAAUGGGCUAUAAUUUGGGAAAAAUUCAUCAAAGCCACAUAAAUGUGAGAGCAUUCGAUGGAGGGCAGAGAGAUACCAUAGGAGAAAUUGAUUUGUACAUCCAAAUGGGACCUGCUGAGUUCAAAACUAAGUUUCAUGUUAUGGAUAUUCAUCCUAGCUACAACCUUCUCUUGGGAAGACCAUGGAUACAUGGUACAAAGGCCGUUUCAUCACCCCGUCAUCAACUAUUGAAAUUCAUUUGGGAGGAUCAUGAAGUAGUCAUCCAAGGGGAAGGAAGCCGAGCGGAUCGUCCCAAUGGUUAUGUGCCGGUAAUUGAAGAUGUUCCAAAGGGUAGUAGUUUCUAUACGGUUGAAAUUAUAAAUGCUGUGGAGAAGGAUCUGACGCUCAAAGGGACAAUGCCUUCUUUCUAUAAAAUAAUUGCGACGGUGAUGUUAAGAAAUAGAUUCGAGCCUGGUCGGGGUUUGGGUACGAAUCUACAAGGAAUUAUUGAGCCUAUUAUGAUCCCAGAGAAAGCCUUUAAAUAUGGGUUAGGAUAUCACCCUACCGAGAAGGAUAUGGUUGAGGAUAAGUUAGAGCAGAGUCUGUGUAGGCCCUUUUUGCUUUUAUACCAGUCAUUUCCUAUACGGGAGAUGUCGAAUGAUGAUGGUCUUGAGUAUGGGAUAGGAGAUUUGUUUGAGGGAUGCAAUGCUAUACCAGAAGAUUUCCCAAAGUCCGGCGGGGUGAAGAAGAUUGCGCCAGGGGAGGCCUUGAAAAACUGGACCUCCACUCCAACCCGUCGCCCAUCGUGGUAGAUGAAAGGGCAAUUCAGAAUAGUUUUAAAAUCAGUGAUGAUCUGGAAGAGGCCCCACGAUCCACACUUUAUAUCUCAAAACUUUAUUUUUAUAUUUUACUGCUUUCAAAAAGGCAUGGACUUGUAUUUGCACGAGUCAUGAGCCAUGGUUUUGUAAUUAUCUCGCAAAUUUCAUUGAAAAGGCCUUCAUUCAUUUAAAAAAAAAUUAUUAUUCCUGAAACAUUCCUAUUCGUAUAUUUUAUUAUUAUCUUAUUAUCAUCUAACUUGGUUUGUUUGUCCAUUACAGUAACAGUAACUUAAAAUCUGCCAAUGUCAUGUCAUAUCAAAGCUUAGACGAACAAAAUAAGGGGAAUGAUGAUGAUUGGAAGGACGGUGAUGAGGAACAAUUAGUUGAAGAUAUAGAGGAGUUUGAGAAUCGAGAAAAGCCUAACCUAGAGGAAACUAAAAUAGUCAACCUCGGAGAUCAAGAUGAAAUCAAAGAAAUAAGUGUCAACGUCCACUUGGCGGAAGCACAAAAGAGAGAGCUCAUUCACCUGUUACAGGAAUAUAUUGACGGUUUUGCUUGGUCCUAUGAUGAUAUGCCGAGAUUGAGCACCAAUAUUAUGUCGCGUAAGUUGCCAAUAAAUCCAGAGUUUGAUCCAGUCAAGCAAAAAAUACGGAAAUUCAAGCCAGAUUUAAGUCAAAGAUCAAGGAAGAAGUGACAAAACAAAUCCAGUCUAAGGUUGUGGAGGUCACAAAAUAUCCAACAUGGUUGGCCAACAUUGUCCCUGUGCCGAAGAAGGACGACAAUAUUCAAAUUUGUGUUGACUAUAGAGACUUGAAUAGAGCCAGUCCUAAAGAUAAUUUUUCGUUGCCCAAUAUCCACAUCCUCAUCGAUAACUGUGCAAAGCAUGAAAUUCAGUCAUUCGUUGAUUGUCUUGCCGGGUAUCAUCAGAUAUUAAUAGAUGAGAAAGAUGCAGAAAAGACGACUUUUAUUAAGCCCUGGGGUAUUUAUCAUUACAAGGUAAUGUCGUUUGGUCUCAAGAACGUGGGUACAACAUAUAUGAGGGCUAUGACGAUGAUUUUCCAUGAUAUGAUCCAUAAAUAGAUUGAGGUGUAUGUGGAUGAUGUAAUUAGCAAAUCCUGCGAGAGUUCAGAUCAUCUGACUCAUCUGGAGAAAUUCUUUAACAGAUUAAGAAAGUACAGUUUAAAGUUAAAUCUUGCUAAGUGUACUUUUGGUGUGCCAUCAGGGAAGUUACUGUUCAUAGUUAGCAGAAGAGGCAUCGAGUUAGACCCAUCCAAAAUCAGGACAAUCCAGGACUUGCCAUCGCCGAGGACUAAGAAGAAAGUUAUGAGUUUCAUGGGUCAUUUGAAUUACAUUAGUAGCUUCAUCGCUCAAUCGACAUUCAUAUGCGAUCCAAUUCUCAAGAUAUUGAAGAAAAAUUCAUUGAAUGAGUGGACAGAAGAAUGUCAGAGAGCUUUUGACCACAUCAAAGAAUAUCUAUCUGCACCACCGGUUUUGGUUCCACCAAGAGAAGGAAUUUCAUUAUUGCUUUACCUGUCAGUCCCAAAAAAUGCUUUUGGAUGUGUCCUCGAGCAACAUGAUGAGACCGGUAGAAAAGAGAAAGCCAUUUACUACUUGAGUAAAAAGUUUACGCCAUAUGAAGCCCGUUAUACUCUUGUAGAAAUGACAUGUUGUGCUUUGACUUGGGCUGCACAAAAGUUAAGGCAUUAUCUGUCUUCGUACACGACAUACAUCAUCUCGAGAAUGGAUUCAUUGAAGUAUAUAAUACAGAAGACUAUACCCACAGGAAAGCUAGCCAAGUGGCAAAUAUUGCUAAGCGAGUUUGACAUCAUGUAUGUAACUCAAAAUGCAAUCAAGGGGCAAGCUUUGGCAGAUAAUUUGGCAGAGAAUCCAGUUGAUGAUGAGUAUGAACCACUUCAAACUUACUUCCCAUAUGAGAAAAUUCUAUUUGUGGGAGAAGACAUUACAGAAAUUUACCCUGGAUGGAGGUUAUUCUUUGAUGGAGCGGUCAACUUCAAAGGUUCAGGAAUCGGAGCAGUGUUGGUCUCAGAAAUGGGUCAACAUUAUCCAGUAACUACUAAGUUGCAUUUCCCAUGCACCAACAACAUGGCCGAAUAUGAAGCUUGCAUCCUGGGUCUCAAAUUGGCACUUGAUAUGGGUGUUCGUGAAUUGCUAGUCAUCAGGGAUUUAGAUUUGCUGAUUCACCAGGUACGGGGAGAAUGGGCGGUAAAAAAUUCCAAGAUUACUCCUUAUGUUGAGCUGGUACAGGAAUUAUGUGGAAAAUUCAAAGAAGUUGAUUUCAGACAUAUCCCAAGAAUACAAAAUGAGUUUGUUGACGCUUUGGCCACUAUAUCCUCUAUAAUUUGGCACCCAGAUCAGAGUUAUAUUAAUCCUUUGGAAAUAAGCUUGAAGGAGCAACCUGCGCAUUGUGCACGUGUUGAAGAGAAGCCCGAUGGAAAGCCAUGGUACUAUGACAUUAAAAGGUAUUUAGAAUCUGGAAUAUAUCCUGAAGAGGCCAGCAACAACCAAAAGAAACAACCCAGCGUUUGGCAAAAAACUACUUUCCAAGUGGGGAAUUUCUUUUUAAGAGGACACCUGAUUUAGGAUUUUUAAGAUGCGUAGAUGCUGUGGAAGCCAAUAAAUUGAUAAAAGAAGUACACACAGGAGUUUGCGGACCCCACAUGAAUGGGUUUGUCCUUGCCAUAAAGAUCCUGAGAACCGGCUACUUCUGGAUAACUAUGGAGAAUGAUUUAGUAAGUAUGUGCAGAGAUGUCCAAAAUGCCAUACACAUAGAGAUUUGAUUCGAAUGCCUCCACACGAGCUUCAUGAAAUGAAUUCACUUUGGCCUUUCGUAGCUUGGGGCAUGGAUGUUAUCGGACCGAUAGAGCCAUCAGCAUCGAUAGGCAUAAAUUUAUUUUUGUUGCCAUUGACUACUUCACUAAGUGGGUCAAAGCUGCAUCAUAUAGAUUCGUCACUAAGAAAAUGGUUGCAGCUUUCGUUAGGAAUAACUUGAUUUGCCAAUUCGGAGUACUGUAAUCAAUCAUUACUGAUAAUGGGGCAAACUUGAACAGUCACUUGAUGAAAGAAAUUUAUGAUCAGUUCAAAAUUGUGCAUCGCAACUCUACCGCAUAUCGUCCACAGAUGAAUGGAGCCGUAGAAGCUGCCAAUAAGAACAUCAAGAAGAUCUUGAGAAAGAUGGUCAAAAUGAUAGAUCAUGUCAUGAGAUGUUACCUUAUGCUUUGCUAGGUAUCGCACAACAGUUCGAACCUCCAUCUGGUCAACUCUCUAUUUGUUGGUUUACGGGAAUGAAACUGUGAUACCUGUUGAGGUUGAAAUACCUUCCCUGAGGAUUAUUCAAGAGGCCGGACUAAGUAACAAAGAGUGGGUUCGCGCUCGUUGUGAACAACUCAUGUUGAUUGAUGAAAAGAGAAUGGUUGCCAUGUGUCAUGGUUAGUUAUAUCAGCACAAGAUGAUUCAUGCUUUCAACAAGAAAGUGAGAGCUCGAACAUUUGAAGUUGGGCAAUUAGUUCUCAAAUGCAUACUCCCUCACCAAGAAUAUUACAAGGGCAAGUUCGCUCCAAAUUGGCAAGGUCCAUACAUAGUUCGCAAGGUACUAUCUAGAGGGGCUCUGAUUUUUCUGAGAUGGAUGGCCAUGAGUGGACCAAACCAAUCAAUUUUGAUGUGGUGAAAAGAUACUAUGUUUGAAGGGCGUUCUAGUUUUAUGGUUCUUAGUUUAUCUGUAAUCGCCAUGUAAUAAUGUGUUUUAUGAUGUGUAAUUGCCUAGAACACUUUUCCCUUUAUGUACGAACUAUGUUUGACCUGAAUUCCCAAGAAAGGGAUACGUAUGCGGCCUAUGUCGGAUUCGGUCAACCUCUUAGAGAAUUUAUUCUUUCCCUUUAUGUAUGAACUACUUGAUGACCUGAAUUCCCAAGAAAGGGAUACGUAGGCGGCCUAUGUCGGCUUCGGUCAACCCAUUAAUUUGUUUUGUAUAUUCCUAGCGUAAUCCUAAACUACAUUUGACCUGAUUCCUACUUCAACGGGAUACGUAGGCGCCCCAACGGUUCGAUCAUAUAACCCCAAGAAAUGAAAACUGGGGCAGAAUUUUUGAGAAGGAAUCUCGAAAAUUCACAAGAGAAGAUCAACAUCCAACAAAGAGAACGAAGAUCAGCAAAGACUUUAGAUCCACUCAAGAUGAUAUCAUCUCAGACUACUUUAAACUGGGGCAGAAAUUUUAAGGAAGACCUCAAAAUUUCAAUCAAAUACUGGAAUAUAUUUUAGAUUCCCCAGCACUAGAGGUCAAAGUUGAGAUUUGAGAAUAACCACCUGUGAUAAAGUCUAGGAAGACUGAAUCUCCAUCUUUGAUAAAACCUCUGGUAGAGAGCCUCGACAAUCUUGAAUCCCAGCUAUCCUCCGUCAAACGUCAGACAUUGUCAGAAUCAAGAUAAAGAAGGUCGUUGAGCUAGCACAUGACAUGACUGGCAAAGAUUUUUCAAAGUUUUGCAGGAGUUCUCAAAAUUAUUUUCUAAAAAGUAAGAGUACUAAAAUCUAUAUAAAUCUUUUACUUAGUUAUUGCCUAGACAUCAAUUAGGACGGAGAGUCAUAAGUAGAAGUCCCAACACGACGAAAUACCUGAAAAAUGGCGAAAGGUAAAUCAAGGAUCGAAGGAGGUCAACACGAAGUAGUUUCACUCAAACUAAUCAUUUUUUAUGGGCGCAAGGACCAAUACACAAAAAUGAAAGUCUCUUUCAAAAAUCUCCGAGCAAAUUGGGAGCCACACCAGAGCACUAAUGCUCAAGAACAGUAUUUUUGGGUAGCCCUAAAAAUGGGUUUAGUACCCAUAUAUUGAAGACCUUUUAAAGUUGUCCAUCUCAUUUCUUGAGAUCAUGGAGGACAAAUAAAAGUGUCUUGUCUUCUUUACAAAUAUUGUAUUUAGAAUUUUUCUAAAAAACAUUCGCUAGCAAAAACGACUUUGUGUCUACUAAUCGUCUACCUUGAGUAUAGGUACAUGCAGAAAGCAAGAUCCUGACAAAUGAUUUCAGUUGAAACUAUUUUUAAUUUACCGGAAGAACCAUUGCAUAUCAUUGCCGAAAGAACAAUUUGAGAGAUUAUCUAUAAGUCAUAUUGUAUCCAAGGUCGGAUGAUAUGCAGGAACCCCUGAAAGCUAGCGAUUGGAGGGAUAUCUGUAAGCUGUCUCUUAUCCAAAGUCGAAUAAUUUGCAGGAUUACCUAAAAGCUAGAAAUUCAAAGGAUAUUUGUAAGUUUCCUCUUAUCCAAUAUCAAAUAAUGUGCAAGAUUAUCCAAAGAUUGAUAAUUUAAAGGAAAUUUAUAAAUCAAUCAUCGUCAAUAACCAAAAAGGUUAUCCUUCCACAUACAACAAGAAUUAUAGGUGACCGAAGAAGUUACCACAUCUACACAAGAUUACAUGGUUGUGAGGACCAUUCUUCAUAAAAUAUCAUUGAUGUCCGAAGGGCCACCCCACUUUGAAGAUAUAUUCAACCGACAAAUGCCAUAAUUAUACAACUAUCAAGAAGGUUGUUGUGCCUGUUAUUUCAAGUUAUUUCCUUUCAAACAGGUACAAGAAAGGAUGACUUCGCUUUUUAGACAACAACUCACGCGGAGAUAUGGUAAAAUACUAUAUACCUCUUUCGUGAGUUAUGCUUAUCACUAAUGAUUUUUGUUUGAGAUAUUGUCGAGAGCAUCCGAGAGGAUAAAAAUCUCAAAUCAAAACCACAAGUGAGGACGACUCCAAAAAGGACGCAGCACAACGUGGAACUCUUUCUUAGCAGCAAAACGGGACAUAGUCUAGACAGGGAUGUCAAACUCUCUGGAUGCGAGCUAAAUGAUGAUUACCACCACCAUCUAACCACACCCCUUUUAGAAGGCAUGUGGGUAUUUUGGGAUAUUCUGGUUUCAGCUUCACCUUCGGGAUAUUUUCUUUACUCAUACCGAGGGUAACCUUCUCUUUCUUUCAAAUUUGGGUGACAACAUACUUAGAGUUUUGAAAAUUAUGUCCAGGUAAGUUCUUAUCUAUGGAUGUGAAGGAUCCCACAUUCAUGAUUAAGAGGUUACAAACCUUUUUUCCGCAACUCAGUCAACUUGUCACUUAUCCUGAUCCAAAGAUUGUCUAAAAAUAGAAGACUAUCUUUUCUACCGAUAGAGUCGAACUACAAGCAGUCUGAUUCCCUGAGUCUCGGGGAUAUGUAAGCUGGGCUCUAUGUAGAAAACUCAACUGAAUUCCAACCUCCCCCCAAAUCCCUCUAUUCCAUAGCUUUUUGAUUUUGUCAAAAACUCCAAAAAUCGAGACAACUUGUGAAUUUUUUAAAAAUCAUGCUUUAAAUCAUGCUUUAUGAACUACAAGUGGCCUGAAUUCUCAUGCCACCUGAGAUAUGUAGGAAACCUGAUGCCAAGGUUCGGCCAUAACUCAUUAAACUCGUGCUUAAGCCAACCUUUUUCAGAUGUGAAUUUGUGAUCAAACAAAAAUUAGGAACGUCAACCUCCCUUUGCCUAGGAUUACUUGCAUCCACCCUACCCAAAGGGAGGGGGCAGUUGUUGACACCUAAUUUUUACCCCCCAUAACUAAGUUUAAUUCCGAGUUCUUUAAUUUUUAAUAAGAUUACAACAUUUAUUUUAUAGAAUAAAGGAAAUUUUCAAAAAUAUUUAUCGAGGUAAUUUCGUCACUUUAAGUAGCAAUAACAUGUUAUCGUGCCCGACUAUAUGAAAUUAUAUGCUUUGGUUACUUAAAUGGCUAUUUUCUAUAAAAUAAUCAAAGUUUGUCUUGAAAUAAUUUCGAAUGGUUAAAAUCUUGGUCUAAACAUAAUUUAAUCUCAAAAAUAAUUUGUUCAUAUAAAUAUUUGUUUAGAUUUUAUUAAAUCAAGAAGCUCGAAAUUAAAGGAGAUAUUAAUUGAUUUCAAAUUUUGAUUCAAUUCGGCUAACCUGUCAGCUUCGACCACAAUUGAAAUUAGAUUGGUCAUUAUUGCGAGCAAUUGGCCAAUCGAUUUUAAAUUUGGCCAAAAUUUGAAUAAAUCAGCCAAAUCUCCAAUUACAUAAUCAACCCAUUUAAAUCAGUUUUGUCCCAUUUUGUAAACUACAAACAGCAGCCCACUUUCUUAAUUUAGCUUACUAGCUUUGCCAACCCAAUAGUUAAGAUAAGCCCUUUCCCCUUUCAGUUGGGCCAUACAGUUGGGCCGUUAAUCCAAAACUUUCAGAUGACCCAACAAUUUUCAAAUGACAUCAAACCCAACCCAUUUCCUCAGUAACCUUUUUCUUUAAUUAUAUUGACCGCCCCAGCCCAACAACAACAUCCAAUUCAUAACCAGGCCCAAUUUCAGCAUCCCCACCAGCCUAUUUUCCUCUUUAUUCUCAAACAGGCCCAAAUCAACCACCUGUUACCCAAUCCAGCCCAAUUCUCUUUACCUCCUUUAUCUUCUUUCUCUUCAAACCAAGGGAAAACCAAAAACAGUUGUAAUACUACGACACCACCACCUUCAUCGACAACAUAAGCAACCAACAAUGGCAAAAAAUUUGAAUCCAUCAACCAGAUAACCCGAAUCCACCAUCCCCAACCAUUUUGUUUGCUCUCCACAUGCGUAUCAGGCAUCAAAAAGACGAGAAAAGAAUCCAAGAAAAAAAUAGUCUCAAAUCUUCUAGAACGAGCCUAGGUGUCAUCCCCAAUGGUUCAAUCUCGUGUUUCUCAUAUAAGAUUGUACGAUUUCGUACAGAGUUGGAUGAUUUUCAUUGGUUCUUGAAAAUAGUCCAUUUUUCCUAAAUGGUAUUAGUCCACCUGUGGCAAAUUUCUCUAAAAAAAUCCAAAGUUGGUACGUUUUGGGCUUGAAAAUGAGGCUGUGGGAGAAUGGGAUUCUGAAUUUUGAAUUUCUCUUUUUUUUUCAAUCCCUAGAUUACCCCGAACUCAUUCCAUAUAUAAGAAUCCAUCGGGUUACUGUGAUGGGGGGAUUUUUUUUUUAGACGGGCUUCUCCUCCUUCUUUCUAGGUUCGCAACCUUAGAGGUAAAGGGAUUCCAACUAGGAGGUUUGGAAAAUUUUGCAGAAGUAUCGAGGGUUUUGGGGCCAAAAAAUUUUAGGGGAAAACUUCUUAAAUUAGGAAAUUGAUAGAGAGGGCUAAGUUCAGAAACCAAGGAGGAAGUUUCCAUAGAAAGAAAACAAAGUUUUUAGUAUAGGUGUCUUUGGUCGACGACUACUUCGAGCUUUCGUGGUCACCGUGUUAAACUUUCUAGUGGUAUUGAAAUCCUGUCGUCAGUUCGACAACCUAUUUUGAUGCUCCGAAACAGGUAAACGCGCCUUUUUCUUUGAGUUUGUUUUGCUUCUUCAUCUCAUUCUUUGUAGUUUUGUAAUCAUAGUGAUAGUGAGAUGGUUUAUUGUAGAUGGUUGUUAUGGCCAUAGGAUUUUCUUGCAAAGAUUGUCGUUAUGUUGUUCGUUGCAUAAAUGUCUACACUCUAAUCCUUCGCUCCACUUUCGAUUACGUAUGUUUCGAUUUGAUCGUUUUGACUCACCAUAUUAUUUUCAUGUUGUUAGUUAGUUUCAAUCCAUUCUUAAUAGUAAUCAAUAUUGUCAUGGCGGUAUUUUUUUUAGCAUAAAUGUUGCUGAUUUUUUCAGUUUAAAUAGUAUUACUUUCAAGCCAGAAUAUUGUUAUUUUUUUAGUCUAAGUAUUGUUGGGUUUCAACCCCAAAUAUUGUUGUGUUUUUUAGUCCAAGUAGUGCUGUUUUUAGGCCUGUUUAUUGCUGUUUUUUUAGCCUAAAUAUCGCAGGUUUUUAGCCUGAAUGAUGUUUCGGAACUUAAAUAUUUUUCCCAGACCUUGAACAUCGUCGUUGAACGCUUUGGAUUUGUUUUGUUGCGCCAAACAUCUAAAAUUUUCUUACGUAGCAUACAGUUGAGUCAGAUCUUGUUUGGUUGUCUUUAGAAUCGAUCAAUAACAUGUUUGUUGUUUUGUUUCGAUUUAAAUCGGUCUUCCUUUCAAAUUAUAGAUGACCAAAAUAGAUAAUGUGCUUCUUUCUUCUUGAAAAUGACGUUCAAAACUGUUUGUGCUUGAGGCGUUGAUUUAUUUUUCCUUUCCCCCUUUGUUAAAAAUAUGUCCAAUUCAUCUUUUUGUGUCGAUUAGAACAGUGGCUUGUCAAUAUCCUAUUCUUACGUUGGUCUGAUUUUCGCUCAUAGGCUUAAAACUCUUAAGGUUUUGCAAAGCUAUUAUGUAGAAAACAACGAUUCUAUUGUCUUUUGGAUACGAAUCUGCAUCCUCAAUAUUUCUUCCGAUAAAUUGUUUCGGAGUCUAUCGUUUUCUCUUUUUGUCUUUGUUAAUAUGUGUCAUUUGCUACUACUUGUUGAUUCUUUGUUUGUAAUACUUGUUUUUCGGUUAUCUUCUACCCUGUUUAAUUAUCUGGUUCAAUAUAUUAAUUUUUUUUAGCUUCAAGAAUCUUGUGAUGAACUAUCACUUGCUGGUCAUUGAUAUCAAAAUAAAGCAAGAUGUGUUCAAACCAAGCUAUAUAAUUGGUCUUUUCUCUUAAGUUUGUGCUUUCUGGUUGAUAAAUUUUAAGGUGAUAUUUCUAUGGGUGAAAUGAAUCAGGAGCUUUACAUGAUAUUUCUUUUAAUUAGAUCACACUAGUACUGUUUUAUUCAUGCACCAAAUGUAUUCUUUUCCAUGUCAUCACUUAUUUGUUAAGUAACCAACUUUCAAACAUAUAUUAAUUUUCUUACUUUUUACUUUGCAUGUGGAUACGUUUGAGUCCUAAACGGACUCCUUUUCACCUUUGCAUCCUCUCUAUGGGUCCUUGAGGCUCACCUCGUUGAACUAAGCCCAAAAGAAGGUCCAAAAGCCCAUCGUUUGAUGUAUGGUUACGAGAAGACGGAAGGAAAGGAAAUGGAUUAAAGCCCUACGUGUGAAGCGGCUAAGAGACAAAAGUCUCAAUUAUUAUUUCAUUCUACUUAUUGUUGCUUUUUUUUUUUAUUUAUUUUAUUUGUUUGUUCAUUUUAUUCAUUCAUUUGGUCCACGAAGUCGAAGUUGUAAAUUUAAUACAGGUGGAGCGAGACUCGAGCUAAAGACUCGAAAAACAUAGAAUUAGGAUAGGUGCAAAUGGGUCGAAAUCCUAACUAGAUUAGGAUAGGGUCGACGGUUUGGGCUUAAAAGCCUAAAUCAUUACUUUCCCACUUUUUUCCUUUUUUCUUUUCAUUUACUUGUUUGCUUGUCUCUUUGCGAAGUUAGUUAAAUCCCUAACUAAGUCACUAAAAAAUUGAUUUUGAAUGUCAAUAUCCUAUUCUUACGUUGGUCUGAUUUUCGCUCAUAGGCUUAAAACUCUUAAGGUUUUGCAAAGCUAUUAUGUAGAAAACAACGAUUCUAUUGUCUUUUGGAUACGAAUCUGCAUCCUCAAUAUUUCUUCCGAUAAAUUGUUUCGGAGUCUAUCGUUUUCUCUUUUUGUCUUUGUUAAUAUGUGUCAUUUGCUACUACUUGUUGAUUCUUUGUUUGUAAUACUUGUUUUUCGGUUAUCUUCUACCCUGUUUAAUUAUCUGGUUCAAUAUAUUAAUUUUUUUUAGCUUCAAGAAUCUUGUGAUGAACUAUCACUUGCUGGUCAUUGAUAUCAAAAUAAAGCAAGAUGUGUUCAAACCAAGCUAUAUAAUUGGUCUUUUCUCUUAAGUUUGUGCUUUCUGGUUGAUAAAUUUUAAGGUGAUAUUUCUAUGGGUGAAAUGAAUCAGGAGCUUUACAUGAUAUUUCUUUUAAUUAGAUCACGCUAGUACUGUUUUAUUCAUGCACCAAAUGUAUUCUUUUCCAUGUCAUCACUUAUUUGUUAAGUAACCAACUUUCAAACAUAUAUUAAUUUUCUUACUUUUUACUUUGCAUGUGGAUACGUUUGAGUCCUAAACGGACUCCUUUUCACCUUUGCAUCCUCUCUAUGGGUCCUUGAGGCUCACCUCGUUGAACUAAGCCCAAAAGAAGGUCCAAAAGCCCAUCGUUUGAUGUAUGGUUACGAGAAGACGGAAGGAAAGGAAAUGGAUUAAAGCCCUACGUGUGAAGCGGCUAAGAGACAAAAGUCUCAAUUAUUAUUUCAUUCUACUUAUUGUUGCUUUUUUUUUUUAUUUAUUUUAUUUGUUUGUUCAUUUUAUUCAUUCAUUUGGUCCACGAAGUCGAAGUUGUAAAUUUAAUACAGGUGGAGCGAGACUCGAGCUAAAGACUCGUAAAACAUAGAAUUAGGACAGGUGCAAAUGGGUCGAAAGCCCAACUAGAUUAGGACAGGGUCGACGGUUUGGGCUUAAAAGCCUAAAUCAUUACUAGAUUAGGACAGGGUCGACGGUUUGGGAUUAAAAGCCUAAAUCAUUACUUUCCUGCUUUUCCCCCCUUUUCUUUUCAUUUAGUUGUUUGCUUGUCUCUUUGUAAAGCUAGUUAAAUCCCUAACUAAGUCGCUAAAAGUUUGAUUUUGCAAAAAAAUUUUCCUUAAUCAACUAUUUUUCUAGCAAAUUAAUUUUCCAAAGUUAAUCAAAAGAAUGUUUUUAAACAGUCUGGGUAACCGCAAGUUAACGGACGUUUUAGGUUCCUAACACCUUCCUAAAACGUUAAUAGGAACCGCCUACUUAGAAUCUCUUAACUUAAACAAUUUUCCUGUUUUGAAUUGUUUGAAGUAAUUCUCUAAAGGUUUCUUAAUUCCUUUUCAAAAUUAAGUGGCUACUCUCUUUCAAAAUUCAAAAUUUUCGCAAAACAAUUAACUGUCAAAGUUUGAAUUUUGAAAUUCCGACCGAGCCACAUAAAUAAAACAGAGGGAGUAGUAAAAAGAUUAUGAAUUUGAUUACAUACAUAUUUAAUGAAUUUUUUAACACAUAUACAUAAUUUGGGCCAAAGCUACUUGGUUCUGUCAAACAGUAUGCUGAAGGCUACUCUGCCCCUGUUAAUAAGUGAUAUGAUUGUAUUAGUACUUUUUAUAAUGUCAAUGCAUAGAACUUAAUUUCCUUUCUAGUAAGUGUCAUGUAUAGCAUACUUUUAUCUUCUUCUUACUAUGUCCUUUUGGCUUUGGUCAUUACUAUGUGCCAUGUUUGGAACGAUGCCUCACUCUGUUAAAUAAGUUGUCACAUAUGCAUGCAAGGAAGGAACAGUAUACAAGAAAUUUAUGAAUUUGUUCAAAUUAAAGAUGCAUGGUUGAGCGGAGAUUAAGGAAGGUCAUGUCUAUUUCGGAGAAUCAGUUUGGAUUUAUGCUUAGUCGCUCGACGACAGAGGUAAUCCACUUGGCCAGGAGANNNNNNNNNNNUGGAAAGAAAGAGGGAUCUACACAUGGUGUUCAUCUACCUGUAGAAGGCGCAUGACAAAGUCCCUAGGGAAGUUCUUUGGAGGUGCUUGAAGGUGAGAGGGGUCCCGAUGACGUAAAUCAGAGUCAUUAAGGACAUGUACAAUGAAGGGAAGACUCGGGUGAGGAUGGCGGGCGGAGAAUCAGAUCAUUUUUUGGUCGAGACAAGGUUAUAUCAGGGAUCGACUCUCAGUCCGUGUCUGUUUGUGUUGGUGAUGGAUGUGUUGACGCAAAGUAUUCAAGGUGAGGUGCCUUGGUGUAUGUUAUUUGCAGAUGACGUAGUGUUGAUUGAUGAGACACUGGGAGGUGUAAAUAAAAAAUUAGAGGUUUGGAGGCAUACCCUUGAGUCUUAGGGGUUUAGGUUGAGUAGGUCAAAGAUAGAGUAUAUGGAGUGCAAGUUUAGUGACUCGAAGCAGGAGGCCGAAGUGGUGGUAAGGUUGGAUUCCCAGGAUGUUUGCAAGAGGGAUAGUUUUAAAUAUCUCGAAUCUAUGAUUCAGAGGAAUGGCGAGAUUGAUGAGGAUGUCUCUAAGCGUAUUGGAGCAGGUUGGAUGAAGAGGAGGCUCGCCUCGGGAGUGUUGUACGAUAAGAAGGUGCCCUUAAAGCUUAAAGGUAAGUUCUACGGAGUGGCAAUCCGCCCGGCCGUGUUGUAUGGUGCGGAGUGUUGGCCAGUCAAGAACUCCCAUAUUCAAAUAUUGAAGGUAGCGGAAAUGAGAAUGUUGCAUUGGAUGUGUGGGCUUACUAGAAGGGAUAGAGUUAAGAAUGAGAUUAUCCGGAAGAAGGUGGGAGUGGCGUCGGUGGAAGACAAGAUGAGGGAAAAAAGACUGAGAUGGUUUGGGCAUGUGAUAAGGAGGGGCACAGAUGCCCCAGUUCGUAGGUGUGAGAGACUAGCUUUGGAUGGUUUCAGGAGGAGUAGAGGCUGACCGAAGAAAUAUUGGAGAGAGGUGAUUAGACAUAACAUGGAGCUGCUACAGCUUACUGAAGACAUUACCCUAGAUAGGAAGGUGUGGAGGUCGCGAAUAAGGGUGGAAGGCUAGUGCGGGUGUGGGUUGUGACUUGUAGUUAGGGAGCUCUUCUGUAGUCGAUUUAGUAACCCUAGGACUGUCCUUUGGUAGGAGCCGCUAGUGUAUUCUACUACUAGGUGAGUGUCCUUGUCUUAUUUCUUAUUUCCUAUUUCUUAUUUUCGUAGUUCGCUUAUUUUCGUGUCGCUCUUAUUUUUAUUAUUAUUGUUUCUUAUUUCUUAGUUUUUGGUUAUGUCACCCAUCUUGUUUCAUGUAUUAAUAUGACCUUGUUAAUUAUUCUUUAUCUAGAGUCGGGGGUCUAUCAGAAACAACCUCUCUACUUCUUUGGAAGUAGCGGUAUGGACUACGUACAUUCUACCCUCCCCAGACCCCACUUGGUGCAAAUACACUGGGUUUGUUGUUGUUGUUGUUGUUGUAAAGAUGCUAAUUAAAUUAAGGUACACAUAAACCUAAGUAUUAUGACUUGGAAACUCACAUAGUAGUACUUGCUACGUUCAGACUACAAAACACAUUGAUUUUCCCUUUUAACUGAAAUGUCAUUGAUCUAGUAGUAAAAUGUUACGAUGAUCCUCUUUCACUUCUUGACAGAAAAAUGAGGAAUCAUGCAAUAAGCUUAUAUCGUUCAACAUUAUUAUUUGCACUGAUUUUGAGUAUUGCUUCUUGAGAAUUAAUUGAAUUCGAUAAGUUCCUCCGGUCUGUAAAUUUAAGUUUAAGCUUUUAACAGCUUUAUAGUUUUUCUAGUUACCAUAUCCCAAAUGUAGCUUCGGUCGUUUUUGCUAUGUUCUUUUUUUUUUCCUUUGAUAUGAAAGUGGCACUAUAUGAUUCAUGUCUUUGGAAAGUGAAACUCAGAACUACACCAUCAUUGGAAUAUAUCAAACAUUUAUUCUAUUGUCAACUCAAUCACAAUAACUUUACAAGGCCAUCAAGCAAUCAAAUUUUAAGAAUUAUAUGAUGAUAUUCAUUUUCCGGGAACAAAAUUUGUGGCGUAGGCCCAGGCAUUGUUGUUAACCGGAUCUGCUAGGUGGUCAGCAAGGUUCUCCAAUGGACCCUUUCCUGUAACAAUGGCCUGAACAAAGAAUCCAAACAUAGAGAACAUAGCAAGUCUACCGUUCUUGAUCUCCUUUACCUUGAGCUCAGCAAAUGCCUCUGGAUCAUCAGCAAGACCUAAUGGGUCAAAGCUGCCACCGGGAUAGAGUGGGUCGACAACCUCGCCAAGAGGCCCACCAGCAAUACGGUAUCCCUCAACGGCUCCCAUCAAGACAACUUGGCAAGCCCAGAUGGCCAAGAUGCUCUGUGCAUGGACCAAACUUGGGUUGCCCAAGUAGUCAAGUCCACCCUCGCUGAAUAUCUGGGAUCCAGCCUUGAACCACACAGCCUCACCAAACUUGACACCAUUACGGGCCAAGAGCUCGGGGAAAACACAUCCAAGAGCACCAAGCAUAGCCCAUCUGCAGUGGAUCACCUCGAGUUCACGGUUCUUGGCAAAGGUUUCUGGGUCUGCUGAAAGUCCAGCGGUGUCCCAACCAUAGUCACCAGGGAAUUCACCGGUCAAGUAGCUUAGGGGCUCACCAGAGAGUGGGCCCAAGUACUUAACACGGUCUGGGCCAUACCAUGGGCUGCUAGAUGGUGCAGACUUGAGAGCCCUUCUCAUAGAGAUUCUUCCAUUUCCAGUGAUUUCUGAGGGAGAGGGUGAGAGUUUCACUGCCUGUCCAGCAAAAGAAGGGGAAGAAAGAGCCAUUGUAGAAGCUGCCAUGGUUUUUCUCAAGAGAAAGGUAAGUGUUUGAUGGUAUGAAAUAUUGUUGAAGUUGGCUGUGAUGAGGUGAAGUUAAUUACAAGGGGCUUCACCAUAUAUAGGAGGAGUAAGAGCGGUAGAGGCCUUUAUCUAACGAUAUCUACAUCUUUUUCUUUUGGUGUUAACGAUAUCUGUAUCUGUGAUCUCAUUGGGUAAUAAGAUCACAUGUGUAGAAAUUAAUGCACACUUGGCAAUCUCCAGACUCCAAUCCAUCAAUUUUCCAAGAUGUUUACUAAAGGGACCCAUCCAAUAUUGUCCUCCUUUGUGUGGAUACGAGGGUAUUGACUCUAUUCUGUGAUUUGUUGAGCUUACAAUAAGAUAUCUCUUAUCGUUAUCCAUUGGGAAUUUCUCCGGAUUUUAUCUAAUAGCUGGGAAUAAGUUACCAACACUAUAGCUCAUUCAAUGUAGAAGUAGAAACUAGAACUAUGUUUUAAGCAUUCCACUAAAUAAAUUGUGGAAAAACUGAAUUUUUUAAAUCAGAUUGUCAGUUACUAAUGUUUAUCAAAAGAUUAAUUUGUAGUAAUUACUUAAUAAGCAAAAGUGGAUCAGAAUUUGAACUUUUAUGGGUUCUGUAGUCUAGGACGACGACCUUAAAUUCUACUAAAUAGUUUCUAAAUUUAACUUUUCUACAUAUUUAAUAAGUUUAUUAAAACAUACAUGGUUUGGGCCAAAGUUAGUUCUGUCAAACCGGUUUGCUGAAGGGUACCUCUGCGCGUCCAUGUUAAUAAGUGAUAUGAUUGUGUUAUGCGUAAGUAUUUUUACAAUGUCAGUGCAUAGCGUCUCUAUAGGGUCGUCUAUACCUUGUAUCUUCUGCUUACAAUGUCCAUUUGGCUCUGAUCAUUGCUAUGUGAACAUGUUCUUCUCUAAAGAUAGUACCGCAUGCAUGUAAGGAAGGAGGACUACACAAGAAAUUCAAGAAUUUGUUCAAAUCUAAGAGGCUAAUUAAAUUAAGGGCACAUUAGUAUAAUGACCUGGAAACUCAUAUAUUACUUGCUACGUUCAUAUUACAAAACAUAUGCAUUGGUUUUCCCCUUAUCAUUUAAAUGUCAAUGGCCUACGUAGUAGUGAAAUAAUAUUAUGUCCUCUUAAUUUAUCUCACUUCUCUACAGGAAAAUAAGGAAUCAUGUAAAUAGCAUCAUGUUGUUCAUUGUUAUUCUUGGCACUAAGAGUAUUGCUUCAUGAGAAUUAAUUGAAUUUCAAGCUUUACCACAUCCAAAUGUAUCUUGGGUUUUUUGUUUUGGCUCUGUCAUCUUUUUUUCUCGCCUUGAUAUGAAACUGGCAGUAUUUUAUUCAUGCCAUUGGCAAAUGAAAUUCAGGACCAUACAAUAGUUGGAAUAUAAGAAAAAUCCAUUCUAUUGUUAAGUAAACUCACAAUUACAACUUUACAAGGACAUCAAACAAUGAAAUUUUAAGAUUGUUUUAUGAUAUUCAUUUUCCAGGAACAAAGUUUGUGGCGUAGGCCCAUGCGUUGUUGUUAACUGGAUCUGCAAGGUGGUCAGCGAGGUUUUCCAAUGGACCCUUUCCGGUAACAAUGGCCUGAACAAAGAAUCCGAACAUAGAGAACAUAGCAAGUCUACCGUUCUUGAUCUCCUUUACCUUGAGCUCAGCAAAUGCCUCUGGAUCAUCAGCAAGACCCAAUGGGUCAAAACUGCCCCGGGGUAUAGUGGGUCGACAACUUCACCAAGAGGCCCACCAGCAAUACGGUAUCCCUCAACGGCUCCCAUCAAGACAACUUGGCAAGCCCAGAUGGCCAAGAUGCUCUGUGCAUGAACCAAGCUUGGGUUGCCCAAGUAGUCAAGUCCACCCUCGCUGAAGAUUUGGGAUCCAGCCUUGAACCACACAGCCUCACCAAACUUGACACCGUUACGGGCCAACAGCUCGGGGAAGACACAUCCAAGGGCACCAAGCAUAGCCCAUCUGCAGUGGAUCACCUCGAGUUCUCGGUUCUUGGCAAAGGUUUCUGGAUCUGCUGAAAGUCCACCGGUGUCCCACCCGUAGUCACCAGGGAAUUCACCGGUCAAGUAGCUUGGGGCCUCACCGGAGAAUGGGCCCAAGUACUUAACACGGUCUGGGCCAUACCAUGGGCUGCCAGAUGAGGCAGGCUUGGUGACAGCCUUUCUCACAGAGAUCCUUCCAUUUCCAGUGAUUUCUGAGGCAGAGGGUGAGAGUUUCACUGCCUGUCCAGCAAAAGAAGGGGAAGAAAGAGCCAUUGUAGAAGCUGCCAUGGCUUAUCUCAAGAGAAAGGUAAGUGUUUGAUGGUAUAAAAUAUUGUUGAAGUUGGUUGUAAGGAUGCUGAAGUUAGUUGGGUUCAGAAUGUAUAGGGGUUAAGUAGAGAGAAAAAAUCCUCUUAUCUAGUGCUGUCUAUAGCUAUGAUUUCAUUGGGUAUCAAGAUCCCAUGUAUAGCAAUUAAUGCACUCUUGGCAAUCUCCAAUCCAUCAAUUUUCCAAGAUGUUCACUAAGGGGAACCCAACCAAUUUUGUCUUCCUAUAUGUGGCUGCAAAGCUUGAAAUCUAUUCUAUGAUUUCUUGAGCUUCAAUAUGAUAUCUCUUAUCCAUUGAGAAUUUCUCAAGAUUUUAUCCACCAGGAGUAUAGCUCAUUCAGUGUAGAACUAUGGCUUAGCAUUUCACUAAUUAAAUUGAGGAAAAGCUGAAAUUCAUUUGUAUCAGAUCAUCAAUUACUAAUGUUUGUCAAAAGAUUAACCUGUAAUUGCUUAAUAAGAAAAGGUGGAUCAAGAAUUGAACUUUAUGAGUUCUGAAAUCCUGGACUAGACCUUAAGUAGUAUAUCCUCCGCCUCAAUUUAUGUGACACAAUUGAAAUUUCGCGAGUCUACCAAGUUUUUUUUUGAUGGAAAUAUCUUUGUAUGUCUUUUAAAUAUUUCAAGUUGUUAAUUAUUGAUAGUAGUACUUUUUGUUUUUAGAUGACCGUGGUGUCCCAUACUUGCCACCUCCCACCAACAUGGGAUUUGAACCUAAAACCUUUGAGGUUCUCAACCCACUUCAUUGACCAUUAGACCUUGGGUGCAUUGUGAUUUACAGUAUUGUUUUAAUAGUUUCCAAGUACAUAGAUUUUAUUUCAAAAAACUUAAAACUUUUGUGUCCAAAUUGACUGUUAAAAGUUUGAAUUUUGAAAUUCCUACCGUGCCACAUAACAGAGGGAGUAAUAAAAAGAUUCUGAAUUUGAUGUACAUACAUAUUUAAUGGUUUUUGUAACACAUAUACAUAAUUUGGGCCAAAGCUACUUGGUUCUAUCAAACAGUAUGCUGAAGGCUACCCCUGCACCUGUUAAUAAGUGAUAUGAUUGUAUUUAGUAUUUUUUAUAAUGUUAAUGCAUAGAACUUAAUUUCCUUUGUAGUAAGUUUCAUGUAUAGCUUACUUUUAUCUUCUUCUUACUAUGUCCUUUUGGCUCUGGUCAUUACUAUGUGCCAUGUUUCGAAGGAUGCCUGCCUCUGUUAAAUAAGCCGUCACACAGGCAUGCAAGGAAGGAAGGAAGAGUAUACAAGAAAUUUAUGGAUUUGUUCAAAUAAAAGAUGCUAAUUAAAUUAACGUACACGUAAACCUAAGUAUUAUGACCUGGAAACUCAUAUAGCAGUACUUGCUACAUUCAGACCACAAAAAUAUUGGUUUUCCCUUUUAACUGAAAUGUCAUUGGUCUAGUAGUAAAAUAAUAUGAUGAUCCUCUUUCACUUCUUGACAGAAAAAUGAGUAAUAAUGUAAUAACAUCAUAUCGUUCAACAUUAUUCUUUGCACUCAUUUUGAGUAUUGCUUCUUGAGAAUUAAUUGAAUUCCAUUAGUUCCUCCGGUCUGAAAAAUGUAAGUUUUAGCUUUUAACAGCUUUAUAACUUUUCUAGUUACCAUAUCCCAAUUGUAGCUUCGGUCUUUUUCUGCUAUGCUCUUCUUCGUUUUUCCUUUGGUAUGAAAGUGGCAAUAUAUGAUUCAUGUCUUUGGAAAGUGAAACUCAGAACUAGACCGUCAAUGGAAAAUAACAAACAUUUAUUCUAUUGUCAACUCACUCACAACAACUUUACAAGGCCAUCAAACAAUCAAAUUUUAAGAAUUAUAUUAUGAUAUUCAUUUUCCAGGAACAAAGUUUGUGGCGUAGGCCCAGGCAUUGUUGUUAACCGGAUCUGCUAGAUGGUCAGCAAGGUUCUCCAAUGGACCCUUUCCUGUAACAAUGGCCUGAACAAAGAAUCCAAACAUAGAGAACAUAGCAAGUCUACCGUUCUUGAUCUCCUUUACCUUGAGCUCAGCAAAUGCCUCUGGAUCAUCAGCAAGACCUAAUGGGUCAAAGCUGCCACCGGGAUAGAGUGGGUCGACAACCUCGCCAAGAGGCCCACCAGCAAUACGGUAUCCCUCAACGGCUCCCAUCAAGACAACUUGGCAAGCCCAGAUGGCCAAGAUGCUCUGUGCAUGGACCAAACUUGGGUUGCCCAAGUAGUCAAGUCCACCCUCGCUGAAUAUCUGGGAUCCAGCCUUGAACCACACAGCCUCACCAAACUUGACACCAUUACGGGCCAAGAGCUCGGGGAAAACACAUCCAAGAGCACCAAGCAUAGCCCAUCUGCAGUGGAUCACCUCGAGUUCACGGUUCUUGGCAAAGGUUUCUGGGUCUGCUGAAAGUCCAGCGGUGUCCCACCCGUAGUCACCGGGAAAUUCACCGGUCAAGUAGCUUGGAGACUCACCUGAGAAUGGACCCAAGUACUUGACACGGUCUGGCCCAUACCAUGGGCUGCCAGAUGAGGCUGGCUUGGAGACAGCCUUUCUCAUAGAGAUCCUUCCAUUUCCAGUGAUUUCUGAGGCAGAGGGUGAGAGUUUCACUGCCUGUCCAGCAAAAGAAGGUGAAGAAAGUGCCAUUGUAGAAGCUGCCAUGGCUUAUCAAGAGAAAAGUAAGUGUUUGAUGGUAUGAAAUAUUGUUGAAGUUGGCUGUGAUGAGGUGAAGUUAAUUGCAAUUAAUGCACUCCUGAGAAUCUCCAAUCUAUCAAUUUUCCAAUAUGUUUAUAAAGGGGGACCUAACCAAUUUUGUCCUCCUAUAUGUGGCUGCAAGGCUUGAAAUCUAUUCUAUGAUUUCUUGAGCUUCAAUAUGAUAUCUUUUAUCCAUUGGGAAUUUCUCAAGAUUUUAUCCACCAUGACUAUAGUUCAUUCAGAGUAGAACUAUGUCUUAGUAUUUCACUAAAUAAAUUGAGGAAAAGCUGAAAUUCAUUUGUAUCAUAUUAUCAAUUACAAAUGUUUGUCAAAGAUUAACCUGUAAUUGCUUAAUAAGAAAAGGUGGAUCAAGAUUUGAACUUUAUGAGUUCAGUUCUGAAAUCUAGGACUAGACCUUAAGUAGUAUACCCUCCGUCCCAAUGUAUGUGGCACAAUUGGAAUUUCGAGAGUCAAUCAAAUUUUUCUUUGAUGAAAAUUCUUUGUCUUUUAAAUAUUUCAAGUUGUUAAUUAUUGUGAUUUGUUGUAGUACUUUUUAUUUUUAGAUAACCGUGGUGUGAGGUAUUUGCCACCUCCCACCAACAUGGGAUUUGAACAUAAGACCUUAAUCCACUUCAUGGACCAUUAAGCCAUAACCUUGGGUGCAUUGUGAUUUAUAGUAUUGUUUACAUAGUUUCCAAGUACAUAAACUUUAUUCUUCAAAAAACUUAAAACUUUUUUGUCUAAAUUGAUUGUCAAAGUUUAAAAGUUUGAGUUUCGAAAUUCUGAUUGUGCCACAUAAAUAAAACAGUGGGAGUAGUAAAUAGAUUCUGAAUUUGAUUUAUAUAUCUAUUUAAUGAUUUUUUUAACACAUAUACAUAAUUUGGAUCAAGGCUACUUGGUUCUGUCAAACAGUAUGCUGAAGGCUACGUCUGCCCCUGUCAAAUAAGUGAUCUAAUUUUAUUAAUAUUUUUUAUAAUGCCAAUGCAUAGAACUUAAUUUCCUUUGUAGUAAGUGUCAUGUAUAUCUACUUUUAUCUUCUUCUUACUAUGUCCUUUUGGCUCUGGUCAUUACUAUGUGCCAUGUUUCGAAGGAUGCCUGCCUCUGUUAAAUAAGCCGUCACACAGGAAUGCAAGGAAGGAAGAGUAUACAAGAAAUUUAUGAAUUUGUUCAAAUUAAAGAUGCUAAUUAAAUUAACGUACACGUAAACCUAAGUAUUAUGACCUGGAAACUCAUAUAGUAGUACUUGCCAGUAGGGCUGGGCAUAUUUUGGUUUAAACCGAAAAAACUGAAAAAUCAAAUCGAAAUUUUAAUUUCGAUUUAGUUUUUCGAUUUCUUGGAUCGGUUUUGAUUUUCAAUUUUUGAAAUUCGGUUAAACGGUUUGGUGUUCAUUUUUUCAAAAAACAAAAAAUUUGGAUAAACCGAUUAACCGAAAUUCUAUAAAUAAUUAAUAAUAUAUAUAUAUAUUAUUUAAUAUAUAAUAAAAUAAUAUAAAUAUAUAAUAGCCACCCUAAUAACUAAUAAGUAAUAGCACGCCACAUACAGCUAAAAACAUACAUCAGUCCAAUAUUAGAACAAUCGAUUGAACCAUCGACCGCCAGCGAGAUCGUCGUCUGUACAACGACACUAGAGCGGGCGACCAGACGACCACUGUGGGCUGCAGCCUGCAGCGCCGUCUGUGGUCUUUCCGGCAGCGACCACUCUUCCGAGUUUCGACUGUUUAUGCAAACUUAUGUUAUUUUCGUUUGUACUUCGGGUACACAGAAUCUGUAUAUGCAGAAACAGCAACUUCAACUAAAGUUCAAGUAUAUAAACAAGAACACAAUGAAGUAUAUCAAAUACCCUCAACACAAGAUCAAAAUGACCUUUCCAAGAGGUGUAUUUUAUUUUUCAGAAAAUAGAUGAAACAGAAAUGAAUAAGACCAAGCAGUCCGAAUUCACGGACUUUCCUUAAGGAAUAAUGCCCCUCACUGUAUCCGAGGUUAUGGAAUCUUCCUCCCAGGAUAAAAUGGCCUUCAAUCCGACUAUAGCGGUACCUCAAAUAAGCGGAUUCUUCAAACACACAGAACGCUUUGAUUGAUCACACAGAAUAUUUGUAAAGAAAAGAAGAGAGUUUUUAUUCUGCAAAAUUUUUAUAUCAAAACCUGUAAAGGUAAGCAGGUUUAUAUAGCCUAGCAAAUGCCUCUUCGAAAAGGUGGCAUUGGUUCACUUAAAUGGUGUGAUAUUUCUGAAAAUGCAUGUCUGCAACAUUUUUGCUGAAGCAGUAUACCAUUUCACCAAACAGUGCACCUGUUCGAAACAGUACAUCACUUCAUUGAAGAAUUGUAUCUGUUCAGUCGAAGCAAAAAUAGUAUAUCAGUUCAGUGCAUGCAUCAGUUCAGUCAAAACGAAACAGUACAUCAGUUCAGUCAAAACAGUGCAUCAUUUCUGUUGAAACAUUGCAUCUAUUACAGUUACUACAUGUAUUUCGUUAAAUAAAGUUUGUCCAAAAAAGAUAGAUCUCAUCGAUCUAUCAUUUUCCAAAUUCGAAUCCAAAUUCGAAGCCGAGAGAGCGACGACGACGACGGCACGAGGCAUCUCUUAUUUCUUGCCUCACUUAUCAUGUGGAGUAAGUAUUCAUCAUUAUAAACACUCCAAAGUUCCCUUCUCCCAUAAAUGUGGGAGAAUUAGUGAACUUUUUAAUUUUGGGAGUAUACUUUCCAAAUUGGUGUCUCCUCUUCUCCACCAUUUUUUUCUCUAUUUUCCAUUCACACUUUUAUGAAACUAACAAUCCCCCACAUGAAUGGGGAAUGGCUAUUUUUUGUAAAAAUUUUACGGACAAGAAUAUGAUCAUCAAGCAAAGACUGAUUUCAUCUGGAUAAGUGGGUUUCCCUUUGAACUUUCCGUAGUGAACAUGCAUCAGAUGCACUCGGUAAAUUGAUAGAUUUGAUAUCUUUGAACCGUCGAGCUUUAAUGUACACCUAGACAACACAUAUCACACAACCAUCCUUUUAACAUUUAUGGUUCUUACAAUUUUGUUCUUUUCAUCCAUGAACACGUCCCGGUUUUCAUGAGGGCUUAGAGAAUAGGCCUUUACUAACAUUCUCCUUGAAGCGGCUUUCACUUCACCCUUACAUAGGUGAUUUCUAAACGUUCUAUCCUGCAGAUUAAAAUAUUUGGUCAAAUCUGCCAAAUUUAGAUAAUCAUUAAAAGACUUUUCACCUUAAGUUUUAUCCUAGUUUACUAUACAUUAUCUACAUCAUGAGAAUGGGUUGGGUAAUUGACAAUGUUGAACCUGUCAGACACAACUUUGUUUGAUCUCCUUUAACCUAGUUGGGAUCGCCAGUCUGCUAGGUAGAGUUAUCGCUAUGCUGACUCGUCCUAGGCCUUAAACCCAUUCUCUUGGAUGUUCUUUCCACUCCUUCUCUAGAUAGGCCUUUUGUAAGUGGAUCCGACACAUUAUCAUUUGACUUUACAUAGUCAAUAAUGAUAAUUCCACUAGAGAGAAUUUCCCUAACGGUAUUAUGUCUCCGUCGUACGUGACGAGAUUUACGGUUGUACAUCAUGCUCCCUGCCCUACCUAUUGCCGCUUGGCUAUCAUAGUGUAUACAUACUGGUGCCACUGGUUUGGGCCAAUACAAAAUAUCUCCCAAGAAAUUUCGGAGCCAUUCUGCUUCUUCACCAGCUUUAUCUAAUGCGAUAAAUUCAGAUUCCAUUGUAGAGCGAGUGAUACAAGUCUGUUUGGAUGAUUUCCAAGAAAUUGCUCCUCCACCGAUAGUAAAUACAUAUCCACUUGUGGAUUUUACUUCGUUCGAUCCGGUGAUCCAAUUUGUAUCACUAUGUCCUUCAAGUACCGCAGGAUAUUUAUUAUAAUGCAAAGCAUAGUUUUGAAUGUAUUUUAAGAUACCCCAAAACUCUUUUCAUUGCCAUCCAAUGAGUUUUGUUGGGAUUACACCUGUACCGACUCAAUUUUGUAGUUGCACAUGCUAUGUCCGGUUGUGUACAGUUCAUUAUAUACAUUAAAAAUCCCAAUACUCUUGCGUACUCCAAUUGUGAAUCACUUUCACCUUCAUUCUUUCGAAGUGCAAAGUUCACGUCCAAUGGAGUCAUGGCAAUACCGAAUUCCAUAUCCUUGAACUUGUCAAGUACUUUUUCGAUAUAAUGAGACUGUGACAAUGCUAACCCUUGUGGAUUUUGAUGGAUUCUUAUACCUAAGAUUACAUCUGCAACUCCAAGGUCUUUCAUAUCAAACUUGCUCUCGAGCAUUCGUUUGAUUGCAUUUAUGUCACAAAUAUAUCUGCUGAUGAUCAACAUAUCAUCCACAUAUAAACAAACAAUGACUUGGUGAUUUGGUGUGUCUUUAAUAUAUAAACAUUUGUCACAUUCAUUUAUCUUGAAUCCAUUUGCCAACAUGGUUUGGUCAAACUUUGCAUAUCAUUGCUUAGGUGCUUGUUUUAGUCCAUAAAGUGACUUAACAAGUUUACACACCUUAUUUUCUUUUCCUGGCACCACAAAACCCUCAGGUUGUUCCAUGUAUAUUUCUUCCUCCAAAUCUCCAUUUAGGAAUGCGUUCUUCACAUCUAUUUGAUGGAUUUGAAAAUCAUAUACCACCACCAAGCCAAUUAACAUUCAAAUCGAGGUUAUCCUUGUUACUGGUGAGUAUGUAUCAAAGUAAUCAAGGCCUUCCUUCUGUUUGAAGCCUUUUACUAUAAGUCUUGCCUUGUAUUUGUCAAUUGUACUAUCUGCCUUCAUUUUUCUUUUGAAGAUCCAUUUAGAACCUAACGGUUUAUUUCCUGGAGAAAGGUCAACCAAUUUCCAUGUAUGGUUGCUUAAGAUUGAAUCUAUCUCACUAUUGACUGCCUCUUUCCAAAAGGAUGAGUCUGACGAUGGCAUCGCUUCUUUAAAUAUUUGAGGCUUAUUUUCUUAGAGAAAUGUUACAAAAUCUGAUCCAAAUGAAGUUGACAUUCUUUGAUGUGUACUAUGUCUUGGAUUUUCUUCAUUAUGUACAUUCUCACUUGGUUCAUCUCGAGGUCGCUUAGAUCCUCCACUAAACUGUUCAUGUCUAAUUUUAUACGGGUAAAUAUUUUUAAAGAAUUCAGCAUUGUCUGAUUCAAUAAUUGUAUUUUCAUUAAUAUCCGAAUGUUUGAAUUUAUGAACCAAAAAUCGACAUGCUUUACUACUUUUAGCAUAUCCUAUGAACACACAGUCCACUGUUUUAGGUCCUAUCUUAACCCUUUUAGGUACAGGAACUUGAACCUUCACUAGACACCCCCACACUUUGAAAUAUUCAAGCUGGGUUUCCUUCUUUUCCAUUUUUCGUAAGGAAUUGAUUGUGUCUUACUAUGGAAAACUCUGUUGAGUAUACGAUUGGCCAUAAGAAUAGCCUCCCAUCAUAAGUUUUGUGGUAAAGCAGAACUUAUAAGUAAGGCAUUCAUCAUUUCCUUCAAAUUUCGUUUUUUCCUUUCCGCAAUUCCAUUAGAUUGAGGUGAAUAUGGGGCCGUAGAUUGAUGGAUUAUUCCAUUCUCUACACAUAUUUGCGCAAAGGGAGAUUUAUAUUCUCCGCCCCUAUCACUUCUUAUCAUUUUGAUCUUUUUNNNNNNNNNNNNNNNNNNNNNNNNNNNNNNNNNNNNNNNNNNNNNNNNNNNNNNNNNNNNNNNNNNNNNNNNNNNNNNNNNNNNNNNNNNNNNNNNNNNNNNNNNNNNNNNNNNNNNNUAAACGCAUCUAUUGCUUCAUCCUUACUAUUUAUCGAGUAGACAUAACAGUAUCUAGUGCAAUCGUCAAUAAAAGUUAUGAAAUAUUUUUUCCCACCACGAGAUGGUGUUGACGUUAUAUCACAAAUGUCAGUGUGUAUUAAGUCUAAGGGAUUGGAAUUCCUUUCAACGGACUUAUAAGGAUGCUUUGCAUACUUCGAUUCCACACACGUUUGACACUUUGAUUUAUUGCACUCAAAGUUUGGCAAAACUUCUAAGCUAAUCAGUUUUCAUAACGUUUUAUAAUUAACAUGGCCUAAACAUUCAUGCCAUAAUAAGACUCAAGAAAAUAAGAAGAAUUCAAACUUUUAUUUAUUUCAACAGUCAUUACAUUCAUCUUAUAAAGUCCUUCGGUCAAAUAGCCUUUUCCUACAUACAUUUAUCCUUUGCUAAUUACAAUUUUUUCAGAAACGGUUACACAUUUGAAUCCGUUCUUGUCUAGAAGUGAAACAGAAAUUAAAUUCCUACGUAAAUACGGAACAUACAAGACAUUGUUAAGUGUCAAGACCUUUCCGGAAGUCAUAUUUAAGAAAAUUUUUCCUAUUCUUUCUACCUUAGCCGUAGCGGAGUUAGCCAUGUAGAUCAUUUCUUCUACUUGAGCAGAAGCAAAUAACGAAAACAGCUCCUUGUUGGCACAUACAUGGCGGGUGGCACCAGAAUCCAUCCACCCUUCACUAGGAUUCCCCGUCAAGUUGCAUUCUGAGAACAUAGCACACAGAUCAUCGAAUUCUUUGUUGGAUUCAAUCAUAUUUGCUUGAUCCUUCUUCUUUCCUUUCUUUGGGGCACGACAAUCUGUGGACUUGUGGCCAAUCUUGCCACAGUUGAAGCAUUUUCCCUUGAACUUUUUCUUGGUUUGAUUGCUUCCUUGUUUAGCUUUCUUCCUUUUCUUGAAAUUGUUUUGGUCAUCUUCUACAAUAUGUGCUCCAUUAAUUGUAGAAUUCCUCUUUGACCUUCUUUCGGAAGCUUUAUUAUCCUCUUCAAUACGAAGUCGGACAAAAAGUUCUUCAACAGUCAUCUCCUUGCGUUUAUGCUUUAAGUAGUUUUUGAAGUCUUUCCACAAAGGUGGUAGCUUCUCAACUAUCACUGCUACUUGGAAAUCAUCAUUCACAAUUAAACCUACAAUACAGUUUAUGUGAGUAUUAAGAACAUUUUUAAUUUGUUCAACUAAGGUAUUUUUCAAAGAUAUACCUUCUGCUAAGAGAUCAUGUAUGAUGACUUGCAACUCCUNNNNNNNNNNNNNNNNNNNNNNNNNNNNNNNNNNNNNNNNNNNNNNNNNNNNNNNNNNNNNNNNNNNNNNNNNNNNNNNNNNNNNNNNNNNNNNNNNNNNNNNNNNNNNNNNNNNNNNNNNNNNNNNNNNNNNNNNNNNNNNNNNNNNNNNNNNNNNNNNNNNNNNNNNNNNNNNNNNNNNNNNNNNNNNNNNNNNNNNNACAUAAAGUGGUGAGGUAAAAGAACAUCUUUUGCUGCCACCGCUUGAAGUCAAUGCUUGAAAAUAUUUUGGGCUACUCCGUCAGUGCCAUUGUUGGCGGAGCAUUUGUGUGACUUGAUGUGGCAAUAUUAGUUACCCCCAUAGACGUUGUCGCAUCUAUUAUUUCACUUUCGUUAGUCAUCUUUCCUGUCAACACAAGACAGAAAAAUUUAGUAUUUUCAGAAUAUUACUUAUAAAGUUAAAUAACUUUUCAACUUUUCUUCUUGUUUCUAAUUAACGACGAAGCUUUUAUAACUUCAAAUCGUCAACUGAGUGAACUUUAACUUGUGAUGAAGAUUUUAUGUCUUCUAAUCACUAGUUAAAUUCAAGCGGAGUAAAAAGUUUAAAGCUUUAAUCUCCAAAAACAAGUUAUACAGAUUCUGUAAAAGGAAUUAUUCCUUAAGAUUCUUAUUUUUGUUUUACUUUGGGUACACAGAAUUUGUAUAUGCAGAAACAACAACUUCAACUAAAGUUCAAGUUUAUAAACAAGAACACAAUGAAGUAUAUCAAAUACCCUCAACACAAGAUCAAAAUGACCUUUCCAAGAGGUAUAUUUUAUUUUUUAGAAAAUAGAUGAAACAGAAAUGAAUAAGACCAAGUCGUCCGAAUUCAUGGACUUUUCUUAAGGAUUAAUUCCCCUCACUGUAUCCGAGGUUAUGGAAUCUUCCUCCCAGGAUAAAAUGGCCUUCAAUCCGACUAUAGCGGUACCUCAAAUAGGCGGAUUCUUCGAACACACAGAACGUUUUGAUUGAUCACACAGAAUCUUUGUAAAGAAAAGAAGAGAGUUUUUAUUCUGAAAAUUUUUUAUAUCAAAACCUGUGAAGAAAAGCAUGUUUAUAUAGCCUAGCAGAUGCCUCUUCAAAAAGGUGGCAUUUGUUCACUUAAAUGGUGUGAUGUUUCUGAAAAUGCAUGUCUGCAGCACUUUUACUGAAGCAGUAUACCAUUUCACCAAAUAGUGCACCUGUUCAAAAUAGUACAUCACUUCAUUAAAGAAUUGCAUCUGUUCAGUCGAAGCAAAAACAGUAUAUCAGUUCAGUGCAUGCAUCUGUUCAGUCGAAAAGAAAUAGUACAUCAGUUUAGUCAAAAUAGUGCAUCAAUUCUGUCGAAACAUUGCAUCUGUUACUAUUACUAAAUGCAUAUAAAUGGAGUAUUUAUCAGAUUUCAUCAAAUAAAAUUUAUCCAAAAAGACAGAUAUCAUCGAUCGAUCAUUUUCCAAAUCCAAAUCCAAAUCUGAAGUCGAGCGACCGACGACAACAGUGGCGCGAGGAAUCUCUUAUUUCUUGCCUCACUUAUCAUGUGGAGUAAGUAUUCAGCAUUAUAAACACUCCAAAGUUUCUUUCUCCCACCAAUGUGGGAGAAUUAGUGAACUUUCCAAUUUUGGGAGUACACUUUCCAAAUUGGUGUCUCCUCUUCUCCAUAAUUUUUUUCUCCAUUUUCCAUUCACACUUCUAUGAACCCAACAAUCCCCCAUAUGAAUGGGGAAUAUAUAUUUUUCGUAAAACUUUUACGGACAAGAAUGUGAUCAUCAAGCAAAGACUGAUUCCAUCUGGAUAAGUGGGUUUCCCUUUGAACUUUCCGUAGUGAACAUGCAUCGGAUGCACUCGGUCAAUUGGUAGAUUUGAUAUCUUUGAACCGUUGAGCUUUAAUGUACACCUAGAUAACACAUGUCACACAACCAUCCUUUAACGUUUAUGGUUCUAACAAUUUUAUUCUUUUCAGUCAUGAACACGUCCCGGUUUUCAUGAGAGCUUAGAGAAUAGGCCUUUACUAAUAUUCGCCUUGAAGCAGCUUCCACUUCGCCCUCACAUAAGUGAUUUCUAAACGUUCAAUCCUGUAGAUUAAACUAUUUGGUCAAAUCUGUCAAAUUUAGAUAAUCAUUAAAAGACUUUUCACCUUAAGUCUUAUCCUAGUUUACUAUACAUUGUCUACAUCAUGAGAAUGGGUUGGGUAAUUGACAAUGUUGAACCUGUCAGACACGACUUUGUUUGAUCUCCUUGAACCUAGCUCUUGGGAUCUCCAGUCUGCUAGAUAGAGUUACCGCCACGUUGACUCAUCCUAGGCCUUAAACCCAUUCCCUUGGAUGUUCUUUCCACUCCUUAUCUAGAUAGGCCUUUUGUAAGUGGAUCCAACACAUUAUCCUUUAACUUUACAUAGUUAAUAGUGAUAAUUCCACUAGAGAGAAUUUCCCCAACGGUAUUAUGUCUCCGUCGUAUGUGAUGAGAUUUAUGGUUGUACAUCAUGCUCCCUGCCCUACCUAUUGCCGCUUGGCUAUCACAGUGUAUACAUACUGGUGCCACUGGCUUGGGCCAAUACAAAAUAUCUCCCAAGAAAUUUCGGAGCCAUUCUGCUUCUUCACCAGCUUUAUCUAAUGCGAUAAAUUCAGAUUCCAUUGUAGAGCGAGUGAUACAAGUCUGUUUGGAUGAUUUCCAAGAAACUGCUCCUCCACCGAUAGUAAAUACAUAUCCACUUAUAGAUUUUACUUCGUUUGAUCCGGUGAUCCGAUUUGCAUCACUAUGUCCUUCAAGUACCGCAGGAUAUUUAUUAUAAUACAAAACAUAGUUUUGAAUGUAUUUAAGAUACCCCAAAACUCUUUUCAUUUUCAUCCAAUGAGUUUUGUUGGGAUUACUCCUAUACCGACUUAAUUUACUAAUUGCACAUGCUAUGUCUGGUCGUGUAUAGUUCAUUAUAUACAUUAAACAUCCCAAUACUCUUGCAUAUUCCAAUUAUGAGUCAUUUUCACCUUCAUUCUUUUGAAGUGCAAAGUUCACAUCCAAUGGAGUCUUGACAAUACCGAAUUCCAUAUCCUUGAACUUGUCAAGUAAUUUUUUGAUAUAAUGAGACUAUAACAAUGCUAACCUUUGUGGAUUUUGAUGGAUUCUUAUACCUAAGAUCACAUCUGUAACUCUAAGGUCUUUCUUAUCAAACUUGCUCUAGGGCAUUCGUUUGGUUGCAUUUAUGUCACAAAUAUCUCUGCUGAUGAUCAACAUAUCAUCCACAUAUAAACAAACAAUGACUUGGUGAUUUGGUGUGUCUUUAAUAUAUAAACAUUUGUCACAUUCAUUUAUCUUGAAUCCGUUCGCCAACAUGAUUUGGUCAAACUUUGCAUGCCAUUGCUUAGGUGUUUGUUUUAGUCCAUAAAGUGACUUAACAAGUUUACAUACCUUAUUUUUUUUUUCUGAAACCAUAAAACCUUCAGGUUGUUCCAUGUAUAUUUCUUCCUCCAAAUCUCCAUUUAGGAAUGCGGUCUUUACAUCCAUUUAAUAGAUUUGAAGAUCAUAUACCGCCGCCAAGGCAAUUAACAUUCGAAUCAAGGUUAUCCUUGUUACUGGUGAGUAUGUAUCAAAGUAAUCAAGGCUUUCUCUUUCUGUUUGAAGCCUUUUACUACAAGUCUUGCCUUGUAUUUGUCAAUAGUACCAUCCGCCUUCAUUUUCCUUUGGAAGAUCCAUUUAGAACCUAACGGUUUAUUUUCGGGAAGAAGGUCAACCAAUUUCUAUGUAUGGUUGCUUAAGAUUGAAUCUAUCUCACUAUUGACUGCCUCUUUCCAAAAGAAUGAGUCUGACGAUGGCAUCGCUUCUUUAAAUGUUUGAGGCUUAUUUUCUUAGAGAAAUGUUACAAAAUCUGAUCCAAAUGAAGUUGACGUUCUUUGACGUGUACUACGUCUUGGAUUUUCUUCAUUAUGUACAUUCUCACUUGGUUCAUCUCGAGGUCGUUUAGAUCCUUCACUAGACUGUUCAUGUCUAAUUUAUACGAAUAAAUAUUUUUAAAGAAUUCAGCAUUAUCUGAUUCAAUUAUCGUAUUUUCAUUAAUAUCCGGAUGUUUGGAUUUAUGAACCAUAAAUUGACAUGCUUUACUAUAUUUAGCAUAUCCUAUGAACACACAGUCUACCAUUUUAGGUCCUAUCUUAAUCCUUUUAGGUAUAGGAACUUGAACCUUCGCUAGACACCCCCACACUUUAAAAUAUUCAAGUUGGGUUUCCUUCCUUUCCAUUUUUUUUAAGGAAUUGAUUGUGUCUUACUAUGAGGAACUCUGUUGAGUACACGAUUGGCCAUAAGGAUAGCCUCCCAUCAUAAGUUUUGUGGUAAACCAGAACUUAUAAGUAAAGCAUUUAUCAUUUCCUUCAAAGUUUGGUUUUUCCUUUCCGCAAUUCCAUUAGAUUGAGGUGAAUAUAGGACCAUAGUUUGAUGGAUUAUUCCAUUCUCUACACAUAUUUGCGCAAAGGGAGAUUCAUAUUCUCCGCCCCUAUCACUUUUUAUUAUUUUGAUCUUUUUGUCUAAAUGAUUUUCAACUUCAGUUUUAAUUGCCUAAAUGCAUCUAUUUCUUCAUCCUUACUAUUUAGCAAGUAGACAUAACAAUAUCUAGUGCAAUCGUCAAUACAAGUUAUGAAACAUUUUUUCCCACCACGUAAUGGUGUUGACUUCAUAUCACAAAUGUCAGUGUGUAUUAAGUCUAAGGGAUUAGAAUUUCUUUCAACGAACUUAUAAGGAUGCUUUGCAUACUUUGAUUCCACACACGUUUAACACUUUGAUUUAUUACACUCAAAGUUUGGCAAAACUUCUAAGUUAAUCAAUUUUCGUAACGUUUUGUAAUUAGCAUGGCCUAAACGUUCAUUCCAUAAAUCAUAACACUCAAGCAAAUAAGAAGAAUUCAAACUUUUAUUUAUUUCAACAGUCAUUACACUCAUAUUAUAAAGGCCUUCGGUCAGAUAGCCUUUUCCUACAUACAUUUCUCCUUUGCUCAUUACAAUUUCUCCAUAAAUGGUUACACAUUUGAAUUCGUUCUUCUCUAGAAGUUAAACAGAAAUUAAAUUCCUACGUAAAUACGGAACAUACAAGACAUUGUUAAGUGUCAAGACCUUUCCGAAAGUCAUAUUUAAUCAAAUUUUUCCUAUUCUUUCUACCUUAGCCGUAGCGGAGUUAGCCAUGUAGGGAGCGAAUGACGAAAACAACUCCUUGUUGGCACAUACAUGGCGGGUGGCACCAGAAUCCAUUCACCAUUCGCAAAGAUUCCCCAUCGAGUUGCAUUCUGAGAACAUAGCACACAGAUCAUCGCAUUCUUUAUUGGAUUCAAUCAUAUUUGCUUGAUCCUUCUUCUUGCCUUUCUUUGGGGCACGACAAUCUGUGGACUUGUGGCCAAUCUUGUCACGGUUGAAGCAUUUUCCCUUGAACUUUUUCUUAGGUUGAUUGCUUCCUUAUUCAGCUUUCUUCCUUUUCCUGAAAGUAUUUUAGUCAUCUUCUACAAUAUGUGCUCCAUUAAUUGUAGAAUUCCUCUUUGACCUUCUUUCGGCAGCUUUAUUAUCCUCUUCAAUACGAAGUUGGACAAUAAGAUCUUCAAUAGUCAUCUCUUUGCGUUUAUGCUUUAAGUAGUUUUUGAAGUCUUUCCACAAAGGUUGUAGUUUCUCAAAUAUCAUUGCUACUUGAAAAGCAUCAUUCACAAUUAAACCUACAAAAUAGUUUAUGUGAGUAUUAAGAACAUUUUUAGUUUGUUCAACUAAGGUAUUUUUCAAAGAUAUACCUUCUGCUAAGAGAUCAUGUAUGAUGACGUGCAACUCCUGUACUUGAGAGACAAAAGAUUUGCUAUCUAUUAUUUUGAAGUCCAAGAACUGUGCAACAAGAAAUUUUUUAAUUCCCGCAUCCUCCGUCUUAUAUUUUCGUUCAAGCGCCCCCCACAGUUCCUUUGAUGUCUUGGUUCCACUAUAAACAUUGUAGAGGUCGUCUUGGAAACUACUCAAAAUAUAAUUCCUGCAAAGAAAGUCCGAAUGUUUCCAAGCUUCUACAAUAACGAAGCGUUCUUUGUCCGAGGUUCCCUCGGGCACCUCAGGAGCGUCUUCGCUAGUGAACCAUUGCAAACAUAAAGUGGUGAGGUAAAAGAACAUCUUUUGCUGCCACCGCUUGAAGUCAAUGCUUGAAAAUAUUUUGGGCUACUCCGUUGGUGCCAUUGUUGGCGGAGCAUUUGUGUGACUUGAUGUGGCAAUAUUAGUUACCCCCAUAGACGUUGUCGCAUCUAUUAUUUCACUUUCGUUAGUCAUCUUUCCUGUCAACACAAGACAGAAAAAUUUAGUAUUUUCAGAAUACUACUUAUAAAGUUAAAUAACUUUUUAACUUUUCUUCUUGUUUCUAAUUAACACUGAAGUUUUUAUAACUUCAAAUCGUCAACUGAGUGAACUUUAACUUGUGAUGAAGAUUUUAUGUCUUCUAAUCACUAGUUAAAUUCAAGCGGAGUAAAAAGUUUAAAGCUUUAAGCUCCAAAAACAAGUUAUACAGAUACUAUAAAAGGAAUUAUUCCUUAAGAUUCUUAUUUUCGUUUAUACUUCGGGUACACAGAAUCUGUAUAUGCAGAAACAACAACUUCAACUAAAGUUCAAGUAUAUAAACAAGAACACAAUGAAGUAUAUCAAAUACCCUCAACACAAGAUCAAAAUGAUCUUUCCAAGAGGUAUAUUUUAUUUUUCAGAAAAUAGAUGAAAGAGAAAUGAAUAAGACCAAGUCGUCCAAAUUCACGGACUUUACUUAAGGAAUAAUUUCCCUCAUUGUACUCGAGGUUAUGGAAUCUUCCUCCCAGGAUAAAACGGCCUUCAAUCCUACUAUAGCGGUACCUCAAAUAGGCGGAUUCUUUGAACGCACAGAACGUUUUGAUUGAUCACACAGAAUAUUUGUAAAUAAAAGAAGAGAGUUAUUAUUUUGAAAAUUUUUAUAUCAAAACCUGUGAAGGAAAGCAUGUUUAUAUAGCCUAGCAGAUGCCUCUUCGAAAAGGUGGCAUUUGUUCACUUAAAUGGUGUGAUGUUUCUGAAAAUGCAUGUCUGCAGCACUUUUGCUGAAGCAGUAUACCAUUUCACCAAAUAGUGCACCUGUUCAAAAUAGUACAUCACUUCAUUAAAGAAUUGCAUCUGUUCAGUCGAAGCAAAAACAGUAUAUCAGUUCAGUGCAUGCAUCUGUUCAGUCGAAAAGAAAUAGUACAUCAGUUCAGUUGAAAUAAUGCAUCAGUUUUGUCGAAACAUUGUAUCUGUUACUGUUACUAAAUGCAUAUAAAUGGAGUAUUGAUCAGAUUUCAUCAAAUAAAGUUUGUCCAAAAAGAUAGAUCUCAUUGAUCGAUCAUUUGACAAAUCCAAAUCCAAAUCCGAAGCUGAAGCCGAGCGAACGAUGACGAUGACGACGCGAGGCAUCUCUUAUCAUGUGAAGUAAGUAUUCAUCAUUAUAAACACUCUAAAUUUUCCUUCUCCCACCAAUGUGUGAGAAUUAGUGAACUUUUUAAUUUUGGGAGUACACUUUCCAAAUUGGUGUCUCCUCUUCUCCACCAUUUUUUUCUCUAUUUUCCAUCCACACUUCUAUGAACCCAACAAUCCCCCACAUGAAUGGGGAAUGACUAUUUUUCAUAAAUCUUUUAUGGACAAGCAUGUGAUCAUCAAGCAAAAACUAAUUCCAUCUGGAUAAGUGGGUUUUCCUUUGAACUUUCCGUAGUGAACAUGCAUCGGAUGCACUCGGUCAAUCGGUAGAUUUGAUAUCUUUGAAUCUUCGAGCUUUAAUGUACACCUAGACAACACAUAUCACACAACCAUCCUUUUAACAUUUAUGGUUCUUACAAUUUUGUUCUUUUCAGCCAUGAACACGUCCCGAUUUUCAUGAGAGCUUAGAGAAUUGGCUUUUACUAACAUUCUCAUUGAAGCAUCAUCCACUUCGCCCUCACAUAGGUGAUUUCUAAAUGUUCAAUUCUGUAGAUUAAACUAUUUGGUAAAAUCUGUCAAAUUUAGAUAAUCAUUAAAAGACUUUUUACCUUAAGUCUUAUCCUAGUUUACUAUACAUUGUCUACAUCAUGAGAAUGGGUUGGGUAAUUGACAAUGUUGAACCUGUCAGACACAACUUUGUUUGAUCUCCUUGAACUUAGCUCUUGGGAUCUCCAGUCUGCUAGGUAGAGUUACCGCCAUGCUAACUCGUCCUAGGCCUUAAACCCAUUCCCAUGGAUGUUCUUUAGCCUAGUAGAUGCCUCUUCAAAAAGGUGGCAUUGGUUCACUUAAAUGGUGUGAUGUUUCUGAAAAUGCAUGUCUACAGCAUUUUUGCUGAAGCAGUAUACCAUUUCACCAAACAGUGCACCUGUUCGAAACAGUGCAUCACUUCAUUGAAGAAUUGCAUCUGUUCAGUCGAAACAGAAAUAGUAUAUCAGUUCAGUGCAUGUAUCAGUUCAGUCGAAAAGAAAUAGUACAUCAGUUCAGUCAAAACAGUGCAUCAGUUUUGUCGAAAUAUUGCAUCUGUUAUUGUUACUGCAUGCAUAUAAAUAAAGUAUUAUCGAAAAAGAUAGAUCUCAUCGAUCAUUUUCCAAAGCCAAAGCCGAGCGAGCGACGACGACGACAGAGCGAGGCAUCACUUAUUUCUUGCCUCACUUAUCAUGUAGAGUAAGUAUUCAUCAUUAUAAACACUCCAAAGUUCCUUUCUCCCAGCAAUGUGGGAGAAUUAGUGAACUUUCCAAUUUUGGGAGUACACUUACCAAAUUAGUGUCUCCUCUUCUCCACCAUUUUUUUCUCCAUUUUCCAUUCACACUUCUAUGAACCCAACAACUUAUACAUAAUAAAGUUAUAUAUUAUGUUAAACUAAUGGUUAUAUCAUUUAAUUUCAUCUAUGUUGAGUUAUUUAUAUUUGGAAAUGAAAAAUAGGUUUGAAAAUAAUUAUUUUAUAAGAAAAAUCAUUAAUUUUAAAUGUCCAGUCAUAACAAAGAGGGGUUCACUAGUUUAAUCUUCAAAAUAAAAAUAAAAAUCUGAAAUAAUCGAACCGAAUUUGUAGAAACCGGACCGAACCGAAUUUAUUUCGGUUUGAUUACGGUUGUCAUUUUUGUCAAUUCAAAAAUCGAAAAACCAAACCGAUAUUAAACUAUCAAACCGAACGAACCAAAUGUCCAUCCCUUCUUCCCAGGGGCGAACCUACGUAGAUUCAAGUGGAUUCAUAUGAGCCCACUUCGUCGAAAUAUCACACCGUAUGUAUCAAUGUUUGAAAAUGUACAAGAUAUAUAUUAAUUUUUUAACCCAUUUUAAAUAGCUCAGCCUAGUGGAAAGGCGGGUUCAAGAUUUUUGAUAGGUCAAACUUUCCGACACCAACAACCUUUUUGUUAAAUGUCAGAUAAUUUUUUCUUUCUAAUUUUUUUUUAUUAUAAUAUAACUUUAAAAUUUAUUUAAUCAAAAUUUGUUUAUUUAUUUCUCUGGGUAUUCAUUUUUUAUAUAUUUGAACCCACUUUCCUGAGCAGAAUCUAUGUUGCUAUUAUUGUAUAUUUGAACCCGCCACUGGUACUUGCUAUGUUCAGACUACAAAACAUAUUGGUGUUCCCUUUUAACUGAAAUGUCAUUGCUCUAGUAGUAAAAGGUCAAAGUCAUCAAUAGACACUCAAACUUAUUGUCAAAAUUCACUUAGACACCUAAACUAAGGCAUGUUCCUAUCAGGCCCCUAAACCCCCCACAUUUUGUUCAAAUUGGGUUUUUUUUGCCCUAUCAGCAAAAAACUCAAAGUGUGUUGCACACAAGCGAUGACAUGGCAAAAUGAGCUAAUUAGAAGCUGACACGUGGCAUUAUGGGUCCAAUAAUUAUUAAAAAUUAAUUAUAAUUUUAAAAAAAAAAAGUAUAUACAAAUGGCAUUGAAUAAAUUAUUAAAAAAUAAUUCUAAAAUUAUUUAAAAAUAAAACUGAUUAUUUAAAAAAAAUUAUAAAAAUUUUCUAAAAAUGAAAUAAAUUAUUAAAAAAUUAUUUUAAAAAACAAUUAAUUAAUAAGAAAAAUUAUAAUUUUUUUUUAAAAAUGGCGAGGAUAUAAAUUAUGAAAAAAUAAUUAUAAAAUUAUUUGAAAAAUAAAAAUAAAAAAUUAAUUAUUUUAAAAAAAUAUAAAUUUUUUAAAAAAUGAAAUAAAUUAUUAAAAUAUUAUUUAAAAAAUAAAAACUUAAUUAUUAAAAAAAAUAAAAUUUUUUAAAAAUUGAAAAUGAAAAAUGGCAUAGAGGAUAUAAAUUAUGAAAAAAUAAUUAUAAAAUUAUUUUUUAAAAAAACUAAUUAUAAAAUUAUUUUUUAAAAAAACUAAUUAUUAAAAAGAAAUCUUAAAUUUUUUUAAAAGAUGAAAAUAAAGAAUUAAUUUUUUUUAAAAUUCAGUUUAUUAAAAAUAAAAUAAAAUUGGGGCCUUCUAAUGCUUUUUGGGGCCUUUAGUGUUUCAAAAAAAAAAGAAAAUUUGUUAUUAAAAAAAUUUUGGGGCCCUCAAUGCCACUUGACAACUUUUUAUUCGUAAAUUAGUAAAAAAAAAUGCUCCUCACACGCCUUCCACAAUGGCACUGCACACGUAGUGUCACAUAGGCAAAAAAUGUCUAAUUGGAACAAAAUUCAGGGAUUUAAUGGUCUGAUAUGAACAUGUCUUAGUUUAGGGGUCUAAUUGAAUUUUUGCAAUAAGUUUGAGUGUCUAUCGAUGAGUUUGACCUUUUCAAAUUGACACAUGCGUAACCAAUUCUCUAAAUACCAAUUAUUUCUCCUUCAAGUGAUGUCAUCUUCCACAUGGUGGACCCCAUGAUCCUAAGAAUUAUUUAAAAAAUAAAAAAAUAAUUAUUAAAAAUAAAUUAUAAAUUUUUUAAAAAAAUAAAAAUCCCCCACCUAUCCCAGCCCCCAACGUAUUGUUUUAUUAAAAAAAAAAAUUGGAACCCCCUAAUGCUUUUUGUUUUAUUAAAAAGUGUCUUUAGUGUUUAAAAAAAAAUUGUUAUUAAAAAAAUUUUGGGGCCCUCAAUGCCACUUGGCAUCUUUUUAUUUGUAAAUUAGUAAAAAAAAUUGCUCCUCACACGCCUCCCACGAUGGCACUGCACGCGUAGUGCCACAUAGGCAAAAAAGGCCCAAUUGAAACAAAAUGUGGGGGGUUUAGGGGUCUGAUAGAAACAGGCGUUAGUUUAGGUGUCUAAGUGAAUUUUGACAACAAGUUUGAGUGUCUAUCGAUGUCUUUGGCCAGUAGUAAAAUAAUAUGAUGAUCCUCUUUCAUUUCUUGAUAGAAAAAUGAGGAAUCAUGUAAUAACAUCAUAUCGUUCAACAUUAUUCUUUGCACUAAUUUUGAGUAUUAUGUUAAGGUUUUUAAACUGAUUUUCUUAUCAAAAUUAAGUUUUACUUUUUUCUUGUAAGGAAAAUAAAAGUAAUCAUAAAUAUUUUUACUUUUCAUAAAAGAAAAUAUAAAACUUUUUCAUAUUUGGCAAACCUCUUUCUUAGAGGAAGGUUUUGGACAUCUAUAAGAAUUAAGAUCCCCUCUUCAUACCAUAACAUUGUAACAUUCUCAAUGUAGUCAUUGAAGAGUCUUUGUUUAUGAGUGAUUUCUCUCAAUAGGUUUAAUGUUUUUCGAUAUUAGGUUUUAUAAUAUGCAGGCCGAUUGGCCAAAACAUAUAAUAAUUUUAUGUUUUUUAAUAUUGUUUUCUUUGUCGCCUGAUUUAUCAUCUCAUAGUUUGCAACUAAUAGCUUCCGCAUGACAUCCUCUCGUUUUUGAACCCAACAAAUGGUAUCAGAGUCGAUGGUUCAAAGAUCCGAUGGUUCGAUUGAGGACUUUUUAAGAUCAAAGUUGCAAUCAAUUUGGCGAUGAUGAAGCUUUUGUCAAAAAAAAAAAAAAAGGUUCAAAAACUACAUGUGGAGAAAAAGUUUCAAACAAAAUUUCAACAAUCUUGGUGCUAAUCCAUCUUUAAAACCAAAAUCAAUUUCAACUCAUAUUUAUGACUUCAAUUUUCAAUCUAUACUUGCUUUAACGCUUGGGCUCCUUUCAACUCGUGCAUUUAUUUUUAAUGCAUGAGCUCCACUCUUAACCUGUGCUCACUUUCAAUGCACAAAGUUCUACUUUCAAUCUUAUCAACCGUGCUUUUAUUUUUAAUGCAUAGGACUCUAAUUUUAACCCAUAUCAAUUUUUAAUCAUGGUUGACAGCAGUGAUAUAUGAAGAAUAUAUGAAAAACGAAGAUCAUGCACAAGAAAAAGGAGGAUCAAGAAUAUUUUGCAGAAAAUCAAGCAAAAAAGGGAGAUUUGUUAGGGUUUUUACUCUAAUUUUCUUACCAAAAUUAAGUUUUACUUUUUCUUAUAAAAAAAUAAAAGUAAUCAUAAAUACUUUUAUUUUUGUUAAAAGAAAAAUAUAAAACUUUUCUAUAUUUGGCAAACCUCUUUCUUGGAGGAAAGGUUCUGGACAUUAGGAUACUCUUCUCAUGCCAUAAUACGGUAGCAUCCACAAUGUAGUCAUUGAAGAGUUUUGUUUAGGGAAAUUUAAUGUUUUUUCGAUAUUAGAUUUUAUAAUAUGCAGGCCGAUUGGCCAUAACAUAUAAUAAUUUUAUACUUUUUAGUGUUAUUUUCUUUGUCACCUGAUUUAUCGUCCCAUAAUUUGCAACUAAUAGCUUCCGCAUGACGCUCUCUCGAUUACGAUCCCAACAUAUUGUUUCUUGAGAAUUAAUUGAAUUCCAUAAGUUCCUCCGGUCCGUAAAUUUAAGUUUUAAGAUUUUAACAGCUUUAUAGUUUUUCAGUUACCAUAUCCCAAAAUGUAGCUCCGGUCGUUUCUGCUAUGCUCUUUUUUUUUUUUUUUUCCUUUGGUAUGAAAGUGGCAAUAAAUGAUUCAUGUCUUUUGAAAGUGAAACUAAGAACUAGACCGUCAUUGGAAAAUAACAAACAUUUAUUCUAUUGUCAACUCACUCACAACAACUUUGCAAGGCCAUCAAACAAUCAAAUUUUAACAAUUAUAUUAUGAUAUUCAUUUUCCGGGAACAAAGUUUGUGGCGUAGGCCCAGGCAUUGUUGUUAACCGGAUCUGCUAGAUGGUCAGCAAGGUUCUCCAAUGGACCCUUUCCUGUAACAAUGGCCUGAACAAAGAAUCCAAACAUAGAGAACAUAGCAAGUCUACCGUUCUUGAUCUCCUUUACCUUGAGCUCAGCAAAUGCCUCUGGAUCAUCAGCAAGACCCAAUGGGUCAAAGCUGCCACCGGGAUAGAGUGGGUCGACUACCUCACCAAGAGGCCCACCAGCAAUACGGUAUCCCUCAACGGCUCCCAUCAAGACAACUUGGCAAGCCCAGAUGGCCAAGAUGCUCUGUGCAUGGACCAAACUUGGGUUGCCCAAGUAGUCAAGUCCACCCUCGCUGAAUAUCUGGGAUCCAGCCUUGAACCACACAGCCUCACCAAACUUGACACCAUUACGGGCCAAGAGCUCGGGGAAAACACAUCCAAGAGCACCAAGCAUAGCCCAUCUGCAGUGGAUCACCUCGAGUUCACGGUUCUUGGCAAAGGUUUCUGGGUCUGCUGAAAGUCCAGCGGUGUCCCACCCGUAGUCACCGGGAAAUUCACCGGUCAAGUAGCUUGGAGACUCACCUGAGAAUGGACCCAAGUACUUGACACGGUCUGGCCCAUACCAUGGGCUGCCAGAUGAGGCUGGCUUGGAGACAGCCUUUCUCAUAGAGAUCCUUCCAUUUCCAGUGAUUUCUGAGGCAGAGGGUGAGAGUUUCACUGCCUGUCCAGCAAAAGAAGGUGAAGAAAGUGCCAUUGUAGAAGCUGCCAUGGCUUAUCAAGAGAAAAGUAAGUGUUUGAUGGUAUGAAAUAUUGUUGAAGUUGGCUGUGAUGAGGUGAAGUUAAUUACAAGGGGCUUCACCAUAUAUAGGAGGAGUAAGAGCGGUAGAGGCCUUUAUCUAACGAUAUCUACAUCUUUUUCUUUUGGUGUUAACGAUAUCUGUAUCUGUGAUCUCAUUGGGUAAUAAGAUCACAUGUGUAGAAAUUAAUGCACACUUGGCAAUCUCCAGACUCCAAUCCAUCAAUUUUCCAAGAUGUUUACUAAAAGGACCCAUCCAAUAUUGUCCGCCUUAGUGUGGCUACGAGGUUAUUGACUCUAUUCUGUGAUUCGUUGAGCUUACACUAAGAUAUCUCUUAUCGUUAUCUUUUGGGAAUUUCUCCAGAUUUUAUCCACCAGCUGGGAAUAAGUUACCACCACUAUAGCUCAUUCAAUGUAGAAGUAGAAGUUAGAACUAUGGUUUAGCGUUGCACUAAAUAAAUAGUAGAAAAGCUGAAUUUUUCAGAUUAUCAGUAACUAAUGUCUAUCAAAAGAUUAAUUUGAAGUAAUUGCUUAACAAGCAAAAGUGGAUCAGAAUUUGAACUUUCAUGGGUUCUGUAGUCUAGGACGAGUUCUACUAAAUAGAUUCCAAAUUUAACUUUUCUACAUACUCGCUCCGUCCCAUUUUACCCGUCCCAAAUUGGCUAAGUUGAUGUUUCAUUUUAGUUGUCCCAUUUUACUUAUCAAGAUAAGACAAACUUUUCUUUCCAUGUUUUACCCUUUGCAUUAAUUAUCUUUUCUUUAAAUUAAAAUGUAAACAUCAUUUAAUAGGGGUACUUGGGUAAACUAGCCAUGUUAUAUAUUAUUUUUCUUAAUUGUUGUGCCAUCCUAAUUUGGGACAAGUAAAAUGGGACGGAGAGAGUAUUUAAUAAGCUUAUCAAAACAUAUGCAUGGUUUGGGCCAAAGUUAGUUAGUUCUGUCAAACUGGUUUGCUGAAGGCUAUCUGCGCAUGUUAAUAAGUGAUAUGAUUGUGUUAUGUGCAAGUAUUUUUACAAUGUCAAUGCAUAACCUCUCUAUAGUGUCCUGUAUAGCUUGUAUCUUCUGCUUACAAUGUCCUUUUGGCUCUGGUCAUUGUUAUGUGAACGUGUUCUUCUCUAAAGAGAAUACCACAUGCACGUAAGGAUGGAGGACUAUACAAGAAACUCAUGAAUUUGUUCAAAUCUAAGAUGCUGCUUAAAUUAAGGACACAUAAGUAUAAUGGCCUGGAAACUCAUAUAUUACUUGCUACGUUCAAAAUACAAAACAUAUACAUUGGUUUUCCCCUUAUCAUUAAAAUGUCAAUGGUGUACGCAGUAGUGAAAUAAUAUUAUGUCCUCUUAAUUCAUCUCACUUCUCGACAGGAAAAUAAGGAAUCAUGUAAAUAACAUCAUGUUGUACAUUGUUAAUCGUGGCACUAAGAGUAUUGCUUCUUGAGAAUUAAUUGAAUUCCAUAAGUUCCUCUGGUCUGUAUAUUCAAAUUAUAAGCUUUUUGUCAAAAAACAAAGGGAGCGGUAGAGUUAAGCUACAAGGAGAAAAAUAUAAGGAAAUUGCAGCUGUAAAUUGCUACAAAAAAGACUGCAGUAAAGAACAAGAAGCUGAAACUUUUUGAGUGUUUUCUAUUUUUUGGAUAGUUAUAAAUGUCUAAUGUCAUCCCUUAUUUAUACUUAUGUAGGGAUGAUUCUAGAUACUACAAAUCUAGAGUGUUCGUAUACAAAUAUCUCCCUCAAAUAUCUAGCACCCUCUAGAUCUUUCCUAAAUAUAAAUAUCAAAUAUACUACACUAUUCCUUUCUAGAUUCUUCUAACUAGAAUUACCUAAAUAUCUAGAUAUUUCUUUAGCAUGAUCAUCCUAGAAAUUUUACUAGACUAUUCUACAGACUGAACUAGAAAUCUAUGAUUCCAAAAAAUCUACUUUAAUAUUUUCACACUCCCUCUUAAAGUGAUUUUUUUGGAAGCUAUCCUAAACUUGUUGCGGAAGAACUCAAGUGAAGCUUUGAACCGUACUUUAGUGAAAAUCUUGAUAGUUUUUGCAUGACUCCUCUUUCUUCUUCAAAUGAUGAAGAUUUCUCGUUAAUGAUUGGCCCUUGUUGAGUUUUAUCAUAUUGAGUUCUCGAGCUCCCCCUUUCUCUGAACUCCUCCGUAACUUCAUUAUCUGGUGACCCAAAUAUGAUGGAAAAGUUUGAAACUCUAGGAUUGAAGAUUUUAGAACUUACUCUUUCUGAAGCAACUCCAUAACACAAGAAUAAUUUUUUGGUAUCAACCUCCUUAUUUGAUUUGAUGACGAUCUUUUGUUCGGGCCUAUCAACUAGCUCCCAAGUAUUAUUUUUUUAUCAUGGCAAGCUCCUCAUCCAUUGCGGAAAUCCAAGUUUCAUGACUUCUGCUUCUUCAAAAGAAGAUGGUUCCACAAGAGCAAAAUUGCAUUGCUCAUAAACUUCAGGUAGUGACCUGGUCUUCAAAAUAGGAGAAUCUGAAGUUAAUUCAACAUCUGAAUUGUCUUCUUUUUCAAUAAGAGGAUUGGAAGAAAUAUUACACGUCUGUGGAUUUUGAGCUGCAACUGAAGUACACUCAUCUUGGUUCUUUACAACAAUAUCUCGAUCCUAAUCAUAGUGGCUAGACUCAUCCACCGCAAGAUCUCUACUGAUAAGCACCUUUUACGCACGAACAUUAUACACUUUCUACCCUUUUGCAGCUGUGUUAUAGCCCAACAAAAUACAAAGUCCUGCCUUGUUAUCCAAUUUACCUCUUUUAGCAUCAGGAACAUAUGCAUAACAGACUGAACCAAAAACUUUUAAGUGUCUCACAGAUGACUUUAUACCUUUCCAUGCUUUAAAUGGUGUCAUGUCUUGGAGUGCUCUAGUUGGUAAUAUGUUUAGUAAAUAGACUGCAGUACUGACUGCCUCAGCCCAAAAACAUUUGGGUAUCUUCUUUUCUGCUAGCAUACAUCUCACCAUCUCCAUCACGGUUCUGUUCUUUCUCUCAGAAAUACUGUUUUGUUCUGGAGUGUAGCUCACAGUAAAUUGUUGUUGAAUGCCCACAUCUUUACAAUACUUGUUGAACUAAUGCGGAGUAUAUUCAGUUUCAUUAUCUGACCUGAUAUACUUCAAUCGGCAACCACUCUUCCUUUCUACCAUAGCCUUGAAUUCUUUGAAAACAGAAAACACCUGAACUUUGUUACUUAAAAAUAGACCUAUGUCAUUCGAGUUAGAUCAUUUAUAAAGAGAAUAAAAUAUUUAUUCCCACUCAAAGAAGUUGUCCUCAUUGGUCUACAUAUAUUUGUAUGAACCAACUCUAGUUUUUCCUUCGUCCUCCAAAGACUUCUUUUAGGAAAGAAUUAUUUAUGCAAUUUACCAAAUUGACAUGACUCACAAACAUCUCGGCACAUGUCAAUUUUGGGUACAUCAAGCACCAUACCCUUGGAUUGCAUAUACACCAAUGAACUAAGAUUGUAAUGACCGAAUCUUUUGUGCCAAAGCCAAAUAUCAAUUAUUUCAACAUUGAAAGAGCAACUUUCAACAGAAUAGCAUGAAAUUGGAAAGGAAUUACCAAUCAUGCUAAUUUUAGCUACUUCACAACCUUUAGGAUCAUAAAUGACACAUUUUUUAUCCUUAAAAAUAAGUGAAUAAUUAUUGUGAAGUAACUGAGCAACACUCAACAAGUUUUGAGUCAAGCUUGGCACAUAAAAAACAUCGUUUAUGAUUUUCAUACCUUCGUCCGUAGGAAAUUUCACUGAUCCUCUUCCUUGAGCUUGCACCAGUGCACCAUCUCCUAGCUUCACUUUGAUCCUAUCAGACCUGUCCAGGCUAACAAAUAGAUUUUCAACAAUCGUCAUGUGCCUUGUGCACGCACUAUCGACAUGCCAAUUAUAUCGAUCGACAUGUGAUAUGUGUGAAGCCAUGAAUACCUCUUCCUCUAUUUUUUGAACUUGGUGAUCUUCCGCAAAAUUUACUCAUUGAAAAGACUGACCAAUUUGAGUUUGCUUUUGCCUGCAAUGCUUCUCAAUGUGCCUAUACUUCUUGCAGUAUCUGCAUUGAAUAGGAGACCUCUUGGACUUCUGCCAACAAUUUUUCUAUAAGUGGUUUGUCUUCUUACAAAUACCACAAGGUGGAAAUUUUUCUCUCCUCAACGAUUCACCUUGGUAUCCACCAGAUUUCACCUCUCCAGAGUGGUCUAAAAAGACUUUUUUGCCUUCUUUUUGUUGCUUGAAAGGCAUAUUCGACUGUUCCUUCGAUUCUCAUAGUUACCCAUUGCUCUUGGAUUUGCAAUUUAGAGAUCAACUCAGCUAUUGAAAGAAUAGUCAAGUCACAGGACUCUUUAAUAGCUGAGAAUUUGUAUUUAAACUUGUCUGGAAAGCUGACCAUAAUCCCCUUUAUAACCUUCUAAUCUAAAAAGUUUUCACCAAGUAUCCUUAUGUGGUUCACAAUAUCCAUUAGCUUAGAAGAGUAUUCUUUUACACUAUCCGGAUCCUUCAUCUUCAAGAGCUCAAACUCCCUCUUCAAAGCUAAAACCUUAACAGACUUAACUCUGUUGCUGCCUUCAAACUCCUUCUUUAGCUUAUCUCAGGCUUCUUUAGCUGUCUCACAAGCCAUAAUCCUUGUAAAUAUCACUUCCGUAAGGGUUGAAUGUAUGCAAGUGAGUGCUCUUGGAGAUCUAGUCACCAAUUCAUCAUACUUUUUGAUAUCAUUUAGAGUUGAGUUGUCUCUCAAUGGCUGGACAGCAGGUUCUCCUCUCUAAACAAUAUCCCACAAGUUGAGAGUCUUCAAAUAAGCCUUCAUUUUAAUGGUCCAAAUAUGAUAAUUCUCCCCCGAAAAAAUCGAAGGACCCAUUGUUGGUUGAUUUUCUGGUGCCAUGUUUUUUCAGUAAAUAGAUUCAAGAAAGGAGCUAAAAAUAAGAUGAGUCAAUCAACAAAAAACAUAUUCAGAUCCCGUAAGAAAUGGGCUCUGAUACCAUGUCAAAAAAUAAAGGAAACGGGGAGAGUAAAGCUACAAGGAGAAAAAUAUAAGGAAAUUGCAACUGCAAAUUGCUACAAAAAAGACUGCAGUGAAGAAGGAGAAGCUGAAACUUUUUUAGUGUUUUCUAUUUUCUAGAUAGUUAUAAAUGUCGAAUGUAAACCCUUAUUUAUUCUUAUGUAGGGACGAUUCUAGAUACUACUCCCUCCAUCCCAUUUUACCCGUCCCAAAUUGGGAUGGCACAGCUAUUAAGAAAACAAUGAUUGGUAAUGUUACUUUACCAUUUUUUCUCUCUUAAUUGUGUCUUGUUGUUAGUUCCAAUAUUGAUGGAUGACCAAUACAAAAGCACCAUUUAUAUUCUUAAUGGUGUACUCCUAAUGGUACUCUUCUUUGCAACGUUUUUCAAAAAUGUUAAUAACAAGGAGUAAGCAAUUACACUGAGGAUAAAAUGAAAAAAAAAGUUGUCUUAUCUUGAUAAGUAAAAAAGGACAACUAAAAUGGGACAUCAAAUUAGAAAAUUUGGGACGGGUAAAAUGGGACAGGGAGUACAAAUCUAGAGUGUUCUUAUACAAAUAUCUUCCUCAAAUAUCUAGCCCCCUCUAGAUUUUUCCUAAAUAUAAAUAUCAAAUAGACUACACUCUUCCUUUCUAGAUUCUUCUAACUAGAAUUACCUAAAUAUCUAGAUAUUUCUUCAACAUGAUUAUCCUACAAAUUUCACUAGACUAUUCUAGAGACUUAACUAGAAAUCUAUGAUUCCAAAAAAUCUACUUUAAUACCAUCACACUUUUACCACAUCCAAAAUGUAUCUUGGGUUUUUUUUUUUUUUGGCUUUGUCAUCGAUUUUUCUCCCCUUGAUAUGAAACUGGCAGUAUUUAUUCAUGCCAUUGGAAAAUGAAAUUCAGGACUACACAAUAACUGGAAUAUAAGAAAAAUCCAUUCUAUUGUCAAGUAAACUCACAACUACAACUUUACAAGGGCAUCAAACAAUGAAAUUUUAAGAUUGUUUUACGAUAUUCAUUUUCCGGGGACAAAGUUUGUGGCGUAGGCCCAUGCGUUGUUGUUAACUGGAUCUGCAAGGUGGUCAGCGAGGUUCUCCAAUGGACCCUUUCCGGUAACAAUGGCCUGAACAAAGAAUCCAAACAUAGAGAACAUAGCAAGUCUACCGUUCUUGAUCUCCUUUACCUUGAGCUCAGCAAAUGCCUCUGGAUCAUCAGCAAGACCUAAUGGGUCAAAGCUGCCACCAGGGUACAAUGGGUCGACUACCUCACCAAGAGGCCCACCAGCAAUACGGUAACCUUCAACGGCUCCCAUCAAGACAACUUGGCAAGCCCAGAUGGCCAAGAUGCUCUGUGCAUGAACUAAGCUUGGGUUGCCCAAGUAGUCAAGUCCACCCUCGCUGAAGAUUUGGGAUCCAGCCUUGAACCACACAGCCUCACCAAACUGGACACCGUUACGGGCCAAGAGCUCGGGGAAAACACAUCCAAGAGCACCAAGCAUAGCCCAUCUGCAGUGGAUCACCUCGAGUUCUCGGUUCUUGGCAAAGGUUUCUGGAUCUGCUGAAAGUCCAGCGGUGUCCCACCCGUAGUCACCAGGGAAUUCGCCGGUCAAGUAGCUUGGGGGCUCACCCGAGAAUGGGCCCAAGUACUUAACACGGUCUGGGCCAUACCAUGGGCUUCCAGAUAGGGCAGGCUUGGAGACAGCCUUUCUCAUAGAGAUCCUUCCAUUUCCACUGAUUUCUGAGUUAGAGGGUGAAAGUUUCACUGCCUGUCCGGCAAAAGAAGGGGAAGAAAGAGCCAUUGUAGAAGCUGCCAUGGUUUAUCUCAAGAGAAAGGAGAGUAUUUGCUGGUUUGAAAUAUUGUUGAAGUUGGCUGUGAUGAGAUGAAGUUACAAGGGGCCUCACUUUACCAUAUUAUAGCAAGUAAGAGGGGAAGAGUCCUUAUCUAGUGAUAUCUAUUUCUAUGAUCUCAUUGGGUAUCAAGAUCCUUUGUCUAGCAAUUAAUGCACACUUGGGUAUCUCCAAUCCAUCAAUUAUCCAAGAUGUUUGCUAAGGGGACCCAUCCAACAUAGUCCUCUCACAUGUGGCUACAAGGCUUGAACAAUAUUCUGUGAUUUGCUGAACUUACAAUGCUGAUAUCUCUUAUCAUAAUCCGUUGAGAAUUGCUCCAGAUUUUAUUUAUCAGCACUACAGCUCAUUCGAGGUAGAACUAUGGUUUACCGUUUCACUAAUUAUAUUCAGGAAAGUUCAUUACUUGAUAUAUAAAUUGUGUAAAAAUUAAUAAUACAUGUUUGGAACUUUAUUAUAUAAGACCUUAAUAUAUAGUAAUAUAAGAGUCAGUAGCAUAGUAAAUUAUUUAACCUGCAAUUCAUAUAAAAGUGAAGAUACUGUUUUGGGGGUUUUACAAAUUUAAUAUUUACAGGUGCAUGCAAAGCAAGAAUAUGAUCUUCCCUUUCAAAACAUUUAACAUAGGUUCAUGCUUGGAUCUUUAUUAAUCUGAUCAUGAAGAGGUAUAUUAAGUUCUAUAUAUGUUGCACUGUUAAUUUCAUGUUUAGAUAUUUAAUGACGGGUUAGAUUCAUUUUAACUACUGCACAGUGCUUAGACUAAUUGGAAAGAACUUGUUCAUGAGCGGGGGUUGGCAAACGGGCGGGUUGACUCAGAUAUAAACAAAUCAAAAAUGAGCCAACAAAAAUGGAUAAAAUAUCCGACCCACCUGUAUUUGAUAUGGAUGAAAAAUGAGAAACCAACGGGAUAUUAUUUCAUAUUAUGUAAAAGAAAUAAGUACUUCCAAUAUGAGAAAGGCAGAGUAUGUACAUGGAUUAAUUAAUUAAUUGGGAUUCACCAGCAGCACAAUAUGACCAAUUAAUUGUGUUAAGGGCAGGAACAUUUGCCAAUAAUGGAUCAGGUUAUUUACGGGUUUGGAUAAAAGGAACUUUAACUUGACACCAAAUUAUAACUAUGUGCUUUUAACUUUGUUAGUACACAAGUAGACCCUUUAACUAUAUAAAAAUCAAAUAAAAAAAUAGUCUAAUUCAGCAACUUACAUGCGUAAAAUUCAAUCACUCCUACGUGGAUUAAUAAUCCACUCAGAUGCUGCCACCUAAUAAAAAAGACGCAUUAUAACUAUGAUCAUUAACUUUGCGCACAAAUAGACGCUUUAAUUAUACAAAAGCUGAAAAAAAAAACACUUCAAUUUUAACUCUGACGCUCGUGAUUUUGAGUGUAUACAUGCAUUUUGCCAGGUUACGAUUGGAGUGUUUGUUUGUUCAACUUUUGUAUUGUUAAAGGCCUACUUGUACAUUGAUAAAGUUAAAGAUCAUAGUUAUAAUUUGAUAUCAAGUUACAUGUUUAUGUACUGAGUUUAAGUUCUGUGCACCGUCAGUGCACAAAAUAUUUUAUACUAUCAGUUAACUUGACCUGCUAUUGCAGGUUACCCAAUUAUUUAUAUAAAAAUUUAAAAAUAAAAAAUUGUUAUUGCAGGUUACCCAAUUAUUUAUAUAAAAAUUUAAAAAUAAAAAAUUAGAUAACCUGCAAUAGCAAGUCAAGUUUACCUAAUAGGAUAGAAUAUUUUGUACACUGAUGGUGCACAAAACUUAAAAAUUUAGGUAUUAUGCCUAUUUACAACUUAUGGAGUAAAUAUAAGUUGUAAAUAUUCUCUUUUUUCACACAGUAAUUUUUAACUUGUAAUAGCUGAUAAGUCCCCGUUGUUACAAGAAACUUUAAGAUUUUUUCCAAAGAUGCAUCAAAUUAAGGACAUAAUUAUAAUGGUCUGGAAACCUAUAUUAUAGCAUGUUGAUUACUACUUGCUAUACCUUCAGACUACAAAACAUAUUGGUUUUCACUUAACAUUGAAAUGCCAAUGGUCUAUAUGGUAGUGAAAUAAUAUUAUGUCCUCUUAAUUGCUCUUUCACUUCCCGAUAGGAAUCACGUAACAACAUCUAUGCUCAACAUUUCUCUGUGCACUAUUCUCUGUGCACUAAUUUAAUGUGUUCCUUCCUGGGAAUUAAUUGAAUUCCAUAACUUCCUGUGGUCAGUAAACUUAAGUUUGAAGCUUAUAACAGCUUUAUAGUUAUUCUAGUUACCACGUCUCAUAUUAAUCUACAGUUUUUCUUUACUAUGUUCUCUUUCUUUAAUUCCCCUUUAGUAUGAAAGUGGCAAAAAAUUUUAUUCAUGACUUUGGAGAAUGUAACUCAGAACUACACAAUUAUUGGAAUAUGAGACAAAAAUCCAUUCUAUUGUCAAGUAACUGCUCAUAACAACUUUACAAGACCAUCAAACAAUGAAAUUUUAAGAUUGUUUUACGAUAUUCAUUUUCCGGGAACAAAGUUUGUGGCGUAGGCCCAGGCAUUGUUGUUAACCGGAUCUGCUAGGUGGUCAGCAAGGUUCUCCAAUGGACCCUUUCCUGUAACAAUGGCCUGAACAAAGAAUCCAAACAUAGAGAACAUAGCAAGUCUACCGUUCUUGAUCUCCUUUACCUUGAGCUCAG
rnacentral:lncRNA from 1 species